CGAGCGAUACAACCCGUGUCUCACCGUGGAAGGCAAAGAGGGUGAGGAGGAAGAUUAGCCCGAAGCCGGCGACGUUGAGGAGGAGGACGAUCUUGGCUGUGAAAAUCUUGGCCUUCCUGGGGGCGUAGACGAGGUACAUGAUGAUGUAGACGGUCUCGAUGACGCAGCCGGCAGCGUUGAUGGUGAUGAGGAGGCCCUCGCCGGUCUUGACCAGCGCGUAGAAGAUCCACAGCAUCGCGCUGAACAGGGCCACGACGUAGGGCACCGACUGGAACCCCUCAGUGGAUUUGCUCUUGAAGAUCCGGUAGAAUGUUGGUCUAAUAUUUAUUGUUGUGUGUACAUUAGUUAUGAGAGAACUUAUUAAGAUGGUCUAUCAAAUGAAAACUAGAAAUGACAGAGGCACUUUGCUUACAUCGGGGCGAGGAGGCUCGUAAAAGAGAUGAUGUUGCCUGCACGGCACAAAGUUAGAGAAGUUAGCAACCAGUUGUGAUAUUUGCAGGACACAUUUACAUCUUUCUUUUAUGCGCUUUAUCGUAUGCAAAAUAACAUAGGCAGUUCAUUUGUUGUUGCUUCUUGAUGGGUUGUUGGUGCACCGAACUAGAUGUCACUAGUGCUAGUACUAGACUACAUCAAUUAAUCAAUCUGUGGCAAAGAUAAGAUAUAUAGAUAGAUGCUGCAAAAGGAUGAUCUUAAACGACACAAAGUAGUCUACUAAUACUGCACUAGCAAAUAACAGCUGUAAUAAGAGACUAUCAUAAUACAAGGGGUAAUUCUUGGACAUCUUUUUCUCGUGGUGAGAAUAAUAUACCCAGUAGGCCGAAGGCGAAUGCCCAAGGGUGCUCCAUGGAUAGGCCAGCCAUUGUGAUACGAAGAUAUUGAAGGGAAAUAAGACAGAUAUGAAGUUGACAACAAGCCUGCUGGCAAAUUAAUCAACAGUGGGGCUAGAGGUUGUUUUUUGCUCUUCUCUCACUCUCUGCCUCUCUCUAACCCUAGACUCCUGGAGGGGAGAAGGGAGAGGUCUGAAGAGGAGAGCUCACUGUGUUGGUUGGAACUCUUGGCCUGAAUUGUAAGGUUGUUAAUGGGGUGCUUUAUAUAGGCAGGAAGAUUACAUGACUGCCUUGGUGUAUGCAAGCUAUCCUAUCACACAUAUGCCACACAAAAUUAAUGAUUGGCUUUCUAGAAAGAAAAAAGUUUCCAGCAAUGCAUAAUUGAGCUUAUCUAAUGUGCUAUGCUUUUUUCCCCGAAAAAUCUGAUGUGCUAUGCUUGAUAGAGAUAAUGAUAGAAUUUUUCAAAAGUUGUCGCUUUGGUGUACACUUUAGCUUUACUGUGCAUAAUACAUCCGCUCCUGAAUAUUUAUACACCCGGAGUUGUGUUAUACUACGUCAUUCUUCCGGUCUUCCCAACCUUAGAUCUUUGGGGUGUGGUAAUAGCCGCCACGCAACUGUAAACGAAAUGAGACAUUCCAACUGGGAGGACUCUUCACACUAUUAGUUGAUUAUUGAUUUUACGGAAUGAAAUGUCUUACAAGGAACAAAUAAUUAACUUUUGUAUAUAGACAUAGUGUCCAGUAGCUGAAUUAACUUAGCAGCCUUUUCGCAUUAAAAAUCUACAAGCAAAGAGUCAUUAAAUUAAUAUGCUGACAUUCUCAUACUUUUCGGUGAUCCGCGUGUAUGUUUUUCAUGAUUUGAGACUAACUAUCACGACAUGCAGUGGUCAAUUCAUUGCAUGUAAUGAUAUUAAUUAGCAAACUAACAUUAAUUUCUCUUAUUUUCCUCUCCGUCUAGGUCGCGGUGCACAACCUAAUAUGACUUAUAAACCGAGACGGAGGGAGUACAUGGCCUUGCAAAUACAUUCAAAUAGUGUUACUCAUCUUAAACUCAUCCAAACACAGGUACCACAGUCCUGAAAAGAUUAGUUUCAAGGGAAUACAAUCCAAAUGAAUUUACUUUCACCCUCUGCCUGAAUAAGAUAUACACAGUCAAUAGAACCACACACACUAGCAAAUACAAAGUCAUCCCAGACCAAUACAACACAGACCUCCGCGUCGCUCCUAGGAGAGGCGACUUGGGUGGAACCCUAGUGCAGCCUCCACCCCUUCCCCCUACGAUCAAUCUUGCUUAUCCCGCCAUCGUCAAAGAACGCCUCCGGACAAAGUCCAUGAGGCUGAUGCUGGCGGCGGGUCCUCAUCCUCCUCGCAUGAAUGAUGGCGGCAGGGGGCCCAUCGUUUCUCGUGUUGCGGGAUCUCCGGCCGAAGAUCAUGGCAGCCCUGGAUGGCGUGGUUCGUACAGCAGAGAUGGACAUCGAGGCGGUGGCCCCGGAUUUCUACGGUGACCUCGAAUACCAUUGUGGCCGCGAAGGCGACACAGCAACCGGUUCGGGGGGGGGGGGCUCGGUGCAUCUCAACUACUUAUCUCUGCAUGGUGCGGGUGGUGACGGCGGUGCCCGUUCAGAUCUUCGGCCUACCGUAGGAAACCGGUGGAUGGUGUGGUGAUACGAUCUCUAACAUAUCUAUUUUUCGAUUGCUCCAUGCUAUUAUAUUUUUCUAGGGUGCUUUUUAGGCAUUUAUUUGCUGAUUAAUAUUAUUUUAAGCACUAAUCUAUUAAUCCAGUGCCAAAGUUCUAGUUGUUGUUUUCCGCAUGUUCUAGUUGUUGUUUUCCGCAUGUUUUUAGCUUGUCAGAAAUAUUGUACCAAAAGAAGUCCAAAUACCCAGAACUUUUUGAUUGUUUUUUUCUGGACAAAAUAAGGACCUGAAAGCUUUGAAGGAGACCGGAGGCCCCAUGAGGUGGUGCCAAGCCAACAGGGUGCACCCAAGGGGGGUGGUCGCGCACUGAUGGCCUGGGGCCACCUGCCUUGGCCUCUAGCCCUCCUCCGUGUCCUAUAAAUUCACAUUAAUCCCAAAAACUCUAAGUAGCCUCUGGAAACACUUUUUCUGCCAUCACAAGUCUCUGUUCCGCCAUGUGUUCGUCUGGAGCCCUGUCCCGGUGCCUUGUCGUAGGGGGAUCAAUCACAGUGGGCCUUUACAUCAACCUUGAUGCUCCCAUGCUGGUGUGUGUUUAGUUCACCACACACCCGUGGGUCAAUAGUUAGUACCUAGAUGGUUAUCUAUCUCUCUAUGUUCUUCAUUGCCAUGAUCAUCACGACUCAUGUGGUGAUCCAUCUUAUGUAAUCAUUGUUGUGCGGUGCAUUUGUUGGGAUCCGAUGAAUUAUGGGUUUAUGUUUAGAUUAUUCAUGAAUAAUAUUUGAGUCUUUCUUGAAUUCUUAUAUGCAUGAUUGUGAUAGCUUCGCAAUUCUCUCUGAUCUAUUGAUUUGGUUUGGUCAAGUAGAUUGAUCUAUCUUUAGUGGGAGAGGCGCGUUGUAGUGGGUUCAAUCUUGCGGUGCUCAAUCCUAGUGACAGAAAGAGAUAUGACACGUAUUAUAUUCCUUCCACUAAGGGUAAAAACGAUGGGGUUGAUUCAUAUUAAUUGGAUUUACUUUCUCUACAUCAUGUGAUUAUUCUCCAAGCAUUACUCUGUUUUCACUUAAUACUCUAGAUGCAUGUUAGAUAGAGGUGUGAUAAUAGUAGAUACAUGUAGAAGUCGGUCUCCUUUCUUAGAGAUGUGAUGCAUAUAUGUAAUGCUAAUUGCAAUGAAUGAAUACUACAUAACUAUUCGCUUUUCUAUCAGUUGACCAACAAUAAUUUGUUUACCCACCAUAUGUUUUCUACAAGAGAGAAGCCUCUGAAGAAAUCUAUGGCCCCCGGGUCUAUUCACAAAUAUAUUUAUCAAAACACUAAAUACCUUGCUGCCUUUUAUUGUUUGUAUUUAAUUUUUAUAUUUCAUAUAUUUAAACUAUCUAUCUAUCACUACUUAUUACUUGCAAGUAACGAGUCCAAGGGGAUUCACAACCCUCUUGCCCGCGUUGGGUGCAAGUGUGUGCUCUUUUGUGUGUAGACGCUAAAGACAAAAAAUUGCGUGGUCCUCCUGUUGGUUCGAUAACCUUGGUUCUCAUUGAGGGAAAUACUUAUUUAUAUUGUGAUGCAUCAUCCUUUCCUCUUCGGGGAAAACCCCAAUGCAGAUCACAAGUAUGACAUGGUCAUUGGGUCCUUUUUGCUCUAAGAUGAUGGUGUUCUGCCGGUUGCCAACUCUCAUGGAUCUGCCAUUGACGUGUUCCGAAAUGCUCCGCCAAAGAUCUUCAUUCGGUGCUUCACGCAUGUAUAUUGUUGGAUCGAAUGGAAUUCGGUCAUGUGCGCCCUUGUUUCAGCCCGAGUGGCUUCACGAGGGUCUGACGCGAAAGUUCGGUCUAUGUUGACAUUAUGGGAGAUGACGGUUUUUGGAUAUUCAUGUUGAAGCCAUUAGCAUAGAACGUCAUGGCGGAUGAGCUCUGAGGCCUCGUAAUGUAGAUCGAGUCUUCGUGGAGAUGAGUACUUUCCUUGGUGAUUUGUGACUCAUAGCCUUGACAUCCGCAAGUACGGGCGGUAGCACAUGCGGAGUACAAAGUCUUAGCUUUCAGGGUGAAAACUCAAGGCCUGACCUUAAUUGGUUCUGUAUGGCAGAUACCUUGUCGAAGGCAUUGAUUUGAUAUCACGGAUCUUCUCUAGGGUGAAGACCUUAGAUCUAGGAUAGGCUGAUGGGGGUACUUGCACUAGUAGAGAAAUGGCUAGCCAGAAGUUUUGUUGGUGGGGCGCCAUCUCACACCAAUGCAGAACAAGCACCUCAAUACAACGCGUCGAGUUGCCUUUUCGACCCCUCCGUCGCCCAUCAUGCAGGAGACCAAGGGGACACAACCCCUCGUCGUCGGUCCCCCUCCUCCUAUCCCCUCACCCCUACGCCCCCGCCGGUGGUCGGCGCCGGACUAAGCCUGCGCGUGGGCGGCGGCGGAGGAGGAGUCGCCCUCUCACUCAGGGAUUAGGAUGCACGGGAUCCCAGAUCUCGAGGAUGAGGCCCCGAUCGAUCACGACGAUGUUGUUCUAGCCAUGACAGCCUCCAUUUGGAGUGACCCGACCGACCGAUGACCGAGUGGCGUUCGUGGCGACAGACUGGCUCUGCUCUGCCUAGUCUGCGACGAAGGGUCGUGGAUCCGGGGUGGUGGCCCCUAGGUUGGCCUCCUUGUCCGGCAUGAUGGGGCAGGUGGGUUGCCGGGGAUUGGAUCGGGCAGCGGUGAUCCUGCGACGGCUUGGCGCGACGGCGUGAGAUCUGGAGGUUGCCCCUUUCUCCUGUUGCCUCUCUCGUCGUCCCGGUGGUUUGCGGCUGCAGGCUCCGGUGAUGGUGAGCCCUAGUGGUGUACCUUGGGUCCUGGGGAAACCUUGACCGGUCUGGCCAGCCCGGCAGUGGCGUCGCCCAUGGGUGUCACUUUCCUUCAUGAAGUUCAUUCUGCAUCCGAUAUAUCUAAUUUGAAGAAGGGGGUCAAUACAUAUAUAUGAAUAAAUGAAACUGAACACAAAUGAUGGUAAUAAAAUAAAAUUGUGAAUAUUAUUAUUUGCGCACGUCAUAUUGUUUGUCAGAGUAGCCCCGCUCACAGGUCACGUGGCAGAUGGACUCGCAAAUGUAGUAUCCACAGUAAUCAUUCCCUGGUUACUGCCACAACCACUUUACAAGAAAUAGAGGUCAAUCAAACUGAUAGUUAGCAAGCAUGCUAAAUGGUAUUGAUGAAACUAGCGCUUGAAUCACUAGGAGAUGCGUGGAACAUGCUACUAUAGUACUUACUUUCGGGUGUCUAAAUUGCAGCUUCUUCGGCAGUCCCGGAGUUUUUGCGGUGAAUUUUUUCCAAACCCUGUCAGACAAGAAAACAAUUACUUGAUAUCAGGAAAUGAACAAAGUUGCCGAUAUGGUGCGAUAAUGAUCGAUUUAACUUACUUCUCUAGAAUUCCAGUCAUGUCCGCAUACUCGUUGGGAUCCUUUCGUCUUGAGUCUAAGACGGUUACUAGUCCGUGCUCAAUCUUAAUCUCUAGGAGAAUAUAGUGGAAGCUGCGCACGCAUGCAUAACUCAUCAAUUACAUUACUAUAACCUUGACUAAUAAGGGAAACCGAAUAUGCACAAGACAGUAACACUCACUGGAAUUUGUAAGGAAAGAGUAUUAUAGCUUUGUUUUGAUUCAAUACAAACGAUUGUAGCAGGUUGGCCUCGGUAUCUUUGGCCUGAGAUUUAAUCAUAAAUGCAUCUACGAGAUUUGUGUUAAUGAACCCAAUAUCACCGAUUUGUCUUUUCUUCAAUUCGACGAUCUUCAAUCUGCAUAUAAUAUAGUGAGGAUAAUUAAAAAUACAUGCAACGAAAAAGCUGACCUAUAUAUAGAGACUUAAUGACAGAAGUAGUACUACUUACAGGCAGUAGCAAGUGAUCAUUAAUUUAUCGAGGGCCUUUAGAUUGAAAAACGGAAAGAACUCCUCAAAUGGAACCAUCAACAGUUCAAGUCCAACGAGGUCAUGCUCCUUUCUAACUCCGAGCAGCAAAAUAUUACUCCACCCGGACUCUUUGCAAGUUUUCAUGUACCAAUCAUGGAAUCUUCGCAUCAUCGUUGUUAGAGAUCUUUCAUCUUUGACGAGAGGCUUCCCGUACACGUAUUUGUGUCCGUCCACCUCCAAUCAAUCAAAAUGUGCAUCAUCGGGCAUGUAAUCUGCGGGAUUGGUACCGGGAAACAAGAUCCUCGGAUGAUUAGCGACGAUAUCGCUAGACACCUUGAGCGGGGGGAACGAUUGGUUCGCUUGUUCGCCGAGCUGGGCAACUUUUUUCCCAGCUCCUCGUUCUGCUAACCUUUGAUCACUGACAGUACUUCCUGACCGCAGCGCUUCGAUAAAUGACUUUGUAAUAAUGCGCUCAUAGUUGCCUUUCGUCGGAGACUUUGGUGGUUUCUUCAGGGCAGCCAGAGUACGCUUUGCUUUUACCAGAUCUAUCUUCUCCUCCGGAGGUGGAUGUUUUUUUGCUUUCACCCCUUCAAAGAAGUUCUUCACUUCGGCUUCCACGAUCUUCGUGAUUUCCUCCUGGCUCCUCUCGUAUGGUAACUUCUCUGGAGUCUUCAGAGAAGGACCGUAUCUGUAUUGCCUGCCUUUGGCUGUAGUGCUAGACGCCGGAGCAGACGGAGCGGCUGCGGCUGUCUUUCCUUUCUUACGAGGCGAAGCAGAAGGACGACGCGCCGGAGGAGCCGGUGCGGCGGCGGGUCUCUUCCGCCCUUGUUGACGAGGCGGAGAAUGGGGAGGCAGCUGGCUGCUCGGGCGCGCCAGCGCAGGCGAAGAAGGAGGCGAAGUGUCGCCACGCGCUGGAGAAGGAGGCUGAGUGCCCUGAUCACUCGCCGGAGGAGGCGGAGUGCCCUAGCUCGCCGGAGGAGGAGGAGGAGGCGGAGGCGUCCAGUUCGGAAGGUUGAUGAGUUCCUUCCGCCAUAGGCAUGGAGUCUUCAGAGAAGAACCCAGCCGAAUCUCCCCUUCACCCGUAGGAUGGUCAAGCUCAAGGUCCUCAAAUCCGUCUGUUAUUUGAUCCACCAUCACCCUAGCAUAUCCUUCUGGAAUGGGCUGGCCGUGGUAGGUUGAGUCAGGUUCAUUAGGUAAAACAGAGCCAACAGCCGCCUUGACUUUAAAUGUCAUCCAUCGCGUCAUAAGGUGGCAAUGUUGAGACUCUAUGAUAGCAUCCACGGGGUAGCCCGUGAAGACAGGCUCCAACUGCUGAGUUUUCUCGGUGGAAGCCAGGCUUCUUCUCCGCUGAGAUGGCGGGGUAGCUUCAGGGGAAGCUUCGGCAUGUCGUUUGCUGCGAUCUGCUUCUCGUUCCUCUAGCCCUUGUACCCUUUCGUGCAGCACCUGCAGUUGGCUAUGCUCCACUUUCUUCCUCCUCUCCUGGGUUUUGUAACCCCCUGCGUCCGGAAACCCAGCGUUCCAUGGAAGGGAGCCUGGCGUGCCUCCUGUCCAUCCAGGGUGCUCAGGAUUCCCAAGGGCCAUUGUGAGCUCGUCCUUCUCUCUGUCUGGAACGAACGUCCCUUCCUGUGCUGCGGCGAUAUAGUGUCGAAGCUUCGUGACGGGUAUUCACAGUUGCUCUUCCGUCCAAACGCACUUCCCUGAUACAGGGUCCAAGGUUCCGCCAACCCCGAAGAACCAAGUCCGGCAACGUUCUGGCCAUCUCAAUGUCUCUGGUUCGACCCCUUUAGCAAUCAGGUCAUUCUCAGCCUUCUCCCACAAAGGUCGGGCUCUGAGGUAACCACCUGACCCCGUGCGAUGGUGAUGCUUCUUCUUCGUAGCAUUUUUCUUGUUUGUCGCUGACAUCUUCUUACUCUUUUCCGAUGUCUUGUGGGCCACAAAUGCAGGCCAUUGAUCUCUGAUCUUCUCAAACCGGCCGGUGAAUUCUGGUGUCUCUUCUUUGUCGACAAACGUUUUCAGCUCAUUCUUCCACCUCCUGAAUAGUUCUGCCAUCUUCUUAAGAGCACGAGACUUGAUCAAUUGCUCUAUAACUGGCUUCUCCGGAUCCUCCUCUGGCGGUAGGGUGAAAUUUGCCUUAAGCGUUGUCCAAAGAUCUUCUUUCUGCAUAUCGGAGACAUAAGACGUCGGCACCUCAGGGUCUUCCUUCUUUGGCUUUAACCAUUGCUGGAUACUGAUCGGUAUCUUGUCCCUAACAAGAACCCCGCACUGAGCACGAAAUGCAACCCUUGUCCGGAUGGGUUCAAUCGGCUUGCCAUCGGGCGCGAUUGCUGUGAUCUCAAACCUUUCAUCCGAGCGCAAAUUUUUCUUUGGGCCUCGUUUCUUUACCGAAGUUGAGCUCGAUCCGAAGGGCUAGAGAAAUAAGAAGAAAGACGAGAGUUAAUUAAUAUGUGUACAUAUGAAAACAAUGAAUGCAUCAGUUAACUAGUCAGCACGGGCUUAACUAAUAUAUAUAUACCUGGCCGAACUCGGUUCGGUCACCGGAGCCGUCAUCACGGUCUCCUUCUUGUACCUCGAUUGGGUCACCAGAGCCAUCAUGAACAUAGCCCUCUUCUUGUAUCGGCACUAAUGGGUCACCGGAGCCAUCAUUAACAUAGCCCUCUUCUUCACUCGGUCCUUCCUGACCAUCGGUGUCGUAGAGAAACGACACAAUGACAUCAGUUCCUUGUGCGAUUAUCUCCCCCAACAUCGCUUUUGAUGCUUUGUCUCGGGAGGGAUCCAUAGUUUCUGCAAAUAUUUACAACAUGUCAAUUAUUAUUCAAACAUGGUACAGAUGGAUAUAUAUUAUUGGCAAACGUAGAACUAGCUAGCUAAUCACAAUAAGGAAUCAUGUUAGUGGCCUCGACGUUGCUUCUCUAGGGUUUGGGGUGGCCUAGACAACGCUUCAAGGGUUUGGGGUGGCCUCGACACAACGCUUCAAGGGUUUGGGGUGGCCUCGACGACAACGCUCUUUUAACUUGGUAAAUUUGGGUGGCCUCGAGAGAGUUUGUCGGGUAGGGGCGAGGCGGGAGGGGGUAGGAGACCAACAUCGUUUUUUCUCUAGGGUUUGGGUGUCCUCGAGAGUUUUGGUCGAGCGAGAGAGCCGAGGGGGGUGCUCCCGUGGUAUAAGUUAUCACGGUCGAGAGUGGGUAUAUAUAUCGAUCGCCCCUUAUGUCGAAGUUAUCCGGGAGGGGGUUAUAUCGACAACGACGCGACAUACAUAUACAUGGGAAAAUAAUGUUAUCGGGGAAGGGGUAUAUCGGUACCCCCCCCCUCGAGUUGAAGUUCGAUCGGGAGGGGGUAUAUCGACAACGACAUACCAGAUAAAAAAUAAGAAGACAAAAGAAGAAAUAAAAAGAGGAGAAGAAGAAAGGAAUAGAAGAGAAGCAAUCGAAGAAAAAAAGAAGAAAAAAAAGAGAAGAAGAAAGGAAUAGAGGAGUAAGAAGAAAAAAAAAUAGAAAAUUAAUUUUCUAUUUUUUUUCUUCUUACUCCUCUAUUCCUUUCUUCUUCUCCUCUUCUUUUUCUUCUUUUUUCCUCUUCUUAUUUAUUUCUCCUCUUCUUCCUCUCCUCUUCUUCUCCUUUCUUCCUCUUCUUAUUUUCCUUUUUCUCCUCUCAUUCUUUUUCUUCUUCUUCGUUAUCUUCCUAGCUAUAUAUAAUACUUUUCUAAAAAUGUAACUUUUGCAUAUAUAAAUCUUUUUCUUCUUCUUACUUCUUCCUUCUUUUCCUAAAUAUAUAAAACUUUUCUAAAAAUGAAACUAACCUAAAAUGUAGUAAAUUAGAGAACAUAUAUAGAUAAAACUAACCUAAAAUGUACCCAAAUGUGCUAAAAAUCUAACUUUCAUAUGCACAGAAAACAUACAUACAUAUAUACAUUUUUAUAAAAAUGCAAAAACAAAUCAUCAUUUAUAUGAACAAAGGAGAGGACAGGGUGGGCGGCGCCGGCCUGACCAAGGAGAGGCACGGCGCCGGCGUCGGUGUAGAGGGCGGCGACGGCCGCAUGGUCGGGGCAGGGGCGAUGGCGAUCGACGGGGCAAAGGGAGGUGACGGCGUCGACGGGGCGGGUAGGGGCGCGGUAGAGGCACGGCGAGGGCGCGCGGCGUGGUCGGGGGGCAGGGGCGACGACGGCGUGGUCGGGCCGGGCAACGGCGGCGUGGUCGGGGCAGGGGCGACGACGGCGAGCUCGGGCAGCCUGGCGGCGUCGUCGGAGGAAUCGAAGAAACCGACGAAAUUUUCACAAAUGCUGGCUUAUAUAGCAAAGCCAUUGGUACCGGUUCGUGGCACCAACCGGUACCAAUGCCUCCUUUAGUCCUGGUUCGUGCCACAAACCGGGACCAAAGUCCGCCGCUUCCCGCCCGUUGGGCUGGUGAAAAGUGACCUUUGGUCCCGGUUGGUGGCACCAACCGGGACUAAAGGUCACUUUUCAGCAACCCAAAGGGCGGGAAGCGGUGGCCUUUGGUCCCGGUUGGUGCCACGAACCAGUACCAAUGCACCCCCUUUAGUCCCGGUUGGUUCCACAAACCGGGACCAAAUUCUGCCCGCGUCACGGCCAAAGUUUAGUCACACCUCGCUAGUUGAGAGGGGCGCGCAGUGGUUUAUAAGCCCCACUGCCGCACCCCUCUCGAGCUCCUCUCCACUGCAGGCUUACGGGCCUACUUGCUACUUCUUUGCCUGAUGGGCCUUCUGGGCCUACUAUGGGCCUGAAUCCUGGCCCAUGGAUGGGUUUAUAGUCGUAUUCACGCCGUGGUGGCCCAGUUGGUGGCAAAUGUUUUAUUUUUUCCCAGUUUUUUUUGUUUUCUUUUUUUUUAUUUUUUUUUUUUUNNNNNNNNNNNNNNNNNNNNNNNNNNNNNNNNNNNNNNNNNNNNNNNNNNNNNNNNNNNNNNNNNNNNNNNNNNNNNNNNNNNNNNNNNNNNNNNNNNNNNNNNNNNNNNNNNNNNNNNNNNNNNNNNNNNNNNNNNNNNNNNNNNNNNNNNNNNNNNNNNNNNNNNNNNNNNNNNNNNNNNNNNNNNNNNNNNNNNNNNNNNNNNNNNNNNNNNNNNNNNNNNNNNNNNNNNNNNNNNNNNNNNNNNNNNNNNNNNNNNNNNNNNNNNNNNNNNNNNNNNNNNNNNNNNNNNNNNNNNNNNNNNNNNNNNNNNNNNNNNNNNNNNNNNNNNNNNNNNNNNNNNNNNNNNNNNNNNNNNNNNNNNNNNNNNNNNNNNNNNNNNNNNNNNNNNNNNNNNNNNNNNNNNNNNNNNNNNNNNNNNNNNNNNNNNNNNNNNNNNNNNNNNNNNNNNNNNNNNNNNNNNNNNNNNNNNNNNNNNNNNNNNNNNNNNNNNNNNNNNNNNNNNNNNNNNNNNNNNNNNNNNNNNNNNNNNNNNNNNNNNNNNNNNNNNNNNNNNNNNNNNNNNNNNNNNNNNNNNNNNNNNNNNNNNNNNNNNNNNNNNNNNNNNNNNNNNNNNNNNNNNNNNNNNNNNNNNNNNNNNNNNNNNNNNNNNNNNNNNNNNNNNNNNNNNNNNNNNNNNNNNNNNNNNNNNNNNNNNNNNNNNNNNNNNNNNNNNNNNNNNNNNNNNNNNNNNNNNNNNNNNNNNNNNNNNNNNNNNNNNNNNNNNNNNNNNNNNNNNNNNNNNNNNNNNNNNNNNNNNNNNNNNNNNNNNNNNNNNNNNNNNNNNNNNNNNNNNNNNNNNNNNNNNNNNNNNNNNNNNNNNNNNNNNNNNNNNNNNNNNNNNNNNNNNNNNNNNNNNNNNNNNNNNNNNNNNNNNNNNNNNNNNNNNNNNNNNNNNNNNNNNNNNNNNNNNNNNNNNNNNNNNNNNNNNNNNNNNNNNNNNNNNNNNNNNNNNNNNNNNNNNNNNNNNNNNNNNNNNNNNNNNNNNNNNNNNNNNNNNNNNNNNNNNNNNNNNNNNNNNNNNNNNNNNNNNNNNNNNNNNNNNNNNNNNNNNNNNNNNNNNNNNNNNNNNNNNNNNNNNNNNNNNNNNNNNNNNNNNNNNNNNNNNNNNNNNNNNNNNNNNNNNNNNNNNNNNNNNNNNNNNNNNNNNNNNNNNNNNNNNNNNNNNNNNNNNNNNNNNNNNNNNNNNNNNNNNNNNNNNNNNNNNNNNNNNNNNNNNNNNNNNNNNNNNNNNNNNNNNNNNNNNNNNNNNNNNNNNNNNNNNNNNNNNNNNNNNNNNNNNNNNNNNNNNNNNNNNNNNNNNNNNNNNNNNNNNNNNNNNNNNNNNNNNNNNNNNNNNNNNNNNNNNNNNNNNNNNNNNNNNNNNNNNNNNNNNNNNNNNNNNNNNNNNNNNNNNNNNNNNNNNNNNNNNNNNNNNNNNNNNNNNNNNNNNNNNNNNNNNNNNNNNNNNNNNNNNNNNNNNNNNNNNNNNNNNNNNNNNNNNNNNNNNNNNNNNNNNNNNNNNNNNNNNNNNNNNNNNNNNNNNNNNNNNNNNNNNNNNNNNNNNNNNNNNNNNNNNNNNNNNNNNNNNNNNNNNNNNNNNNNNNNNNNNNNNNNNNNNNNNNNNNNNNNNNNNNNNNNNNNNNNNNNNNNNNNNNNNNNNNNNNNNNNNNNNNNNNNNNNNNNNNNNNNNNNNNNNNNNNNAACUAGAUGCACUUCGUAUACAAAACGGACAAUCUCCUUCGAAGUAUAAGGGUUUCAUACGGAAACUCGUGUGUUACAAAGGGAUUUCAAUUUUUUUAACUUAUUUGAACCCCCUUGUUUUUCUGUGUUCAAAAUGUACCAUUCAAAGCCACAUCAUCAAUUUACAACCCUUUCUGACUUCAUUUGUUAUUUUUCAUGCAUUUACUGAUUAUUUUCACCUAUAAGACCAUGAAAUUGAAAAGCAUUUGAAAUGAACUCUCGAAAGGUUCCAAGUUGGCAUGGUAUCAUCAUUUCACCCACAUAGCAUGUGCAAGAAAGUAGAGAGGCUUGCAUCAAAAACUGGAUGCACUUCGUGUACAAAACGGACAAUCUCCUUCGAAGUAUCAGGGUUUAAUACAGAAACUCGUCUGUUACAAAGGGAUUUCAAUUUUUUUUAACUUAUUUGAACCCCCUUGUUUUUCUGUGUUCAAAAUGCAUAAUUAAAAGCCACAUCAUCAAUUUACAACCCUUUCUGACUUCAUUUGUUAUUUUUCAUGCAUUUACUGAUUAUUUCCAGCUAUAAGACCAUGAAAUUGAAAAGCAUUGAAAUGAACUCUGAAAAGGUUCCAAGUUGGCAUGGUAUCAUCAUUUCACCCACAUAGCAUGUGCAAGAAAGUAGAGAGGCUUACGGCAAAAACUAGAUGCACUUCGUAUACAAAACGGACAAUCUCCUUCGAAGUAUAAGGGUUUCAUACGGAAACUCGUGUGUUACAAAGGGAUUUCAAUUUUUUUAACUUAUUUGAACCCCCUUGUUUUUCUGUGUUCAAAAUGUACCAUUCAAAGCCACAUCAUCAAUUUACAACCCUUUCUGACUUCAUUUGUUAUUUUUCAUGCAUUUACUGAUUAUUUUCACCUAUAAGACCAUGAAAUUGAAAAGCAUUUGAAAUGAACUCUCGAAAGGUUCCAAGUUGGCAUGGUAUCAUCAUUUCACCCACAUAGCAUGUGCAAGAAAGUAGAGAGGCUUGCAUCAAAAACUGGAUGCACUUCGUGUACAAAACGGACAAUCUCCUUCGAAGUAUCAGGGUUUAAUACAGAAACUCGUCUGUUACAAAGGGAUUUCAAUUUUUUUUAACUUAUUUGAACCCCCUUGUUUUUCUGUGUUCAAAAUGCAUAAUUAAAAGCCACAUCAUCAAUUUACAACCCUUUCUGACUUCAUUUGUUAUUUUUCAUGCAUUUACUGNNNNNNGUAUCACGGUUUCAUACGGAAACUCGUCUUUUACAAAGGGAUUUCAUUUUUUUGAACUUAUUUUAACCCCCUUGAUUUUCUGUGUUCAAAAUGCACCAUUCAAAGCCACAUCAUCAAUUUACAACUCUUUCUGACUUCAUUUGUUAUUUUUAUGCAUUUAUUGAUUAUUUUCAGCUAUAAGACCAUGAAUUUGUAAAGCAUUUGAAAUGAACUCUGAAAAGGUUCCAAGUUGGCAUGGUAUCAUCAUUUCACCCANUAGAUGCACUUCGUGUACAAAACGGACAAUCUCCUUCGAAGUAUCACAGUUUCAUACGGAAACUCGUCUGUUACAAAGGGAUUCCAAUUUUUUUGAACUUAUUUGAACCCCCUUGUUUUUUUGUGUUCAAAAUGCACCAUUCAAAGCCACAUCAUCAAUUUACAACCCUUUCUGACUUCAUUUGUUAUUUUUCAUGCAUUUACUGAUUAUUUUCAGCUAUAAGACCAUGAAAUUGUAANNNNNNNNNNNNNNNNNNNNNNNNNNNNNNNNNNNNNNNNNNNNNNNNNNNNNNNNNNNNNNNNNNNNNNNNNNNNNNNNNNNNNNNNNNNNNNNNNNNNNNNNNNNNNNNNNNNNNNNNNNNNNNNNNNNNNNNNNNNNNNNNNNNNNNNNNNNNNNNNNNNNNNNNNNNNNNNNNNNNNNNNNNNNNNNNNNNNNNNNNNNNNNNNNNUCAUUUCACCCACAUAGCAUGUGCAAGAAAGUAGAGAGGCUUACGGCAAAAACUGGAUGCAUGUCGUGUACAAAACGGACAAUCUCCUUCGAAGUAUCACGGUUUCAUACGGAAACUCAUCUGUUACAAAGUGAUUUCAAUUUUUUGAACUUAUUUGAACCCCCUUGUUUUUCUGUGUUCAAAAUGCACCAUUCAAAGCCACAUCAUCAAUUUACAACCCUUUUUGACUUCAUUUGUUAUUUUUCAUGCAUUUACUGAUUAUUUUCAGCUAUAAGACCAUGAAAUUGUAAAGCAUUUGAAAUAAACUGUGAAAAGGUUCCAAGUUGGCAUCGUAUUAUCAUUUCACCCACAUAGCAUGUGCAAGAAAGUAGAGAGGCUUACGACAAAAAAUAGAUGCACUUCGUGUACAAAAUGGACAAUCUCCUUCGAAGUAUCAGUGUUUCAUACGGAAACUCGUCUGUUACAAAGGGAUUUCAAUUUUUUUGAACUUAUUUGAACCCCCUUGUUUUUCUGUGUUCAAAAUGCACCAUUCAUAGUUGUAAGACCAUGAAGUUGAAAAGCAUUUGAAAUGAACUCUGAAACCAAAGUACAUACAUAGUUCUCGAGAGCAUUAAAACCAAAGUACAUACAUAGUUCUCAUUGAACAACAUAUAGCUCUCUAGAGCAUCUAAUUAAACCAUACAUUGAGAUUAUGUAAAAAAUUUCAAUGCAAAAACAAAUGCGAUCAUAACCGCUACCAAGGUAACAACUGAUCCAACUGCAUAAUGAUACCAAGCCUCGGUAGGAAUGGCAUAUUUUCUAAUCUUUUUAAUCUUCAACCGCAUUGCAUCCAUCUUGAUCUUGUGAUCAUCGACGACAUCCGCAACAUGCAAGUCCAAUAUCAUCUUCUCCUCCUCAAUUUUUCUUACUUUUUCCUACAAGUAAUUGUUUUCUUCUUCAACUAAAUUUAACCUCUCGACAGUAGGGUCGGUUGGAAUUUCCGGUUCAACAACCUCCUAGAUAAAUAAAAUCUAUGUCACAUUGGUCGGCAUAAUUGUCAUAAACAAUAAAUGAACCAAAUAGUUAUGAAAAGAUAAUAUAUACCACAUGUGAAUCAUAGACAGGACGAGGGCCGACGGGGGCGGAUACCAAAACCAUCGCACUAUAUAAUAACAAGGAAUAAUAAAAGUAAGAAAAUUAGACAAGUAUCUAUCUGAAGUCAGAAUUUUUUUCUUUCAGAAAGAAGAUAAGAACAAGAGGCUCACCAUGGUGGUGCUGGCGACGAGAUCGGCGCGGGCAAUCGACGGCGAUGAAGACGGGGCGUGACGGACCGCUAAAUCUAGACAAAUCUCGUUGAAAAUGGAGCUCGGAGGUCGAGUUUCGAGAGGAGAAAGCUUAACUAGUGUGGCUCGGGCAUUUCAUCGAACACCUCAUGUGCAUAGGAGGUGAACUAGAGCACCCAAAUGCCCUCCCCUCGCCGGCUUGACAAAAACAGAGCACUGUGGAGUGCUCUGCCGUGGCGGUGGGUAUAUGUAGGCAAGUUAUUUGUCCCGGUUCAAGCCACGAACCGGGACCAAUGGUUGUGGGCCAGCAGCGAGGACCAUUGGCCCCGGUUCGUGGCUCGAACCGGGACAAAUGGUUACACAUGAACCGGGACCAAUGCCCACGAGGCCCCCGCCGGCCCCCUGGGCUCACGAACCGGGUCUAAUACCCCCCAUUGGUCCCAGUUCUUGAAGAACCGGGACUAAUGGGCUGGCCAGGGCUGAAACGAUAGCCCUGUUUUCUACUAGUGGAAGAACCUAAUGAUAUUUCUGCGUCUGAUGCAGAAACACAAUCUGGUGAUGAACAUGAACCUGGUGACAAUAUGGAUAGUGAUGUUCAUAAUAAUGCUCAACCUAGCAAUGAUGAGGAUGUGGAGAUUGAACCGGCGGUUAAUCCUGAUAACCCACAACCUAAGAAGUACCAUAAGAAUGACUUCACUGCUAGGAAGCAUGGUAAUGAAAGGGAGCCAUGGGUUCAGAGACCUAUGCCCUUUCCUGCUAAGCCAUCCAAGAAAAAGGAUGAUGAGGAUUUUGAGCGCUUCGUUGAGAUGAUAAGACCCGUCUUUCUGCAGAUGCGGUUAACUGAUAUGCUCAAGAUGUCUCCGUAUGCCAAGUACAUGAAAGAUAUUGUGACUAAUAAACGGAAGAUACCAGAUCUUGAGAUCUCCACCAUGCUUGCCAAUUACACUUUCAAAGGUGGAACUCCUAAGAAACUUGGUGAUCUCAGAGUGCCCACUAUACCUUGCUCCAUUAAAGGGAACUACGUAAGAACUGCCUUAUGUGACCUUGUAGCCGGUGUUAGUGUUAUGCCGCUCUCUCUUUAUCGUAGACUUGAAUUGGAUAAGUUGACACCCACUGAAAUUUCUCUGCAAAUGGCUGACAAAUCAACUACUUUCCCUAUCGGCAUUUGCGAGGAUGUGCCUGUUGUGGUUGCUAACACCACUAUCUUAACAGACUUUGUUAUCUUGGAUAUUCCCAAGGACGAUGCCAUGGUUGUCAUCCUCGGAAGACCCUUUUUAAACACCGCAGGGGCUGUUAUAGAUUGAAACAAAGGCAAUGUCACUUUCCAUGUCAACGGUAACGAGCACACAGUGCACUUUCCGAAGAAACGAUAUCCAGUACAUUGCAUCAAUGCUAUCGAAAAGACUUCAUCGAUUCUCAUUGGGAGCUUUGAAUGCCCUAUUCCUCGUGUCAAGAUGAAGUAUGAUUUGCUUGUUGGGGAGUUACAUAUCCCCAUUGAGGUGACUUAGUGGCUAUCAGAAAAUUCUCCGUUCUCUCUUGCGAUUCGAGAAGGUUUUGUCAUAAGGACUUGAUCAAUCCCAUUGACGGAUUUCUUUCGAUGACCAUGAAACGGAUGAAUCAAAGAGUCACAUACCUCUGUUUUGAGCUUUCAUUUUAUUUUGCUUAGAAUAAAAAUGAUAGAAUUAGUUUAGUUUUUCCUGUUUUCUGUUUUAGCGUCCGGGAGAAAAAUACCUCGAAAAUAAAAGUUCUUCGAUGGUCCUGAAAAUUUGUAUGAUUUUUUCUGGAAUUUUUGAAAAAUUAUGGGCCUGAGAGCUUGCCUUGGGGCCUGACCAGUGGGCCACAAGCCCUCCCACUGCCACCUACCCCCCUGGUGGUGGGGUGCAAGCUUGUGGGGCCCACAGGCACCCCCUCCACUCAUUCCAGCUCUCAGCCUCUUCUUCCACCUCCAGAAAAAAUUGUUUCGCAGCUCAAACCCAUCUUCUUGAUCAUUUGGCUGUGAUUUUCGAUCUCCUUGCUCAAGCACCAUUCUCCGAACCGUUUGGGAAAAUUACUCCUUGGUAAGUGACUCCUCAUUGGUCCAAUUAGUUUUUGCUCUAGUGCUUUAUCCUUCGCGUAUUCUUGCUACCUUGGUGACCAUGUUCUUGAGCUUGAAAAGUUGAUUUUAGCUGGUCCCAAGUAGUUUUAGCGCGUGAUACGGUCUCUAGGCACUAGUAGGAGUAGUUGCUACAAGUUGGGUUAAUCUUUAUUCGCUUUUCUUUCGAACUCUCUAAAAAUUUCAGAAAUAAAGGAAAAGACGAGGAGGUUCUUGAGAGGCUCUUCAAGCUGUAACCCCAAGGAGGAUGAGAAGAACCACCCCAAGUACGUAGUCCCUCGAGUCACAGAAGUUCGAGCGUGCGAGUGGCCAAGUGAUGAAUUUUUGCGCGCCGCCGGAUUUUAUGAAGACUUUUAUUACUUGGUGGAGAACGCAGGUCUUACUGCGUUCGUUGAAGAUAAGUUCCCACAAUACCUCCUCCUCACCAAUAUUUUCGUUCAAAGCUUCAACUUUUAUCCGAGGAAGAAUCCUCCCAUGGUUGAGUUCAUGAUAUACGAUGUUCCCCAGUGCAUGACACUACAGGAUUUUUGCAAUGUAUGCAAAUUACCUUAUGUUGGGGAUAUCCGUGAUCCUCGUCCACGGGACUUGGAGGAUUUCAUUAGUUCUAUUGCUGUUGGAGAGGAGAGAGGAGUGUCUUGUGCUAGAAUUGCUAGCAUACAUUUUCCUGUGCUCCGGUACUUCUCACUAUUUGUAGGAAAAUGUUUGAUUGGCUGUGGGGAGGCUGGAUCACUUAGUUCUCCAGACCAUGCAGUUUUGCGCGAAGGCCUUUAUAACGAUAAGACUUACAACCUAGGUGUUAUAGUGGCUCAGCGGUUGAACAUCAACCGUUCCAAGGGUGUCGUCUAUGGAGGUAUCUAUGCUACCCGUCUUGCCAGACACUUUGAGAUACCCAUUAGACUGGGAGAGGAAGGAGAGAUGCUUCUCCCUGAGAAAUAUCUGGAUUAUGACAGCAUGGUUUGCCAUGAUUUUCUGGAUAGAGAUGCUAGUAGACGGAUGAUUUAUAACCUGGUAUUUAGUCAGGGUACUCGAGAGACUAUUACUUUGCCUGCUCCUUCUUUGUUUGAUCUUCAUGCAGGAAGGUACACUAUUAUGCCCGUGGACAUCUACGCAUAUUGGGGCUUGGCCCAACCAUAGGCGCCCGUGCCCGAGCCGCCAGUCGAGUACCAGACGCCGGUUUAUCAGUGGGAGCCAGAGGAGCUCACACAGCAGUGGCAUCAACAGUCUGCUCCGGAGUAUCCUGGAGCUGGUUAUUUCCCACCUUGGGAGUAGACCAAGCUAGGCCAAAAGCCUAAGCUUGGGGGAGUGCGUGUUCUCACCGACUUUACGUUCAUGCUUAUGCUUUCACUCUGAUAGCCGGUGUUUACACUUUGCCACUUUAUUAUCUAUGCUAGUUUAUUUUCGUUUUCUUGUUUUCUUGUUUUGUGUCCUUUUGAGAAAACCCAAAAAGAUUUUUCUUUCUUCUUUUGCUUGUUGGGAGCUUUCCCGUGUAAAUAGUUUUCUUUUUAUUUGUGUCAAGGUAGAAGAUGUUGGUUAUAAUGUUUAUUGGUUCUUGCAUGCUUACCUGUUCAGCUUUCAAAGAGCCAUAUUACUUUGUCUUCUCCUUUGUGUUUGUCUGCAGAUUCGGCUUAGUCCAAUGUUCUUAUUAUCGUUCACAUCGUUCGAUCGUGCAAAUGAAAGGAAAUAAUGAUGAUAUAUGAUGAAGUGACUGAGACUGAAAAGCUGGUAUGAACUCUAGAUAUUUUGUUUUUGUAAAUAUGACUAGCUUGUCGACCCACAUUUAGCUUUGUUGUGAGAGAACCAUGUUUGCAAUGACAACUUAGAGAUCACAGUUUCUGAUGCCAUGCUUAUUUAGCUGAGAGUUUAUAAUGGUUUGUCUUGAAUGCCAACAUAGAUUUUGAGAUGACUAUGAUGUAGUAUGAUAGGAUGGUAUUCUCCUUUGAAUGUUUCAAUUGGCUUGACUUGGCGCAUGUUCAUGCAUGUAGUUGAAACAAAAUCAACAUAGCCUCUAUGAUGUUCGUAUUCAUGGUGAUUUAUAUCAUGUUCAUGCUUGCAUUCAAUGUUAGUCAAACUCAUUGCAUCUUGAUGACUGUUGUCGCUCUCUAGUUGGUCGCUUCCCAGUCUUUUGCUAGCCUUCACUUGUACUAAGCGGAAUACUGCUUGUGCAUCCACUUCCAUAAACCCAAAAGUUUUUCCAUGAGAGUCCACCAUACCUACCUAUUUGCGGUAUCUACCUGCCGUUCCAAGUAAAUUUGCAUGUGCCAUUCUCUAAACCUUCAAGAAAUAAUCUGUUUUGCAUGCCCGAACCGCUCAUGUGGUGACAGGGGGCUAUUGGUAUCUUCCAUGCUAGGAGUGUUAUCCUCGACAUGUGUUUAUUCACUGUCAUUCACGAGAAAGGGGCCGGUAAUUGGAAUGCCCAGUUCCACGCUUAAAUCGAAAACAUAACUGUAAAACAAGACUCCCCCCGGAUUGAUGUUAGUAUGGACGGUACCCGAGGAUUCGGCUAGCCGUGGAGUGUGAUUGAUUGGUGGUGGGGGAGUUAAAACUUCACUUUUCUGUUUGGGAACUGCCUAUAGCAUGAGUAGCAUGGAAGAUAUUGAGAACUCUUGGUCAUUGCGUUGACAAUGAAAGCAUGCCACCCAAAAUUAUUAUCUCUGUUUUCAAAGCUUGAGCUCUGGCACCUCCGCAAAUCAAUGCUUCCCUCUGCGAAGGGUCUGUCUAUUUAUUUUCCUGUUGAGUCAUCCUCCUCUUAUAUAAGCACCAAUUAGAGAGCACCUCUGUCAUUUUUAUGCUUUGCUUUUGAUUGAUAUUGAGUAUGACUAUGACUGGAUCUUCGUUGCUAUGAAUUACAAUGUUUAGUCAGCCUUUUGAUCUUUGAAAGUGCUCUGCAUUUAUGUUUUGCAGUCUCAGAAAGAGCUAGCGAGAUACCACCUAUUCAUAUUGCUUCAUGCUUGUUUUGAUUGAAGUGUUGGUAUUUGAAACUCAUUAUUAUUUGCUCGUUAGGUGAUUAUGCCAUUGAUAUUAGUUACUGUGAGACCUUUGUGUCAUUUGCUUAUGUGGUUAACUUGUGAUCUUGCUGAAAUUCUGGUUAUGAGUUAGACAUAGUUGCAACAACAAGAUCAAACAGAGUUUGUCAAAGUUUUUCUUUCUCUCUCAGUUUGUCAACUGAGUUGCUUGAGGACAAGCAAGGUUUUAAGCUUGGGGGAGUUGAUACGUCUCCAUCGUAUCUACUUUUCCACACUCUUUUGCCCUUGUUUUGGACUCUAAUUUCUAUGAUUUGAAUGGAACUAACCUGGACUGACGCUUUUUUCAGCAGAAUUGCCUUGGUGUUAUUUUUGUGCAGAAAUCAAAGUUCUCCAAACGUCCUGAAAAUUUACGGGGAGCAGUUUUGGAAAAUAUAAGAAAUAUCUGCGCCAAGUUCCACCUGAGGGAGUGGGCCAGUGGGCCACAAGCCCUGGCUCCGCCACCACCCCCCUGGUGGCGGUGGACAGGCUUGUGGGGCCCACACGGCUCUGCCGCCCCCAAUCUCAGGUCUAUAAGUCUCCUUUCGUCCCAGAAAAAAUAAAAAGAGAAGUUUUCGUCGCGUUUACGAUACGGAGGCGCCGCCACCACGUGUUCUUCAUCUGGAGGGCAGAUCUGGAGUCCAUCUUGGGCUCCGGAGAGGGGAAAUCCUCGCCAUCGUCAUCAUCAACCUUCUUCCCUCUCCAAUUCCAUGAAGCUCUUCAUCGUUCGUGAGUAAUAUAUUCGUAGGCUCGCUGGCCGGUGAUGAGUAGGAUGAGAUCUAUCAUGUAAUCGAGUUAGUUUUGAUGGGGAUUGAUCCUUAGUAUCCACUAUGUUCUGAGAUUGACGUUGGUACUACUUUGUCAUGCUUAAUGCUUGUCACUAGGGCCCGAGUGCCAUGAUUUCAGAUCUGAAAUUAUUAUGUUGUCACCAAUAUAUGGGUGUUUUAGAUCCGAUCUUGCAAGUUGUAGUUAUCUACUAUGUGUUAUGAUCCGGCAACCCCGAAGUGACAAUAACCGGAACCACUCACGGUGAUGACCAUAGUUUGAGGAGUUCAUGUGUUCACCAAGUGCUAAUGCGUUGGUCCGGUUCUUUAUUAAAAGGAGAACCUUAAUAUCCCGUAGUUUUCUUUUGGACCCCGUUGCCACGGGAGGAAUGGACAAUAGAUGUCAUGCAAGUUCUUUUCCCUAAGCACGUAUGACGACACACGGAAUGCAUGCCUACAUCACAUUCACGAACGGGAGCUAGCCACAUAUCUCUCCGUGUUAUAGCUGUUGCAUGAUGAAUAUCAUCCAAACAAAUCACCGACCCAUUGCCUACGAGUUUGUCCUACUGCUGUUGUUACUACUGUUGCUACUGCUGUUACUUGUCUUGCUCUGUUGUUGUUACUACUGUUGCUACUGCUGUUACUUGUCUUGCUCUGCUGCUGCUACUACUGUUGCUACUUGCUACUGCUGUCACUACUGUUGUUCCUUGUUGCUGCUAUUGCUAGUUACACUGUUGCUACCUGCUACAAUUUUGGUUCGUUGAACGUUGACGGGAACUGACAACUUCCGUCAACACGGCAACUUGGCGCCAUUGAUACAAUCGUUAGGAAUAGUCUGUCGUCAACAGAUCGUCUGUGACAUCGUUGUUAUCAUACUACUUUGCUACUGAUACUUUGCUUGCAAAUACUAAUCUUUCAGGUGUGGUUGAAUUUGACAUAUUCAGCUGCUAAUACUUGAGAGUAUACUCUCACCUCCCAUCGUGCAAAUCAACAAAUUUGGGUCGAAUACUUUACCCUCGAAAACUGCUACGAUCCCACGCGUUGGUGGGCCGUCAACAACAUUCUUCUAGUUUCGGUUGCCGGGGAUUGCAAUCAGCAUUCUUCUGGUGCCAUUGCAGGGGAAGGUCUGUUGUCAUCAGCACUCGUCUAGCUAUUGCCAGAGAGUGCCAGUCAAAACCCUAGAAGCUAGAUGGGCCAAGAUGCAGGCCUGCAGAAGGCCUAGUAGGACCACACGGCAGAGAGUGUGUGUUUAGGCCCGUAGGCCUGCGUUUGAGAGGAGCUCGAGAGAGUUGGCGCAGCGGGGCUUAUAAACAACUCUCAGCUCCUCUCAACUAGCGAGGUGGGACUAAACAUUUAGCCGCAGCAUCACCCCCCUUUAGUCCCGGCUUGGAGCUCUAACCGGGACUAAAGGCCCCCCUUUAGUCCCGGUUGGAGCCCCAAACCGGGACAAAAGGUCCACCUAUAUAAGCUGGUCGAUGGAAUUUUUCCAAUCCAAAUCGCCAGUUCCUUCUUCCUCCUCUUGCCUGACUGCACCGACGACCACCUCGACACUGCCAGGCUGCCCGACUACGCCGUCGUCGACGCCCUGCCGUCCCCGAGCCCGAUGACCAUCGCCAGCGUCGGACCUCCUCGCGCGCCCUCCUCCCUGUCGUCGAGCCCGCUCCUCGUUGUCACCGGCCUCCACAGCUCUCCAUCCCCGGGCACCAGUGAGCUCCUCUUGUCGCCACCGUCGCGCCCACACCGUCGUCGACCUCGUGCCCCCGCCAUUGUUGCGCGACCCGCGCCAUCGUCGCCGUGCCCUCCCCCGAGCCUCCUCAUCGUCGCCGCACCCUCCCCCUCCGGUGAGAAGUAUGGCAUUUUUAUAUGUGCUCUGUUUUUUUAAAUGAGAUGUAUGAGAUGUUUUGUGAAGAUGAGAUGAGAUGAGAUGUUUUGUUUAAAUGUGAGAGAGAUGAGAGAAUUUCUUUUAGGUUUUUUUAGAUAGAGAAACAAAUGUUAAAAUUUGCAUGUACUCUGGCUUUUUUGUUGCAUAAUGAGAUUAGAUGAGAUGAGUCCCCGACGAUCGUCAGAGGAGUCCUCGACGAUCGCCGGUGAGGAGUCCCUGGCGAUCGUCGGAGGAGUCCCCGACGAUCGCCGGUGAGGAGUCCCUCACGAUCGUCAAAGGAGUCCCCGAUGGUCGUUAGAGGAGUCUUAGACGAUCGUCGGUGAAGAUUCCCCGACGAUCGCCUGUGUGGAGUCCCCAACGGUUGUCAGAGGAGUCCCCGAUGAUCGUCGGUGAAGAGUUCUCGACAAUCGUCGAUGAGGAGUCCCCGCCGAUCGUCGGAGGAGUCCACGACGAUCGCCGAUGAGGAGACCCCGACGGUUUGUGGCACGAACCGGCCGGGACUAAAGGUCCUAAAAAGAACUGGAACUGAUAUCCGCCGAGGCCCGACCGGCGUCCUGACCGUUCGAACCGGGACUGAUGCACGGUUCAUAAGUCGAUCUAGGCUAAUGUUCUUAUCAAGCCAUGAUCAAAGCCUGUUUUCUACAAGUGUGAGGUAGUCGCUGUUUUAGGGUUUGGCAUAGGGCCUUUGAUUUUGACGCCCCGUCCCUGAUUCGUGGCAUGUUCUUUCUAGAUCUCUCUAUUUUUUAACGUACAGAGAAAUAAAAAAGUACAAAGAGAAAACGGCACGACAAAAAAAAGAAGCAGAAUUAGGCUAGGUGUAGAAGUGGGAGAUUCCAUCCAAAUAUCUCCUUUGAAACAGUAGAGCCUAGAGGGUGUUUGUUUCCAGGGACUUAUUGGUUUAGGGACUUAAAAAAGUCCCUAUAAGUCCCACCUAAACCAAACACAAGGGACUUAUUGGGACUUGUUCUCGUGAUUAGGGACUUAUCAAAUAAGACUCUCAGGCAGGAGCUUAUUGGGACUUAUCCCGGGCCGGACCUACCCCGCGUCGCUCCAGGCUCGUUCCCCGCACGCCGCCCCGCCUCUCGGUCCAAUCGCCGCCGCCGCCCCGCCUCUCGCCCCGUCGCCGCCCCAUCGCCGCCCCGCCCCUCGCUCCGGUCGCCGCCCCGUCGCCGCCCCGCCUCUCGCUCCGGUCGCCGCCCCGCCUCUCGCUCCGGUUGCCGCACCGUCGCCGCCCCGCCUCGGUUCGUUCUGCCUCGGUUCGCCGCCCCGCCUCGGUUUGUUCUGCCUCGGUUCGUUGCAACGGUGCCUCCAAUCGCCGGACAAGCCCUUUCCUGAGCCUCGUUGCAGCGGUGCUUAUCCUGUGUGUCGUACGCGUUGGCUGAUGACGAUCCAUGUGAACAAGUGUAUUAUUAGGUGCAACAUGGACUUAUAAGUCCCUAUAAACAAACAGUGGGGACUCGGGACUUAUAAGUCCAUGUAAACAAACAGGGCCUUAGGCCCUGUUUGUUUCAUAAGUCCUAGGACUUUUUUAAGUCCCAACUUAUAAGUCAUAAGGCCCUACCUGUUUGUUUACAUGGACUUAUAAGUCCCGAGUCCCUACCUGUUUGUUUACAGGGGCUUAUAAGUCCAUGUUGCACCUAAUAAAAUACACUUGUUCACAUAACCCUUGUUCAUACAAAUGAAUUGCAGAAUAGUGACAACCGAAAUAAUAAUUGUUCAUAACACUUGUUCAUACAAACGAAUUAACACUUGUUCAUAAGAACCAAAAUAAGACAGAGUACAUAACAACCGAGAUAACAGAAAUUACAGAAGCGAAGAACACUUCUUCAUAUCAUUGUUGUUUCAAGGACCACAACCCAUCAGCGACCCAAGCUCUGAAUUGAUUCAUAGCAGCACUGUCCAUCUCAUUUGUUGAAUCAUUUGUUGUAGUCGUUGGCAUAGACAAUGGUACAUAAUUUUCAUCUUGAUCACACAAGUCGAAAUCUAUAUCGGCGAGUUGGCUUUGUCUAAUAAAAUUGUGCAGUGCAAUGCAAGCCACAAUUAUUUUGCUUUGUUUCUGUUGUGGAUAACUAGGCAAGUGAAACAAAAUCCUCCACUUGUUCUUCAGCACUCCAAAACACCUCUCGAUGACAUUUCUAAGUGAAGAAUGGGUGAAAUUGAAGUGUUCCUUUUUUCCUCUAGGCAUUGUGCCAUCACGGUACUCCUGGAAAUGAUAAGUUAAACCCUUGUAUGGUGAAAGAUAACCCGGUCUAUUUGGGUACCCUGAGUCGACAAGAUAGAACUUAUUAGGUGGAGGUUUUGGAAACUUGUCACCAAAUCUGGAUCGGGCAUCAUUGAAGACCCUCAUGUCAUGCACUGAUCCUGGCCAACCAGCUAGGACAAAUGUAAAUCUCAUAUCAAAGUCACACACACACAUCACAUUCUGACUCUUCUCCUUAUGUCUAUUCCUAUGCUGGGCAGCAGUGGCAACUGGUACCACAACUUGUAUGUGUGUACCAUCUAUUGCACCAAUGCAAUUAUCCAUAAACGGUGCAUACUUUCUAGAUCUUAAUUUUAAAUGCACAGUCCUAAAUUGACGAUCUAUUGGCCUGAUGAUGUCUUUUGCAAGCUUGAUCAGACAUGCCAAAACCUUAUCAAACUUCCUUACAAUUGUCUCCAAUGACCUAACAAAUCUGUUUUUUGCUUGUCUUACAGAUUGAGGGGAACCUACUAUCCAUAGAAACAGGCCUAGAGACUCAACUGAUGACAUUCUUUUAGUGGACUUCAAACCAUAGGAAUCAACAAGCACACUAUGCAAUUUCUCAAACACUGGUCUGUGCAUUCUAAACAUGUUGUAACAGGCCGUUUCGUUGUGUAGUGUUGUCAAAACCCAAUGCCCAGACUCUAUUGGUACUCUUCUAGGUCCUUUGUUACAGUAUGAGUCCAAGUGGUACAUACCAAUCAUGCAGGCCAUCUGCAUCAUUCUUCUCUUUCUUUUUUGGUGCAUGAACAACAUCAGUGCUUCGUCAUCACUGCUGCUCCCAUCAUCACUGCUUAUUCCAUCAACAUUGUUGUCAUCAUCCUGAAACAUGCAAACAUUAGUACAACUUAUUCAUCAUGCACCACCUCUGGAACUUGAAAACAUUAGUACGUGCAAAUUAAACACUUGAACAUGGAAUGGUCAUUUAACAAGGUCACACAACACAGGUCCAUUACAUAGUUCUAUUAAAAAGGACAAUCAAGAUAACUAGUACACUAGUACAACUUCUUCAUCAUGCACCACCUCUUCAACCAAGUCAGCCUAGCCUCAUUAGUUGAAAUGUUCUCAAAUAUGACUCUGUUUGCCUCAUCUGCAAAAAGUUGAGUCGCCAUGAAGUACUCAACACUUGUUUCUUCUGCACCACAUUUAACUGCCAACAAUUGACAAUGAGUAAUGGAUUCCUUAGUGUUGUUUGAUUUCUUCUCUCUUGCCUUGUCCUUUGCUUCCUGCCUUUUGUUUGCAUAUUCAGUGAUCAUGUCAGAAGUGUUAUCACUGUUAAUAGUAUUGAUGAGCCCUGUCAUUAGUUUCACCAUUGGGCUCUUGUGUUUCUUUCCUGGGCUUGAAGCUGACUGUUCACCGCCGCUGCUCCCCUUCUUCUUGCUCGUGGUGCUCAUUGGACUCUCCUCAUGUCCAUCAUCGGCAACAUCAUAUUCCUCUUCAUCAUCUUCAUCUAAGGGCACAUAAGCUGAUGAUCCAUCAACUGCCACACCUUGAAAUAGCUCUAUUAGCAUAUCCAAAUACUCAGGAUUGCCACCCUUGAAUUUUCUGACAUCUGGUCUCUCCUGCAUCAUUAGUUAGAUAAUUAGUACAAGGCUGAAUAAUGUAAACAAGUGUGAGCAAUUCAGAUGUAAUUUGAAAAAUAAUGUAUGUACCUUAAUUAUUUUUUUCCACCACUCAUUUGAUGCGGUUAUAGCUCCAUCUCCAGUUCGGCCACAACCAGUUUGCUGCCCCAACCACAUCCAAGCAGUAUAGUAGCUCUUCAGUCUAGCAAUGCAAUUUUUGAAUUGCUUGGUACUAUGCAGGAGGCCCACACGCUGAUAAAUUUUUUUUCUUCAUGUUAUUGUAUGCUCUACUUGUCCAAACAUCAUUCACACAGUGCCCAUCCCUAGCUUCCUCACAGGCGAUGUUACAAAAUAAAGUAAUAUGCGCGUCUGUCCAAUCGGCCUUUGCAAUGGUUUUCUAAACAAAAAUAACAAGUACACAAUUCAAACAUAAAUAACAAGUAGACAUUUCAAACCAAAAAUAACAAGUUCACACAAUUAGCUAGCACAAAAAAAAGAUGAAUUUUAACGCUGAUACAAAAAAAGACCUAUAUACACAAUUUAAAAAGUUACCUCUCCAAAACCAUUGUUGUCAUCUUCAUCUUCAAAGCCUUCAUUCUCGUCGACAUCUUCUGAAGACGCAGCAGUUGACGACACACGUUGCUUCCCCGCAGUUUUUCCUCUAGUGCCGACAGAUGAGGACGCAUUGGCUCGACCUACACCGCGCCCGGUGACCUGCGACACGGUCCUCCCACGGCCUAUGACGCCCCCCUCAACGGCAGCUACGGCCGGGGCGACGAACGGACGCAGGUGAGAGCCGGCUCGACCUCCGAUGUUCAGAGACCGGCUGCGACCUCCUCCGCCCUGGGGCAUGGGCCUACCACGACCAGGUCCGAUCGGAGGAAGGCCAUGACUAGCCGACUGGUCGAAGAGGAGUUGCUGGUACGAGCCCAAUUUCGGGAAAUCGUCGACGUUGCUGUUGAGAUCCAAGGAACGCCCGAAACCCAUUCCCCUCCCGAGAUUUCCACCGGCGGAUGAGAACUGAGAGAAAAAAGGCAUCUGCUCGUCCUCCUCAUCAGCCAUGGUACGGUCACCUCGGACGCGGGGAUCCUCAUCAGCCAUGGCGCGGUAACCUGCAGUCAAUAUGAAUCAUCAUCAGCCUAAUUGUCAACAGCAAACUAGAAAUAUUAUCAUGUGCAAGAAUUGAUUAUUAACUUGCAAUGGAUGUAUGAGUGAGUGCACCGAUCACAGUUUGCUACAUGUGUUAGCAAAAAUUCAACAGCCCUAAUGCAGUACUCGAUCAAGCUGAGACGUAGGUAGCAUACCAGGAUAUAUAUGGGACAAUGAAUAAUUAGAUGUGCCAAUCAAUAUAACCAGCCAGCAGAAAAUAUGAACCUGCAGAUGAACUAGCGAACCUGCAGAUGAACUAGGGAGACGAGGCGGCGGCCGGGCGGCGUCGGGGCGAGCGGGCGGCGGCCCUCGACUCAGUUGGUCACAUACAAUGGCAAUAACACACUAUCAAAAUUAACUGGUCAAUUCUUCGUUUUUAUAUAAAAAGGCAGAACUCCUGCUGGUUCCUCAAAAACAAAAUUAACGUACUACCAAAAUAUGCUGGGUCUUUUCUGUGAUUCGAUCACGGCUGGCGAUCGGUUUGGAGAACCUUUCAACGUCACGGAAACCGGAGAAGGGAACAUGCAUGCAUGCAUGCACGCACGGCACGUGACGAAAUAUACAAAGGCUGGCGCAUACAAGGAGUAGUGGCUGGGGCGCAUGCGCCGAAUUCGUUUGCAUAUAAAAACAGCACGUGGAAAAUAGUUUACGAUCGAGCGCGCGCGCGUGCGUUGAAGAAAACGACGGGGCGGUCAAACCGCGCCGACAUGCGGGCCCCGGUCGCGUGCCGCCGGAAGCUGCCGUGAGUGAUGGCGAUGAUGGUGAGUGCUCCAGAUGAUUGGUGGCGCCACCAUCCAUGCAUGCAUGCAUGCAAGCAAGGCCCUGUCGGUCAGCGGUAGCUUCCACUUGAACCUUGAAUGCUCCGAUUGCGGCUGCGGCGCGGAAGAGUAGUAGGAGUAGCUUUCUUUUUCUUACCUCUGUCCAAGAUAAAUGUAUCUAGUACAAAGUUAUAUUAAACUUGGAACAGUUACUUUGGAACGAAAUAAGUAUGAAAAUGAUUAUCUUCUAUCGACCGAUUACGCGCGGCCGUUUGUCUUUUAGGACAGACAUUUCUCAUACUGGAUAUAAGUAGAGGUGUUUCGGGACACGCUUAAUUGUGAGGGCAAGCGAUUAGAUUUGGAUUUUUUCAUGCAACAUCUUUAUUGUUGUAAGAAAAAAUAUAUAACAUUAGUUAUAUUGCAGAACACUUUUCGAAACAACAAUAUGAAGUUAAAAGAAAAUCUGCAAUGUUAGCUUUGUUGCACAAAAAUCCAUGCAACAACAUCGUUGCAAAAGUUUCGCAACAUGAUCCCUGUUGCAAUCAUCCGAAUGCAACAAUAUACUUGUUGCAAACGUUGUCAGCUUAAUCUGUUGGUCAUUCCGUAUUAAAUCUUUGUAGCAAAAAAAAUCAAUGUCCGUCUGCAGCUCUAUCAGAGUCCGAAACAAAGCGAUUGUUUCCGCAAAUGAUUUGUUGUUUUAAGAAUUAAUGUGUUAAGGAAGGCGAUCGAGUCACGUGCCAGCCUUUAGAUCGGUUGACUGCGCGCUCGGAUCGGAUGGCUGCCGAUGUUUGCGCACCCGGAGAUCCAACGGUUAUUGUGUUGAUCGAUGUUUAAUAGACAUCUGUUGGUGGAUGCGUGGUGCUCUCAGUAUAAUAUAUGCAGAAAAAAUGUUUUAACACACGUAUACGCCAUCGAUCCGGCACUUCGUUGUCGGCUGCGGCAUGAACAGCACGACUGGUCCACCGCCGUGGCAUCGUCAUCUUCGUCGGGCGCCCACAGGUAAGCCCAUGGUAUACAAUGACAUGUGGUUUUGGUUAAGUUACUCACUUGAUUUUGGGCCACACAAAUGGAGGCGUCUUUCUCUUAACAGAAAACACAUUCCUAUGUACGUAACACGUUGACAUAAACUCUACGCACUGGUUUUUUCUUUUUUGACAUUGCUCUACGCACUAGUUUAAUUUGGAUCUUUCUUUUUUUAACUGGAACACCUUGCAUUCCGAAUUACAACGGACCAACCGAAUUGGUGGUUACAAAAUGAAUUACAAUCAAUUUAUGGUUGAAUGGUUAGAGAGACUGUAUUAUCCUCAGUCCAUCAGGGUUCAAGUCCUGUUGUUCGUACUUAUUUCUGAAUUUAUUUUAAAAUUUUCGAUGAUGCUCAUUCAAUGGAAAGAGACGUUUCCGUCGUCGAUUAGGUGUCUACGACAAUUUCGUAAAUCUCAAGAUAUAUGCUGGUUCAGUCUUUCGAUGGUGCUCAUAAAAAUAGGGUGUGCAUGUGUGUGUCUAUAGGGAUGAGUGUACGCCGCGUGUAUAUAAACGUUUGCAUGUGUAUUAUGUUAACAAAAGUUUCUGCUACCAAACAUGAUGGCACUAUGGCACAUUAUAAAUGAUGACUGUGGGCGGCGUACCCGACCUGGAGAGGACCAUCCGGAGCAGGAGCAGCCGGAGCUACGCGCCUCAUGGGAAGGGUUUGCGACGUCGUUGACGCUUCAUCGGUGUGUGAUGGGCCCGGGGGAUGGAGAUCCACCGCUGUUGAGGCCGCCUUGGUCCUACAACGACCGACGCAACACGAUGCGGAGGGCCACCUCCUCCACAUUGACGUUCGAUCAGUCGGAGCUGCUUCCGUCGCCGGCCAUCGGUUCAGAGUGCCGGGAUUGGAAAUGGAGUGGACGGAGACUGAACUGUCGGAUGUCUAGGGUUUUUGGAUUGGGAUAUUUCGUGGGGUCCGUCGUGGCCCGAGAGGGUCUAGGAGCGCCGAACUUUCUAUAUCCGCUCCAUAUUUAAGAUAGAUAUGAUGGGUGUCGGUUAAUCCGGACAUUUGAGGCCCAUUUAGAGCAAGUACAAUAGAGCUGAGUCAGCUAGCUAUGAGGAAUAAACUAAUAUAUUUUUAUCAAAAAUGCUACACUUACGGGCAAGAUACGGAUGAAACUUACGGAUUGCUGCCGCUUAGCCAAUCCCUCUGCCCCGCUGAUUUCAAGGGUGGGCCCUGGUGCCCCAAGUUUCCAGUAAAACAUGGACAGCUGAGUCCGUAAGUUACUUUCCGUAGCUUCCGUCCGUAAAUCUAGCACUUCUCUAUUUUUAUUUAGUUAGAGGAAAGAGAAGAGGAGAGAGAAGGUAAGCGGCCUCUUAGCUAAGAGCCAGCUCUAGCACGUGCUCCUAGGCAUUUUGUUAAUAUGAAAGGUGGACCAUAUAAUGUAGAAGUAGUAUACUUUUACAAUGAAGUAUUGUACAUGUUAGCUAUAAGAUGGGCUAUAGAUGACAUGGCAGUGGCUUAUAGCCAGCAGCUUGCUCUUAGUGCAUUCCAUUUGGGUAGAUUUUCUCUGGCCGUACGCUGAUUGAUCGGCUGUCCAACGUUCGAAACGAAUAUAAGGGUCUGGUUGUAGAUACUCUAAAACCACGGAGGUGGCGAAAAUUACCCUUCAACCAAUCUACGCAGCGGCUAAACUUCAACGGUGUUUCAUACCCACAGAAACGGAAUCUUUCAAGAGCAACGGAGUCGAACAGCAGAAAGGACCGAGCAAGAUGAAUUCACAAAGUCAAAACAUGGAGCCAGCUCAACACCGACCCCGCAAGUCAAUCCGACCCAACCCAACCCACGCAAUUAAUCUCCUCUAAUCUCUUGCUAACACGCGUGGACUUCUUCGCGUGAUCCACUUCCUAUAAAACGCGCGCGCACCCACUCCCCCUCCCAUUCGAUUUGUGUUCAACUCCAUCCACCAACUCGGUCAGCGUCUUCUUCAUUCGCUCUGCUCUCCACCAGAUCCAUUUCACGAGCAAUCCUUCGCGACCUACGGCCAUGGAGGGGCCGACGGUGGAGGUGCCGCCGUACUUCCUGUGCCCGAUCUCGCUGGAGAUCAUGCGGGACCCCGUCACGCUCGCCACCGGCAUCACCUACGACCGCACCAGCAUCGAGCGCUGGAUCUCCGACGGCCACGCCACCUGCCCCGUCACGCAGCAGAAGAUUGCGGAGGCCGACCGGGAUGCCACGCCCAACCACACGCUCCGCCGCCUCACCCAGGCCUGGUGCUCCCUCCACGCCGUCGAGCGCUUCCCCACCCCGCGCCCGCCCCUCGACACCAGCCGCGUCGCCGAGAUCGUCCAAGAGGGUCACGGUGCCGGCCGGCAGCAGGAGCUGGCCGCGCUCCGCGAGAUCAAGGCCAUCGUCGCCGAGAGCGAUCGCAACAGGCGCUGCGUCGAGGCCACGCCCGGCGCCGUCGAGUUCCUCGUCUCCGUCGUCACGAACCAUGCCACCACGUCCAAGUCGGCUCAAGAUUUGCUAGAACUUUCGCUGGAUUCCCCGACGUCCACGAGCUCGCCGGAGGAGGACGCGCUCAGCGUCAUCUGCUCGCUCAAGCCGUCCAAGAAGAGCCUGCUCCGGAUCCUCGAGAAAAACGUAGACUUCCUGGACACCCUGGUGUGCAUGCUGCGGCGACCGAGCUACCGGUCCCGCUGUUACGGCAUCAUCCUGCUGAAGGCGAUGGUGUCGGUCAUGGAGCCGGCGAGGCUGAUGACGGUGAGAACCGAGCUGGUGCAGGAGGUGGUACGCGUGGUGUCUGACAGGGUGUCCGCCAAGGCGGUGAAGGCGGCGCUGAACGUGCUGUGCCGGCUAUGUCCGUGGGGCCGCAACCGUGUCAAGGCCGUCGAGGCCGGCGCGGUGACUGUGCUGGUGGAGCUGCUCCUCGACGAAGGCGGCCGGCACCCCACCGAGCUGGCGGUGGUGGCCAUCGACCACCUCUGCGGCUGUGCGGAGGGGCGGUCGGACCUUGUGGCGCACCCGGCAGGGCUGGCCGUCGUGGCCAAGAAGGCUAUGCGGGUGUCACCGACCACCACCGAGAGCGCGGUGCGCGCUCUGCACGCCGUGGCUAGGCACUCGCCGACGCCGGCCGUGCUGCAGGAGAUGCUGGCCGUCGGGGUGGUCGCCAAGCUGCUGCUGGUUCUACAGGUGGAUGCCGGCGAGCGGGCCAGGGCCAAGGCCAAGGAGCUGCUCAAGAUGCACGCUAGGGUUUGGAAGGACUCGCCAUGCUUACAAGUGCACCUCAAGGCGCAUUACCCUUGUUGAUUUCGUCACGCUGAAUAUCGCUAGAAGAGAAGAGCCCAUUGCUCUCUUUUAGUUUCUCGCUGUAAUUAUCUACACAAACUGUCAUCAAACAUUGACACUGUUUAAUUGAUUGUAAAUACUAGUUCCUAUUUACAAAAUAAAAAUAAAAAACAGGCGAGACAGGCUUCUUGGAUAUAUCUCUUGGAUUGCCGUGUUAUCAGAUUUUUUGCGUCCUUUGUUCCUUUUUGUGAUAUGUCACAGAAGUUAACAUGAAUGCAUAACACAAAUACUAUUUCCGUCUCGGUUUAUAAGUUGUCUUACGAAAACUAAAUAAUCUCAAAACACUAAGGGACGAUACAUUAACUUUCACUUCAUUUUUUGUUUUUUGACAUGAAUAAAUCAAUCAAUCAAUAAGAAACGUGGAACGUUUAUAUUUUUAAUGACUUGAGACUAACUAGCACAACAUGCAGUAGUAUUCAUUAGCAAAUCAAUACUAGUAAUAUUUUUUCUUAUUUUCGUCUUCGUCUUAAUCGUGGUGCACAACUUAAAAUAACUUAUAAACCAAGAUGAAAGAAAUAUAACAGAUAGAGAAUCAUAACUUAUAAGGCUGAUGUCGAAAACAUGCAUUUGCAUGUUUUCUAGAUGGUCCAACAUACUUCACACGUGCCAGAUAGUGUUACCUCGCGAUGACUUACUCUGGAAAGAUGAAAGCCAAUUCAUAAAUAGAUUCUCACUUUCACAAGGAAAUUUCUUUAGCUUCGCGGCACAAAUUAUUGACUAUAUUAACAAUUUUUGAUUAAUUUAAUCCAAAAAUAACUCAUAAGUAUGGCGUUUGAUAGUAUUUAGCUUGUACUUGUAUCAACCCAAGCAAGCAGGUACUACGCAAAUACUCUCUCCGUUUCAAAAUAAAUGUCGCUGAUUUACUAUAAAGUUACAUUAAAUCCACGACACUUAUUUUGAAACAGAGGGAGUAGUAUAUUCGGUUACGCGGACAACAAGCAAGGUAAAUUUUAAAAACAAUGACAAACGGGAAAGGAAUAAACGAGUUAUACCCUCCAAUUGAUCAGUUCACAGUCGCGCGGCAGCGGCGACUGGCUUCUUCCCAACAAAGAGCUUUUCGACAACGAGUUUCUCAACUUUGGUGACUUGAUGAUGAUGAAGACGAUGAAGAGGUAGAUGAAGUAGUGAACGUAGACGAACGGUUGUGAAAAGACGCGUAGGAGACACUUACCAAAAACCUAAUCGCCCUUCUCUCGGUGCAUGAUCUCAAAGAGCGGGCUUUCAGUUCCAGAGGCCCGCUUCACCGUAUAAUUGUGCAGGCGGUUGAAGGGAUGAGGUCAUCGGUGGCAGCAACGACGAGCACAACGAUGAUGGAAAGUACGCCCGUGGAGACAGAUCAGAUGUGACCUGAUUUUCGUGGUGGCUACCCAACGAUCAAUACUUUGGAUGCGGAAUUGGCGAAGUGCCCAUCGCAAGUGUGGCAGUCCAUCUUGGAAGGAAGAGAUAAUCUCCUCUUAGUCUUAUUAAGAGAAAUGGAAUGGUUGUUGAUACGACCGUUUGGUAUGGUGAUUGGAUCCAUGGGACUUCAAACUUCGGGCGUUGUGUUCCAAAUCAACGUACCCGUCGGAUUGAUCAUGCCUUGGUAUCUUGGGUUCGGGCCAUACUUGACGAGCAUUUCUGGACAAGCAGGCGAUCUUUAAUACUCCUUACUUCCAGAAUACAGUACGAUUUCUGGUAAUGGCAUUACAAAAAAAAGGCGUGUUUACAAUGCAUUUGGCAUACAUACAUGUAUCAUCCACUAAGCAGCAGCGCAUGAAUAGGCCCGGAGACAAUCAUGACCAUUCAAAUUAUGAGGAUAGUGGAAAAUCCUGGUCCAAGCUAUGUGCGGUGAAGAUACCUUUGAAGAUAAGGGUGUUUGCUUGGCGACUUGCAAAAAAUUCCCUUCCUACUAGGGGUGUGUGGAAUCAUAUCCAGAUGGCGGACACAACUGUCAGGCCCAAGAUACGACCCUAUCCACAAUUUGGCACGAGGGCCUCGUCAGGGAUAGAAGCGCAUCUCGUCGUGUCGCAAGAAUGGAUAUCGUUACAAGUACAUGUACUGAAAAAAAGAGAUAUAUAGAUAAAAUUGGCUUACACUCGCCACAAGCUACAUCAGAGUCACAACAGUACAUUACAUAAACAUCAUGAAGAAGAGCAGGGUCCGGCUACGGACGAAAACAAACGAGAAAAGAAGAACGACGUCCAUCCUUCCUAUCCCAGGCUGCCGGCCUGGAACCCAUCGUAGAUCGAAGAACUAGAAGAAGAAGAAGAAGNNNNNNNAGAAGAAGAAGAAGAAGCAAUUCUUAAAGAACACUCAACGCGCUCGCGUCAAGUAAAUUUACAUGUACCUGCAACUGGUGUUGUAGUAAUCUGUGAGCCACAGGGGACUCAGCAAUCUCAUUUCCAAAGGUAUCAAGACUAGCAAAGCUUAAUGGAUGAGGCAUGGUUAAGUGGUGAGGUUGCAGCAGCGGCUAAGCAUAUAUAUAUGGUGGCUAACUUACGAGUACAAGCAAUAAGAGAGGAAAGAUCUACGCAUAGCGGACGUGAACUACAGUUGAUCAAAUGAAUGAUCCUGAACACCUACCUACGUUAGAUAUAACUCCACCGUGUCCUCGAUCGGAGAAGGAACUCAUGAAAGAGACAGUCAUGGUUACGCACACAGUUGGCAUAUUUUAAUUAAGUUAACUUCAAGUUAUCUAGAACCAGUGUUAAACAAAGUUUCCACGUUGCCACAUAACCGCGGGCACGGCUUUCCGAAAAUAUUUAACCCUCUAGGGGUGCUCCAACUAGUCCAUCACAAAUUACCACAAGCCGCAUAGAAAUCCUCAAUCAUGAAGCUCGCGAUCUCGUCGGAUUCCCUAGUGGAAAACCUCAACUCUGAGAUUAUCCAAAGCAUCACUGGAAUCCCGAUGCACAAGAUAUCUCGUCAAAGGUAAAACUAAUCCAGCAAGGCCACCCGGUGUGUCGACGAUCCCGAUAGGAGUCGCGUAUCUCGUUCUCAGGACACACCGUCUAUGCAUAGUGGACGGGAACCAAACCUCGAGUUGCCCCGAGGUGGCACCGCCGACUGCUAGGUGGGUGGACCAACACUCAUGCGGAGCACUGGCCCGGGGGUUGAUUAAAUUUCCUCGGGUUAAUUACUCCCUAUGCAGUUCAUUAGUUAUUAAGCAAAUGUAGUACCAAAGUUGGGCCUUGCGAGACCAGCUUUAAUCUAAAACAAAUUAUCAAGGGGGUACCAUAACAACCCCGAUCGUGUUAGGAGCGCUCAAAUAUGGAACAUAACACCGGUAGCCGAAACUAAGGGGCAAAGGUGGAACAAAACACCAGGCUAGAAAAGUCCGAGCCUUCCCCCUUUUACCAAGUAUAUAGGUGCAUUAAAUUAAAUAGCAUUUAAAUAUGGUGAUAUGACAAGGAACCCAUGUUAUCACAUGGAAGCAACUGCACCUGCAACUAGCAACGUUAACACAUGGAUAAGCAAGCAGUAACAUAGCCAAUCAGGGGUUUGCUAGGUCGAACAGGUUGAAGGUUAUCAUGGUAUUGUUGAGAGGCUGAUAUUUAACAUGUGGUACGCAACAAGAUAUAAACGAUAGAAGCGAUAAAACUAGCAUGGCAAUGAUAGUAAUGGUAUCUCGGGAAAUGGUCAUCUUGCCUGAGAUCCCGCUUGGAAGAAGAACAACUCCGUGACGUCGGCGAACCAACGUAGUCGAACGGGUCCUCACAUUCUGACACGCUUGCGGAACUCUAUCGAGACGGACCAAACCGGAAACAACCGUCAACACAGAUAUUCACCACGGCAAAUGCAAGACAUGAUGCACACCCUAAUAUGAUGCAUGAUCAGUUCAAUGAUGCCAGGCAUGGCAAUUCUCCUCACACAAACACUACACAUUAAGUGAAACGCGAUAUGCAACGAGUUGCAUAUCGACGAAACUCCACGUUUAAUUAUUUAAUUCACUCCCGAUUAUUUGCACAGCAAUAUUAAAUUGUUGUUAACAUGGCAAGGGUGAAGCGGGUGAUUCUACCAGUCAUCCUAGUCGGUUAACACGCGGGACAUAGAACGGAGCUACCACACAAGAAAACAUGCAACAUAAGAUAUAUAUGCCAUGAAUGGGUCAUGCAUGCAAGCUCAUAAUAACACGGGCAAGAAGGAAAAGAAUCAAGAAUCGCCACGGCGAGCGUAAAGGAACCAUGGCGGCAAGAUGGAAACGAUGCCACGGCAACGUUCCUAUCCCGAUAACUCAACGAGAUAUCGGUGCCAACGAAUCGGAAGCGCGUGCGGGAACGCUAAAUAAAGAUGGGGUGAUCCCGCUACGGGGUUCCCAUGUGUCGAUGGCGCGACGAAAGAGAGACAACGUGCAACGGGCAAACAUACGGCGCAAACAUACGGUACAUCUCAUACAACAUUUGCAUUCGGUACACGACACGUUCCAAUGGUAUACCUUCGAAGCAUGCAUAUCAGAGCGGUUCGGGUCAUAGCGGACGUCGUGGAAGUCGUUGUCGUCGUGGAAGUAGUGGAAGUCGUGGUACUCAGGUCUCGUCGACGGUAGUCGUGCUCUUGGCGUCGGUGCACGGGUCUUCACAUCGGUAGUCGAACAUGUUUCCGGGGGUCGUCGAGGACGACGUGGUGCUCGGCGAGUUUGUCGAUUCCACGGCGACGGGGAUGGUGCACGCGGCGACGGCAGGCGACACAACAGCAACGAUCGUCGGCGACGGCAGCAAGCAAGCAACAUAGCAACGGCAACAACAUGCAGGCCAUCAGCAAGCAACGCUAGCAGCUAACUAGCACAAGCUAAAGCAAACAUCUACAGCAAGCAUCGGCAUCGGCAAACAGCAACUAACCUAGCAGCAAACAACAAACUACACCUAGCAACUAACAGCAGCAACUAACACUACUAGCUAGCAGCAAGGCAAGCAAGCAGCAACAUCAUCUACACCAAGCUAGCAGCCGAGCAAAGCAACUAGCCUAGCAUGCAUCGGCGCAGCAGCUCGCGGCAACAGCAAGCACGACAGCAGCUACGACAUAGCAACAGCAUCUCGGCAGCACUAGCAGCCUAGCAUCUACAGCAGCAUGCAACAUCCAACACGGCGCGCAGGCAGGCCAGCAGAACGACGACAGGGCAAGCACGGGGGCGCGCGGGACCAAGGCGAGCAGCGGCAGGGCAAGCCGCCGGCGGGGCGAGCAUCGGCAGGGGCGGGGAACCUGCAGGCGGCUCGGGCGGCCGGCGGCGCGCAGAGGGCCUCGGGCCGGCCAAGGGCGACGAGGGGAGCCGCGGGCACGGUGGCCAUGGCGAGCUCGUGAGGGCGAGGGGCCCUGGCAAGGGAGGCGGCUAGACGGGGGGACCGGAGGCGGCGAUUGGCGAGAGCGAGGACGCGGGGCACGGGGCUCCUACAGGCAGGCGACGACACCGUGGGCAAGGGCUGGCGAGCUCGAGACCAGCUGAGGCGAGAGGUGGCGAGGCCGAGGGGGCGCAGCGCGACGAGGGUCGCACAGCGAGCACGCGGGGAACGGCGGCGCAGCGCGGGGGAGCUGCUGCAGGCGCCAGCGGCUGCAGGGAGGGAGCGCUGGAUCGAGCAGAGGGGGAGGCUGCGCUAGGGGGGAGGACGAGGGAGGAGACGAGAGGGGCUGGGGGCACUAGGGCAGGGGAGGGAAGCCUGCUGGGCCUUGGGCCGGCUGGGCAGCUCCUCCUCAACCCCUCUCUCUUGUUUUUUUUAAACAGAACACACGCAAAAGAAAAAAGGUUUAAAUAAAAGAAAAUAAAAUAAAUGCUUUUCGGCUCCUUGAAAAAGAAACCCCAACUAUAAAAAUAGGUUGGGCAUUUUUUUUAAAGAAAUAAGAUGCAACAUUUUGAAGAAUAAAAUAAAACCCUUUUAACAAGAGAAUAAAAUAAAACCCCUUUUAAAGGAGAAAAGAAAAUGAGACUUUGUUUUUUGAAAAUAAACAAAAGGGAAAAAAUAAGGAAACCCAAGGGUUGCCUCCACAUUUAAUAAAAAGGUUUUUUUAAAAGAAGACGAAUCUUUAUAAAGGGGUUAAAACCGAAAUUUGAACGCAACCACAAAACAAAGUAAGAGGGGAGAGAAGGGGAGUUUCUAUCGCUCUAAAGACUCCAAGAGCACUCACAACUCAGAUGACACCACGCAUCAGAUGAUGCAAGAUGCCAUGAUGCAAACUACAUGAUGAUGCCACAAAAUAAAAUAACCACACGACGGAAACGAAAAUAAAGGGAAUCUUCUAGAACGUCGGCGUCGGGCUGUCACAACAACCAAGUGUUUGAUAUGUCAUGUGGCGAUGGACUAGCGCGGCAUUCCCUCUUCUAUUGUCGGAUGUCAAGGUGUGUUUGGGACAUAGUUGAUGAGGAGCUGACCAAUGCUAUCAUAUCAAACCACACAAAUGAUGUUAGGCUGGCCAUUGUGGGGGUAUCAUAGCUAGUAACAUAGUCUUGGGACUAGCAAACAUGGUGAUGUGACAAGUAAUUAAAGAAGAGAGAGAGGGUUAUAGUAACAUAGAUAGAUACCGUAUCACACUAGUGGGGACGGGGCCUUUAGCCCCGGCCCGUAAGGGGCUUUAGUCCCGGUUCACCAACCGGAACUAAAGGGGCGGGACUAAAGGCCUAACCUUUAGUCCCGGCCCUGUUUCAAGCCGGGACUAAAGGUGCUCCACGUGGGCGCCUCGUAGCGCCCCAGGGGAGGCCCUUUAGUCCCGGUUCAUUACACGGACCGGGACUAAAGAGUUUCAGAUUUUGUUUAUUUUUGGGGUUUUUUUUAAUGAAAUUAUUUUUUGGGUUUUAGGGUUUUAGGGUUUAGGUGUUCGGGAGAUUAACGUGAUGCCUCGUUUGGUGUUCGGGAAUUAGUUUUCAUAUAAUUUAAAUAGAAAUAAUUAUGCAUAUAUAUAUAUAAGAUUAACUUAUCUUACAAGCGAGCAUAUAUAUACAAUUAUAUGGAGAUCUGAAUUAUCGGGACUAGAGCCCGUCUAUUCGAUUACAUGGACGAACAUCAGUAAUGGCCCCUAGCUACACUAAAUCGUCCUUUGUCAUCUAUAGCUUCCGUCCUCAGAAAGGUCGCAAGCUCCUCUGCAACAGCAAUCGCGCGUUGCUCUGGUAGUACCUUCGUCCUCAUGGCUGUGUACUAUAUAAGAAGAGGAGAUGAAUAUGAAUAUCAAUCAUGAUAACAAAGAAUGACGGGGAAAAAUAGAGGUGUGAAUGUUCAUUGCUUACGUUGAAUCUGUGAUCCUUGUGCUCAGAGGUAAACGUGCGAAUGGUCUCGCAAACAUAGUAUCCGCAUAGAUGCAUUCCCCGUGGCUGCUGGUCGCACUUUACGAGAAUAGAAUACAUAUAAUCAAAAUAAUAAUCUAGCAUCAUAAAUGUAUUGAAAAUAGAAGUAAAUCAUACUACUACUUACCUGAGCCGUUCUAAAGGUCAGCUUCUCAGGCUCGAUACCGGGAGUCACGCACUUGAACCGCUUCCAAACCCUGCCCCACAAGGAUAAUGAUUUGCUAAGUUUUUCAUUAAUUGAUAUAUCAGAAAAUCAUCGAAAGAGACCGAUAGAGCGCAAGAAUGAUUGAAAUUACCCUUGGAGCAUGUCGUGCAGGCUUUGGAACUAUUCCAAGGGUCUCGAUAAUGGGUCGAAGGCAUCAACUCUUCCCUUAUCAAUUUGAGCAUAGUAUUCAAAGUAGGAGUACUUUUCCAAUUUGAGCAUUCAAUAAGCAAAACCAAAUCGUAAAAUAAAGUAGUAUUCAAAUUAGCAUGGAUUCAAUAAUAAGCAAAUACAUCAUCUCUUUUGUCCGUACAUCGUCGAAUAUUAUCACUAAUACUCCUCGAAUACUAUCAUACAUAUAACAUCAUUGAUACAUCUAGAACCGUAGCGCCCGACGGGUAUCGGCGCGGGCGGUGGACACCCAAAGAGAAGGAACCAUCACAGGAUCAUAGCUCCAGUGAGAUCCCCGAAGAACCUGCCAGGUAUGCUCGAACCUGCCCUCCAACGCAACCAUGUAGCGACGGACGUGCUCAUCCUCCUCGCUGACACGGUGACGUACCACCUCCGCGGUGUCCGGAAGCCUCGGCACCCUCACUGGCCCAUGCGACCGCCACCAAACAAGGAUCGGGUCAACGACGGGCUGGCUCCUCACCAACCUACGCCCCCCGGAAGGUAGCACCUCCCAAUACCAGCCGGGCAGAGCCCAGUCCCGGACAGGGCCACUCUGAUCAAGCAGGUGUCCUCCGCCGAGUCGACGACGAGGAUGCGGGAUAGGCAUCGUAAAAUGAACUAAAAAAUAAACUAGUUCUAUUAAUUUUCUUGCUAAAAAUAAACUAUUAACACUUAAGCAUAUACAAUAGGAGAAUUAAACUAUUAACACUUAAGCAUAUACAAUAGCAAAAUUAAGCAAUAAUCUAAGAAACACUAUUAACACUUAAGCAUAUACACUAUACAAUAGCAAAAUUAAAUGACAAAAAAAAUAUUUCUUCUUGUUGUAACCCUAAACUAAUUUUUCCUCUUCUUCUAUUUCUCCUCUUCUUCUACUUCUUUUUCUACUUCUACUUCUCCUCUUCUUCUACUACUUCUCCUCUUCUCUUCUUCUACUUCUCCUCUCCUCCUCUUCUAAUUUUUUUCCUCUUCUUCUACUUCUCCUCUUCUUCUAUUUUUCCUCUUCUUCUCCUGUCCUCCUCUUCUUAUUCUCCUUUUUCUUGUUUUCUUCUCCUCCUCUUCUUAUUUUCCUUUUUCCUAAUUCUAAAUAUUACUAACCCUAAUAAUCUAGCACAAACCUAAUAACAAUAGGAAUUAAAUGACAAAAAAAAUCUUUUUCUUCUUUUCUUCCCUUUUUCUUCCUUUCUUCUCCUUUUUCUUCCUUUCUUCUCCUUUUUCUUCUCCUUUUUCUUCUUUUCUUCUACUGGCCGGAGUGUUGGGGAGGAGGGGGCGGGGGGCUUACCGGCCGGAGGUGUCGACGGUGCGCGGCGAGGAGGAGGGCGGCGCACGGCGAGGAGGACGAUAGCGACGGCGAGGAGGACGGCACGCGGCGGCAAGCAGGACGGCAGGCAGCCUGACGGCGUCGUCGAGUUCGUCGCUGUGCCGCGCCGGGCAGGAGAACGAGGAAGAAGGAGAGAAGGAAAUGCGAUUUGGGCUGGAAAUUUUCUAACUCCCGCUUAUAUAGGUGGAUCUUUAGUCCCGGUUCGGGGCUCGCUCCUGGACUAAAGNNNNNNNNNNNNNNNNNNNNNNNNNNNNNNNNNNNNNNNNNNNNNNNNNNNNNNNNNNNNNNNNNNNNNNNNNNNNNNNNNNNNNNNNNNNNNNNNNNNNNNNNNNNNNNNNNNNNNNNNNNNNNNNNNNNNNNNNNNNNNNNNNNNNNNNNNNNNNNNNNGGACUAAAGCCCCUCCUCGGUUGCACGAUAAGUUUAGUCCCACCUCGCCCAGCGAGGGGGACUAACACUUGAUUAUAACCCCCGUCGCAGCUUCUCCAUCGACCUCCUCUCUAAAGCAGGCUUACGGGCCUAAACUGACUGAAAAUUGAAACUAUAUUCGAAAUUAUGGAGAAAAUUCAACCUGAAUUCAAAGUGAGUUCAAUUUGAAUUUAGAUUGAAUUUUCUCUAUAAAUUCUCAUAUAGUUUCAAAUUUUUUCUAUUUUCAUAAUUAAUAAUUUUGACUAUCCAAACUAUUAUCUAUUUUGUUAUUUUCAAUUAAAAACUAUGUUUAUUAAAAAUUCUUUUUGCAUANNNNNNNNNNNNNNNNNNNNNNNNNNNNNNNNNNNNNNNNNNNNNNNNNNNNNNNNNNNNNNNNNNNNNNNNNNNNNNNNNNNNNNNNNNNNNNNNNNNNUUUGUUUAUAAUUACUUAUUAAAUUUAUUUUAUGAUAAUUUUUUUUGCUAUUAAAGUUUCUAACAAAAAAAGUUCUUUAUGAAAAUUCUUUUUGCUUUUAAUGAUUUUGAACAGAAAAUACUUUGAUAAUUUUAGUUGCAUAAAUUUUAUAUAAUUUUAGUUUCAAUAAUACUAGAAGUUGCUUAUAAUGUUUUGAAUAGAAAAUACUUUGAUAAUUUUAGUUUCACAAAUUUUAUUUAUGUUAUUAAAGUUUUUUUUGUCUCUACUUAUCUAUUUUAUUAAAGUUUAUAUUAUUUUGUUUCAAAUUACUUAUUUAUUUUAUUUUGUUUUGUUUCUCACUUCAUUUGUUAUUUUUCAUGCAUUUACUGAUUAUUUUCAGCUAUAAGACCAUGAAAUUGAAAGGCAUUUGAAAUGAACUCUGAANAGGUUCCAAGUUGGCAUGGUAUCAUCAUUUCACCCACAUAGCAUGUGCAAGAAAGUAGAGAGGCUUACGGCAAAAACUGGAUGCACUUCGUGUANNNNNNNNNNNNNNNNNNNNNNNNNNNNNNNNNNNNNNNNNNNNNNNNNNNNNNNNNNNNNNNNNNNNNNNNNNNNNNNNNNNNNNNNNNNNNNNNNNNNUUCAUGCAUUUACUGAUUAUUUUCAGCUAUAAGACCAUGAAAUUGUAAUGUAUUUGAAAUGAACUCUGAAAAGGUUCCAAGUUGGCAUGGUAUCAUCAUUUCACCCACAUAGCAUGUGCAAGAAAGUAGAGAGGCUUACGGCAAAAACUAGAUGCACUUCGUAUACAAAACGGACAAUCUCCUUCGAAGUAUAAGGGUUUCAUACGGAAACUCGUGUGUUACAAAGGGAUUUCAAUUUUUUUAACUUAUUUGAACCCCCUUGUUUUUCUGUGUUCAAAAUGUACCAUUCAAAGCCACAUCAUCAAUUUACAACCCUUUCUGACUUCAUUUGUUAUUUUUCAUGCAUUUACUGAUUAUUUUCACCUAUAAGACCAUGAAAUUGAAAAGCAUUUGAAAUGAACUCUCGAAAGGUUCCAAGUUGGCAUGGUAUCAUCAUUUCACCCACAUAGCAUGUNNNNNNNNNNNNNNNNNNNNNNNNNNNNNNNNNNNNNNNNNNNNNNNNNNNNNNNNNNNNNNNNNNNNNNNNNNNNNNNNNNNNNNNNNNNNNNNNNNNNNNNNNNNNNNNNNNNNNNNNNNNNNNNNNNNNNNNNNNNNNNNNNNNNNNNNNNNNNNNNNNNNNNNNNNNNNNNNNNNNNNNNNNNNNNNNNNNNNNNNNNNNNNNNUUUACAAAGGGAUUUCAUUUUUUUGAACUUAUUUUAACCCCCUUGAUUUUCUGUGUUCAAAAUGCACCAUUCAAAGCCACAUCAUCAAUUUACAACCCUUUCUGACUUCAUUUGUUAUUUUUAUGCAUUUAUUGAUUAUUUUCAGCUAUAAGACCAUGAAUUUGUAAAGCAUUUGAAAUGAACUCUGAAAAGGUUCCAAGUUGGCAUGGUAUCAUCAUNNNNNNNNNNNNNNNNNNNNNNNNNNNNNCCAGCUAUAAGACCAUGAAAUUGAAAAGCAUUGAAAUGAACUCUGAAAAGGUUCCAAGUUGGCAUGGUAUCAUCAUUUCACCCACAUAGCAUGUGCAAGAAAGUAGAGAGGCUUACGGCAAAAACUGGAUGCACUUCGUGUACAAAACGGACAAUCUCCUUCGAAGUAUCAGGGUUUAAUACAGAAACUCGUCUGUUACAAAGGGAUUUCAAUUUUUUUUAACUUAUUUGAACCCCCUUGUUUUUCUGUGUUCAAAAUGCAUAAUUAAAAGCCACAUCAUCAAUUUACAACCCUUUCUGACUUCAUUUGUUAUUUNNNNNNNNNNGUACAAAACGGACAAUCUCCUUCGAAGUAUCACAGUUUCAUACGGAAACUCGUCUGUUACAAAGGGAUUCCAAUUUUUUUGAACUUAUUUGAACCCCCUUGUUUUUUUGUGUUAAAAAUGCACCAUUCAAAGCCACAUCAUCAAUUUACAACCCUUUCUGACNNNNNNNNNNNNNNNNNNNNNNNNNNNNNNNNNNNNNNNNNNNNNNNNNNNNNNNNNNNNNNNNNNNNNNNNNNNNNNNNNNNNNNNNNNNNNNNNNNNNACCCCCCUUUAGUCCCGGGUGGAGCCACGACCCGGGACUAAAGGCCCUUUUUCGGCUGACCAGAAGGCGGGAAGCAGGGGCCUUUAGUCCCGGGGCGUGGCUCCACCCGGGACUAAAGCCCCUCCUCGGUUGCACGAUAAGUUUAGUCCCACCUCGCCCAGCGAGGGGGACUAACACUUGAUUAUAACCCCCGUCGCAGCUUCUCCAUCGACCUCCUCUCUAAAGCAGGCUUACGGGCCUAAACUGACUGAAAAUUGAAACUAUAUUCGAAAUUAUGGAGAAAAUUCAACCUGAAUUCAAAGUGAGUUCAAUUUGAAUUUAGAUUGAAUUUUCUCUAUAAAUUCUCAUAUAGUUUCAAAUUUUUUCUAUUUUCAUAAUUAAUAAUUUUGACUAUCCAAACUAUUAUCUAUUUUGUUAUUUUCAAUUAAAAANNNNNNNNNNUUUUAAAAGUAAUUAUUUUGACUAUCCAAACUAUUAACUAUUUUGUUAUUUACAAUUAAAAANNNNNNNNNNGUUCAAAAGUAAUUAUUUUGACUAUCCAAACUAUUAUCUAUUUUGUUAUUUUCAAUUAAAAACUAUGUUUAUUCAAAUUCUUUUUGCAUAUUUGAGAAUUUGACAAAACUAUGAUAAUGAAAAGUGUUUGAAAUUGAAUAAAUAAUGCAAAACUAUUUUNNNNNNNNNNNNNNNNNNNNNNNNNNNNNNNNNNNNNNNNNNNNNNNNNNNNNNNNNNNNNNNNNNNNNNNNNNNNNNNNNNNNNNNNNNNUAUUUUUUUUUAGCUAGUUGACCCUGAAAUUGAAAAGCACUACAAAUGAACUCUGAAAAUGUUGAAAGUUGGCAUGCUAUCAUCAUUUCACCCACAUAGAAUGUGUUAAAAAGUUGAGAGGGCUACGACAAAAACUGGAAGCACUUCGUGUACAAAACGGAAAAUCUCUCUCGAAGUAUCAACGUUUCGAACGAGAACUCAUCUCUUACAACGGGAUUUCAUUUUUUGAACUUAUUUGAACUCCAUACUUUUUGUGUGUUCAAAAUGCANNNNNNNNNNNNNNNNNNNNNNNNNNNNNNNNNNNNNNNNNNNNNNNNNNNNNNNNNNNNNNNNNNNNNNNNNNNNNNNNNNNNNNNNNNNNNNNNNNNNAAUACUUGACACGCAGAAAACAGUAGCAACAAAAUGACACGAUCAACAUGCUACAUCUAUUAGUUUGGGUCUAGUCCAUCACGUGAUUCUCCCAAUGACGUGAUCCAGUUAUCAAGCAACAACACCUUGUUCAUAAUCAGAAGACACUGACUAUCAUCGUUCAACUGGCUAGCCAACUAGAGGCAUGCUAGGGACGGUGUUUUGUCUAUGUAUCCACACAUGUAAAUGAGUCUUCAUUCAAUACAAUUAUAGCAUGGAUAAUAAACUAUUAUCUUGAUACAGGAAUUAUAAUAAUAAUUAUACAUUUAUUAUUGCCUCUAGGGCAUAAUUCCAACAUCUCUCGCCCGGAGGCGCUUUGGGAUUGGCGAGCACGAGCGGCGCUCUCGGCGAGGCUGGGCGCCGGGGCGACGACCCCGGCUUGGACCUGCGGUGGUGACGGCAGCGGUGGCCGCGGGGACCGCGCCUCGGCGCGUAGAGGUGGCUGGGAAGGCUUGACCCCUUGUGGGCAGGACUCGAUCUGGCUCAGCCAUAUCUGGUUUCCGGGACUGCAGGCGGUGCNNNNNNNNNNNNNNNNNNNNNNNNNNNNNNNNNNNNNNNNNNNNNNNNNNNNNNNNNNNNNNNNNNNNNNNNNNNNNNNNNNNNNNNNNNNNNNNNNNNNAAACCCUUAUAAAUAACUGUUUUUUUACAGUUUGCGAAUAAAAAAACGCAUAGACUAGAACCCCUUAACCCUCAAACCCUUAAAAAAAAUUUGAGGAUCCAACCCUCAAACUCCCUCUCAACCUGUAGAAGUGAGGGUUGGAGAGCGAAAACUACCCCAACCCUCAAACCGUUCCAUCGUCGCGCGGGAGGGACUUUUCCCCGUCCCCAACUGCCGCCGCCAUUCCGACCACCGCCGCCGCCCCAUGCUGCCGCCGCGCCCCGCCGCCCCGAGCCGCCGCCGCGCCGUGCCCCACGGCCGCCCGCCGCGAGGCCGGCCCCAGGCCUCCUUGAGCUCUCCUCGCCGCCGCGCCAGAGGCGAGGCGGGCCAGAGGCAGCCGCGCCGCCACGAGCUCUCCUGUUUUUGCCCCUGUUUUUGUUAUAAGGGUUGGGUUUGAGGGUUCUAGUCUUUGCCCCUGUUUUUCAACCCUUAAAAGUGCCAAAAAAUGCAAAUUCUCAACCCUUAAAACUGGUUUGAGGGUUUGAGGGUACUCCUAAAGAUGCUCUCAGAUGAUGCCUCCAACCAUUUCAGGUAAAGACAUCCUUGUCCUUCUGUUCCAUCCACGUACACACGGCUAUAAACAGUUGUUAGUGUUCAGAUCACUGAAGAAUAGACUACAAAGGGACCCAUUGCGUAGACUUCUAGAUAACCUGUAGCAAAGAGAAAUCUGACUUAUAACUAAUUUGUUUUCGAAAAGAAGGAUUACUCCCGGCUAAGCCUGGGCAUACCCCGGGCCGGGCCGGGCCGGGCNNNNNNNNNNNNNNNNNNNNNNNNNNNNNNNNNNNNNNNNNNNNNNNNNNNNNNNNNNNNNNNNNNNNNNNNNNNNNNNNNNNNNNNNNNNNNNNNNNNNCUUCUUUUCUUCUCCUUCCCUUUUUCUUCCUUUCUUCUCCUUUUUCUUCCUUUCUUCUCCUUUUUCUUCUUUUCUUCUCCUUUUUCUUCUUUUCUUCUACUGGCCGGAGUGUUGGGGAGGGGCGGGGGGCUUACCGGCCGGAGGAGGGGGCGGGGGGCUUACUACCCGGAGGUGUCGACGGCGCGCGGCGAGGAGGACGGCGGCGACGGCGAGGAGGACGGCAGGCGGNNNNNNNNNNNNNNNNNNNNNNNNNNNNNNNNNNNNNNNNNNNNNNNNNNNNNNNNNNNNNNNNNNNNNNNNNNNNNNNNNNNNNNNNNNNNNNNNNNNNNNNNNNNNNNNNNNNNNNNNNNNNNNNNNNNNNNNNNNNNNNNNNNNNNNNNNNNNNNNNNNNNNNNNNNNNNNNNNNNNNNNNNNNNNNNNNNNNNNNNNNNNNNNNNNNNNNNNNNNNNNNNNNNNNNNNNNNNNNNNNNNNNNNNNNNNNNNNNNNNNNNNNNNNNNNNNNNNNNNNNNNNNNNNNNNNNNNNNNNNNNNNNNNNNNNNNNNNNNNNNNNNNNNNNNNNNNNNNNNNNNNNNNNNNNNNNNNNNNNNNNNNNNNNNNNNNNNNNNNNNNNNNNNNNNNNNNNNNNNNNNNNNNNNNNNNNNNNNNNNNNNNNNNNNGGGACUAAAGCCCCUCCUCGGCUGCACGAUAAGUUUAGUCCCACCUCGCCGAGCGAGGGGGACAAACACUUGUUUAUAAGCCCCGUCGCAGCUUCUCCAUCGAGCUCCUCUCUAAAGUAGGCUUACGGGCCUAACCUAACUGAAAAUUGAAACUAUAUUCGAAAUUAUGGAGAAAAUUCAACCUGAAUUCAAAGUGAGUUCACUUCGAAUUUAGGUUGAAUUUUCUCUAUAAAUUCUCAUAUAGUUUCAAUUUUUUUCUAUUUUCAAAAUUAAUUAUUUUGACUAUCCAAAUUAUUAUCUAUUUUGUUANNNNNNNNNNNNNNNNNNNNNNNNNNNNNNNNNNNNNNNNNNNNNNNNNNNNNNNNNNNNNNNNNNNNNNNNNNNNNNNNNNNNNNNNNNNNNNNNNNNNNUAAAGACCCCCUUUAGUCCCGGGUCGAGCCACGACUAGGGACUAAAGACCCCUUUUCGUCAGGCGGAGUGGCGGGAAACGAGGUUCUUUAGUCCCGGGUCGUAUCUCGACCCGGGACUAAAGGUGGUAAGUUUUAGUCCCACCUCGCUUGUCAAGAGGCGGUGCAACUAGUUUAUAAGCCCCACCGCCCCGAACCGUCUCGAGCUCUUCUCUAAAGCAGACUUACUGGCCUAAACGCACUCUAAAUUUAAAAAUGAAAAAAUAUAUAUGAAAUUAAAGACAAAAUUCAACCUAAAUUCAAAGUGACUUUGAAUCACUUUGAAUUUGGCUUGAAUUUUCUCUAUAAAUUUUCAUAUAGUUUCAAAUUUUCCAUUAUUUUUGUUUUGUUCUUUGCUUUAUUUAUUUUGUUUUUUUCUACUUACAACUAAAUAUUAAGUUUUCAAAUUUAAAAUUCUUUGAAAUUUGUGAAUACCUUUACUUUCAUUUUUUGCUAUUAAAGAUUAUUUUUUCUCUUCUAUUUUAGUUUACUAUUAAAGAUUUUUACCAGAAAACUUUAUGAAAACUCUUUUGAGCCUAAACGCACUCUGAAUUUAAAAAUUUGAAAUAUAUGUGAAAUUCAAGAUAAAAUUCAACCUAAAUUCAAAGUGAAUCACCUUGAAUUUGGGUUGAGUUUUCUCUAUAAAUUCUCAUAUAGUUUUAAUUUUUUUCCAUUAUUUUUAUUUUGUUCUUUGCUUUAUUUAUUUUGUUUUUUUCUACUUACAGCUAAAUAUUUAGAUUUCAAAUUUUAAUUCUUUUGAGUUGAUCUUUUUAUUGUUUAUUUUUAGUUAAUGUUUUACUUAAAUCUUUUAAACAAAUAAGCACUUUGAUAAUUUUAGUUGAUUAUUUUUAAUUCAUUCAUUUUAUUUAAUGUUUUAGUCGAUUCUUUUUAGUUAACUCUUUUUUUCUAUGAAAUAUUUUAACAAAUUUUUAACAAUUUGUAACUUCAUUUGGUAUUUUUCGUGCAUUUACUUUUUUUUGGCUAGUUGACCCUAAAAUUGAAGAACACUACAAACGAACUCUGAAAAUGUUGAGAGCUCGCAUGCUAUUAUCAUUUCACCCACAUAGCAUGUGCUAAAAAGUUGAGAAGGUUAUGACAAAAACUUGAUGCUCUUCGUGUACGAAAUGGAUAAUCUCUCUCGAAGUAUCAGGGUUUCGAAUGAGAACUCAUCUGUUACAAAGGAAUUUCAUUUUUUGAACUUAUUUGAACNNNNNNNNNNNNNNNNNNNNNNNNNNNNNNNNNNNNNNNNNNNNNNNNNNNNNNNNNNNNNNNNNNNNNNNNNNNNNNNNNNNNNNNNNNNNNNNNNNNNCCAUACUUUUUGUGUGUUCAAAAUGCAUCAUUCAAAGGCACAUCACAAAUUUUCAACAAUUUCUGACUUCAUUUGGUUUUUUUCAUGUAUUUACUUAUUAUUUUUGAGCUAGUUGACCCUGAAAUUGAAUAGCAGUACAAAUAAACUCUGAAAAUGUUGAAAGUUGGCAUGGUAUCAUCAUUUCACCCACAUAGCAUGUGCUAAAAAGUUGAGAGGGUUACGAUAAAAACUGGAUGCACUUCGUGUACAAAACGGACAAUCUCUCUCGAAGUAUGAGAGUUUUGAACGAGAACUAAUCUGUUACAAAGAGAUUUCAUUUUUUGAACUUAUUUAAACUCCAUACUUUUUGUGUGUUCAAAAUGCACCAUUCAAAGGCACAUCACAAAUUUUCAACAAUUUCUGACUUCAUUUGGUAUUUUUCGUGCAUUUACUUAUUUGUUUUUGAGCUAGUUGACCGUGAAAUUAAAAAGCACUACAAAUGAACUCUAAAAAUGUUGAAAGUUGGCAUGGUAUCAUAAUUUCACCCACAUAGCAUGUGCUAAAAAGUUGAGAGGGUUACGACAAAAACUGGAUGCACUUCGUGUACAAAACGGAUAAUCUCUCUCGAAAUAUGAGGGUUUCGAAACUCAUCUCUUACAAAGGGAUGCAUUUUUUUAAACUUAUUUGAACUCCANNNNNNNNNNNNNNNNNNNNNNNNNNNNNNNNNNNNNNNNNNNNNNNNNNNNNNNNNNNNNNNNNNNNNNNNNNNNNNNNNNNNNNNNNNNNNNNNNNNNGGGACGUGAGGACGUUCCACUACAUCAACCGCGUUCACUAACGCUUCUGCUGUACGAUCUACAAGGGUACGUAGAUCACUCAUCCCCUCUCGUAGAUGGACAUCACCAUGAUAGGUCUUCGUGCGCGUAGGAAAAUUUUUGUUUCCCAUGCGACGUUCCCCAAGAGUGGCAUCAUGAGCUAGGUUCAUGCGUAGAUGUCUUCUCGAGUAGAACACAAAAGGUUUUGUGGGCGGUGAUGUGCGUUUUGCUGCCCUCCUUAGUCUUUUCUUGAUUCCGCGAUAUUGUUGGAUUGAAGCGGCUUGGACCGACAUUACUCGUACGCUUACGAGAGACUGGUUUCAUCGUUAGGAGUACCCCCCUUGCUCAAAGAUGACUGGCAAGUGACGGUUUCUCCAACUUUACUUGAAUCGGAUUUGACCGAGGAGGUCCUUGGAUGAGGUUAAAUAGCAACUCAUAGAUCUCCGUUGUGGUGUUUGCGUAAGUAAGAUGCAAUCCUACAAGAUACCUUUGGUCACCACGUAAAACAUGCAACAACAAAAUUAGAGGACGUCUAACUUGUUUUUGCAGGGUAUGAUUGUGAUGUGAUAUGGCCAAUGAUGUGAUGUGAUAUAUUGGAUGUAUGAGAUGAUCAUGUUGUAAUAGAAAUAUCGACUUGCACGUUGAUGGUACGGCAACCGGCAGGAGCCAUAGGGUUGUCUUUAUACUAACGUUUGUGCUUGCAGAUGCGUUUACCAUUUUGCUAGGAUGUAGCUUUAGUAGUAAUAGCAUAACUAGCACGACAAACCCGAUGGCAACACGUUGAUGGAUGAUCAUGGUGUGGCGCUGGUGACAAGAAGAUCGUGCCGGUGCUUAGGUGAUGGAGAUCAAGAAGCACGUGAUGAUGGCCAUAUCAUGUCACUUAUGAAUUGCAUGUGAUGUUAAUCCUUUUAUGCACCUUAUUUUUCUUAGAACGACGGUAGCAUUAUGAGGUGAUCUCUCACUAAAAUUUCAAGACGAAAUUGUGUUCUCCCCGACUGUGCACCGUUGCUACAGUUCGUCAUUUCGAGACACCACGUGAUGAUCGGGUGUGAUAGACUCAACGUUCACAUACAACGGGUGCAAAACAGUUGCGCACGCGGAACACUCGGGUUAAGCUUGACGAGCCUAGCAUGUGUAGACAUGGCCUCGGAACACAUGAGACCGAAAGGUCGAUCAUGAAUCAUAUAGUUGAUAUGAUUAGCAUAGGGAUGCUUACCACUGAAACUACUCUCGACUCACGUGAUGAUCGGACUUGGGAUAGUGUAAGUGGAUCAUGAACCACUCAAAUGACUAGAGAGAUGUACUUUUUGAGUGGGAGUUUAGCAUAUAAUUUGAUUAAGUUGAACUCUAAUUAUCUUGAACAUAGUCUAAGUCCAAUUUGAAUAUAUUUGUGUUGUAGAUCAUGGCUCACCCAAGUGUCAUCCUGAAUUUUAAUACGUUCCUAGAGAAAGCUAAGUUGAAAGAUGAUGGAAGCAACUUUGUAGACUGGGCUCGUAAUCUUAAGCUAAUCUUACAAGCUGGAAAGAAGGAUUAUGUCCUUAAUGCUGCGCUAGGAGAUGAACCACCCGCUACGGCUGAUCAGGAUGUUAAGAACGCUUGGUUAGCGCGUAAGGAGGACUACUCAAUAGUUCAAUGUGCAGUCUUGUAUGGCUUAGAACCGGGACUUCAACGUCGCUUUGAGCGUCAUGGAGCAUUUGAGAUGUUCCAGGAGUUUAAAUUUAUCUUUCAGAAGAACGCCCGGAUCGAGAGGUAUGAGACCUCCGAUAAAUUCUAUGCUUGCAAGAUGGAGGAAAACUCGUCUGUCAGUGAACAUGUGCUCAAAAUGUCUGGGUACUCAAACCGUCUAGCUGAACUGGGGAUUGAACUCCCGCAAGAAGCUAUCACUGACAGAAUCCUUCAAUCACUGCCGCCAAGCUAUAAAGGCUUUGUGUUGAACUACAACAUGCAAGGGAUGAACAAGUCUCCCGGCGAGUUGUUUGCGAUGCUGAAAGUCGCAGAGUCUGAACUCCGUAAAGAGCAUCAAGUGUUGAUGGUGAGCAAGACCACUAGUUUCAAGAGAAACGGCAAAGGCAAUAAGGGCAAUUCGAAGAAGAGCGGCAAGCCUGUUGCCAAUCCGCCAAAGAAACCCAAGGCUGGACCUAAGCCUGAAACAGAGUGCUUCUAUUGCAAGGGUAUGGGUCACUGGAAGCGCAAUUGCCCCAAGUAUCUGGCAGAUAAGAAGGCGGGCAAAGAAAAAUCAGGUAUAUUUGAUAUACAUGUUAUUGAUGUGUACUUAACCGGCUCUCGUAGUAGUGCCUGGGUAUUCGAUACCGGUUCUGUUGCUCACAUUUGCAACUCGAAGCAGGAACUGCGGAAUAGACGAAGGCUGGCGAAAGACGAAGUGACGAUGCGCGUAGGAAAUGGUUCCAAGGUUGAUGCAAUCGCCGUCGGCACAGUGUCACUUCAACUACCAUCGGGAUUAGUGAUGAACUUAAAUCAUUGUUAUUUAGUGCCUGCGUUGAGCAUGAACAUUAUAUCUGGAUCUUGUUUAUUGCGAGACGGUUACUCUUUUAAGUCUGAGAAUAAUGGUUGUUCUAUUUCUAUGAGUAACAUCUUUUAUGGUCAUGCACCGAAUGUGAGAGGAUUGUUCAUAUUGAAUCUCGAUAGCGAUACGCAUAUACAUAACAUUGAGACCAAAAGACUUAGAGUAAACAAUGAUAGCGCCAUAUUUUUGUGGCACUGCCGCUUGGGUCAUAUUGGUGUAAAGCGCAUGAAGAAACUCCAUGCUGAUGGACUUUUGGAGUCACUUGACUUUGAUUCACUUGACACGUGCGAACCAUGCCUCAUGGGCAAGAUGACUAAGACUCCGUUCUCCGGAACAAUGGAGCGUGCAAGUGACUUGUUGGAAAUCAUACAUACCGAUGUGUGUGGUCCGAUGAGCGUGGAGGCACGCGGCGGAUAUCGUUAUUUUCUCACCUUCACUGACGAUUUAAGUAGAUAUGGUUAUGUCUACUUGAUGAAGCACAAGUCUGAAACAUUUGAAAAGUUCAAGCAAUUUCAGAGUGAAGUGGAAAAUCAUCGUAACAAGAAGAUCAAGUUCCUACGGUCUGAUCGUGGGGGUGAAUAUCUGAGUUUCGAGUUUGGUACUCACUUAAGACAAUGUGGAAUUGUUUCGCAGUUAACACCGCCUGGAACACCACAGCGUAAUGGUGUGUCCGAACGUCGUAAUCGUACUUUGUUAGAGAUGGUGCGAUCUAUGAUGUCUCUUACUGAUUUGCCGUUAUCAUUUUGGGGUUAUGCAUUAGAAACAGCUGCAUUCACUUUAAAUAGGGCACCAUCAAAAUCCGUUGAGACGACACCAUACGAACUGUGGUAUGGCAAAAGACCAAAGUUGUCGUUUCUUAAAGUUUGGGGAUGUGAUGCUUAUGUCAAAAAGCUUCAGCCUGAAAAGCUGGAACCCAAAGCAGAAAAGUGCGUCUUCAUAGGUUACCCAAAAGAGACAGUUGGGUACACCUUCUAUCUCAAAUCCGAGGGCAAAGUGUUUGUUGCUAAGAACGGAACUUUUCUCGAGAAGGAGUUUCUCUCGAGAGAAUUGAGUGGGAGGAAGAUAGAACUUGACGAGGUUGUCGAACCUCUCAUCCCUCUGGAUGGUGGCACAGGGCAAGGGGAAACCUCUGUCGUUGCGUCGCCGGUUGAGGAGGAAGUUAAUGAUGAUGAUCAUGAAACUCUAGUUCAAGUUUCUGUUGAACCACACAGGUCGACGAGAUCACGCGCUGCUCUAGAGUGGUACGGUAAUCCCGUCUUAUCAAUCAUGUUGUUAGACAACAAUGAACCUGCAAAUUAUGAAGAAGCAAUGGUGGGCCUAGAUUCCAACAAAUGGCUAGAAGCCAUGAAAUCCGAGAUAGGAUCCAUGUAUGAGAACAAAGUGUGGACUUUGGAGAUACUACCUGAGGGCCGCAAGGCUAUUCAGAACAAAUGGAUUUUUAAGAAGAAGACGGACGCUGACAGUAAUGUGACCAUUUAUAAAGCUCGACUUGUGGCAAAGGGUUUUUCACAAGUUCCAGGAGUUGACUACGAUGAGACCUUCUCACCCGUAGCGAUGCUUAAAUCUGUCAGAAUCAUGUUAGCAAUAGCUGCAUUUUUCGAUUAUGAAAUCUGGCAGAUGGAUGUCAAAACGGCGUUCCUUAACGGUUUCCUUAAGGAAGAGUUGUAUAUGAUGCAACCCGAAGGUUUUGUCGAUCCUAAAAAUGCUGACAAGGUGUGCAAGCUCCAGCGAUCCAUUUAUGGACUGGUGCAAGCAUCUCGGAGUUGGAACAAACGCUUUGAUGAGGUGAUCAAAGCAUUUGGGUUUAUACAAGUGGUUGGAGAAUCUUGUAUUUACAAGAAAGUGAGUGGGAGCUCUGUGGCGUUUCUAAUAUUAUAUGUGGAUGACAUAUUACUGAUUGGAAACAACGUAGAGCUUUUGGAGAGCAUAAAAGGUUACUUAAAUAAAAGUUUCUCUAUGAAGGACCUAGGAGAAGCUGCUUACAUUCUAGGCAUUAAGAUCUAUAGGGAUAGAUCAAAACGCCUGAUACGACUUUCACAAAGCACAUACCUUGAUAAAGUUUUGAAGAGGUUCAAAAUGGAACAGUCCAAGAAAGGGUUCUUGCCAGUGUUACAAGGUACGAGAUUGAGUAAGACUCAGUGCCCAGCAACUGAUGAAGAUAGAGAGCAUAUGCGCUCCGUCCCCUAUGCUUCAGCCAUAGGUUCUAUCAUGUAUGCGAUGUUGUGCACUAGACCGGAUGUUAGCCUGGCCAUAAGUAUGGCAGGCAGGUUCCAGAGUAAUCCAGGAGUGGAUCACUGGACAUCGGUCAAGAAUAUCCUGAAGUACCUGAAAAGGACUAAGGAGAUGUUUCUCGUGUAUGGAGGUGAUGAAGAGCUCGCCGUAAAAGGUUACGUCGAUGCAAGCUUUGACACAGAUCCGGAUGACUCUAAGUCGCAAACCGGAUACGUAUUUAUUCUUAAUGGGGGUGCAGUAAGCUGGUGCAGUUCCAAGCAAAGCGUCGUAGCAGAUUCUACAUGUGAAGCGGAGUACAUGGCUGCCUCGGAGGCGGCUAAGGAGGGUGUCUGGAUGAAGCAGUUCAUGACGGAUCUUGGAGUGGUGCCAAGUGCACUGGAUCCAAUAACCUUGUUCUGUGACAACACUGGUGCCAUUGCCUUAGCAAAGGAACCAAGGUUUCACAAGAAGACCAGACACAUCAAACGACGCUUCAACCUCAUUCGCGACUACGUCGAGGAGGAGGACGUAAAUAUAUGCAAAGUGCACACGGAUCUGAAUGUAGCAGACCCGCUGACUAAACCUCCUCCACGGCCAAAACAUAAUCGACACCAGAACUGUAUUGGUGUUAGAUUUAUUACAAUGUAAUUCACAUGAUAAUGUGAGGGCUAGAUUAUUGACUCUAAUGCAAGUGGGAGACUGUUGGAAUUAAGCCCUAGAGGCAAUAAUAAAUGUAUAAUUAUUAUUAUAAUUCCUGUAUCAAGAUAAUAGUUUAUUAUCCAUGCUAUAAUUGUAUUGAAUGAAGACUCAUUUACAUGUGUGGAUACAUAGACAAAACACCGUCCCUAGCAUGCCUCUAGUUGGCUAGCCAGUUGAUCGAUGAUAGUCAGUGUCUUCUGAUUAUGAACAAGGUGUUGUUGCUUGAUAACUGGAUCACGUCAUUGGGGGAAUCACGUGAUGGACUAGACCCAAACUAAUAGACGUAGCAUGUUGAUCGUGUCAUUUUGUUGCUACUGUUUUCAGCGUGUCAAGUAUUUAUNNNNNNNNNNNNNNNNNNNNNNNNNNNNNNNNNNNNNNNNNNNNNNNNNNNNNNNNNNNNNNNNNNNNNNNNNNNNNNNNNNNNNNNNNNNNNNNNNNNNCCUCACGUCCCUCGAUCCGCCCCGCGAACAAUCCCGCGAUCAGUCCCACGAUCUAGUACCGAACGGACGGCACCUCCGCGUUCAGCACACGUACAGCUCGACGAUGAUCUCGACCUUCUUGAUCCAGCAAGAGAGACGGAGAGGUAGAAGAGUUCUCUGGCAGCGUGACGGUGCUCCGGAGGUUGGUGAUGAUCUCGUCUCAGCAGGGCUCCGCCCGAGCUCCGCAGAAACGCGAUCUAGAGGAAAAACUAUGGAGGUAUGUGGUCGGGCAGCCGUGAGAAAGUCGUCUCAAAUCUGCCCUAAAAGCCCCAUAUAUAUAGGAGGAGGGAGGGGAACCUUGCCUUGGGGUCCAAGGGACCCUCAAGGGGUCGGCCGAGCCAAGGGGGGGAGGACUCCCCCCCCAAACCGAGUUGGACUUGGUUUGGUGGGAGGAGUCCCCCUCCCUUCCCACUUCUUCCCUCUUUUUUUCUUUUCCUUUGAUUUCCUUUCCUUGGCGCAUAGGCCCCCUUGGGACUGUCCCACCAGCCCACUAAGGGCUGGUGUGUCUCCCCAAAGCCUAUGGGCUUCCCCGGGGUGGGUUGCCCCCCCCGCUGAACUCCCGGAACCCAUUCGUCAUUCCCGGUACAUUCAUGGUAACUCCGAAAACCUUCCGGUAAUCAAAUGAGGUCAUCCUAUAUAUCAUUCUUCGUUUCCGGACCAUUCCGGAAACCCUCGUGACGUCCGUGAUCUCAUCCGGGACUCCUAACAACAUUCGGUAACCAACCAUAUAACUCAAAUACACAUAAAACAACGUCGAACCUUAAGUGUGCAGACCCUGCGGGUUCGAGAACUAUGUAGACAUGACCCGAGAGACUCCUCGGUCAAUAUCCAAUAGCGGGACCUGGAUGCCCAUAUUGGAUCCUACAUAUUCUACGAAGAUCUUUAUCGUUUGAACCUUAGUGCCAAGGAUUCGUAUAAUCCCGUAUGUCAUUCCCUUUGUCCUUCGGUAUGUUACUUGCCCGAGAUUCGAUCGUCAGUAUCCGUAUACCUAUUUCAAUCUCGUUUACCGGCAAGUCUCUUUACUCGUUCCGUAAUACAAGAUCCCGCAACUUACACUAAGUUACAUUGCUUGCAAGGCUUGUGUGUGAUGUUGUAUUACCGAGUGGGCCCCGAGAUACCUCUCCGUCACACGGAGUGACAAAUCCCAGUCUUGAUCCAUACUAACUCAAUUAACACCUUCGGAGAUACCUGUAGAGCAUCUUUAUAGUCACCCAGUUACGUUGCAACUUUUGAUACACACAAAGCAUUCCUCCGGUGUCAGUGAGUUAUAUGAUCUCAUGGUCAUAGGAAUAAAUACUUGACACGCNNNNNNNNNNNNNNNNNNNNNNNNNNNNNNNNNNNNNNNNNNNNNNNNNNNNNNNNNNNNNNNNNNNNNNNNNNNNNNNNNNNNNNNNNNNNNNNNNNNNUCAUGUAUUUACUUAUUUUUUAGAGCUAGUUGACCCUGAAAUUGAAAAGCACUACAAAUGAACUCUGAAAAAAUGUUGAAAGUUGGCAAGGUAUCAUCAUUUCAUCCACAUAGCAUGUUCUAAAAAGUUGAGAGGGUUACGACAAAAAUUGGAUGCACUUCGUGUACAAAACGGACAAUCUCUCUCGAAGAAUGAGGGUUUCGAACGAAAACUCAUGUGUUACAAAGCGAUUUCAUUUUUGGAACUUCAUAUUUUUUUGUGUUCAAAAUGCACCAUUCAAAGGCACAUCACAAAUUUUCAACAAUUUAUGACUUCAUUUGGCAUUUUACAUGCAUUUACUUUUUUUGAGCUAGUUGACCCAGAAAUUGAAAAGCAGUACAAAUGAGCUAUGAAAAUGUUGAAAGUUGGCAUGGUAUAUUUAUUUCAACCACAUAACAUGUGGUAAAAAGUUGAGAGGGUUACGACAAAAACUGGAUGCACUUCAUGUACAAAACGGACAAUCUCUCUCGAAGUAUGAGGGUUUCGAACGAGAACUCAUCUAUUACAAAAGGAAUUUCAUUUUUUUGAACUUAUUUGAACUCCAUACUUUUUGUGUCUUCAAAAUGCAUCAUUCAAAGGCACAUCACAAAUUUUCAACAAUUUCUGAUUUCAUUUGGUAAUUUUCAUGCAUUUACUUUUUUUUGAGCUAGUUGACCCUGAAAUUGAAAAGAUCAACAAAUGAACUCUGAAAAUGUUGAAAGUUGGCAUGGUAUCAUAAUUUCAUCCACACAACAUGUGCUAAAAAGUUGAGAGGGUUACGAGAAAAACUGGUUGCACUUCGUGUACAAAACGGAUAAUUUCUCUCAAAGUAUGAGGGUUUCGAAAGAGAACUAAUCUGUUACAAAGGGAUUUCAUUUUCUUGAACUUAUUUAAACUCCAUACUUUUUGUGUGUUCAAAAUGCACCAUUCAAAGGCACAUCAUAAAUUUUCGACUAUUUCUGUUUCAUGUAUUUACUUANNNNNNNNNNNNNNNNNNNNNNNNNNNNNNNNNNNNNNNNNNNNNNNNNNNNNNNNNNNNNNNNNNNNNNNNNNNNNNNNNNNNNNNNNNNNNNNNNNNNGGACAAUGACAAGUGCCAGUUGUGCGGGAUGCAAGAUUCAUGGAGACACUCGCUUAUAGCAUGCUCGGUUGCAAGGUGUGUUUGGGCUCUCGAGGAUGAAGAUAUAGCAGAUUACAUUCAGAAAGCUACAGAUCCUAGAACAAAGCAGUGGUUUUUUGCAACAAUAGAGGAUUUGUCUCAUGCUAGGCUGAUCAAGCUAUCCACGAAGAAAUUUUGCAGAGCCCUCAUGCAACUAAUGCUUUUUUAACAAACUAUAUUGUUGAACUUGCAAGCAUCAAAGAAAAGAAGACACGAGGAACUUGUUCUACCAUGGGUGCCCCCAGGAUUAGGCCGACCCGGUGGAUUGCUCCUGCCCAGGGAGUAGUAAAGAUUCAGGUUGAUGGGGGUAUCUCCAGGAAUGGCACCAAGGGUGCAACGGCAACCAUUUGUCGUUAUCAGAAGGGACUUUUCCUGUGUUCUUCAGCACUGGUUUUCACUGGAGUCAUGGAUCCACCAACUCUUGAAGUUCUCUCGUGUUGGGAAGCUAUGGCUUUAGCGUUUGAUCUGUCCUUGAAUCAAGUUGUUAUUGCUUGUGACUAUGAAGUAGUUAUUAAAGACAUCAAGUCUGGCACAGAGGGAAGAUAUACUUCCAUCAGCAAGGAGAUAAAAAAUGCUGCUCUUAAUUUUACCAAGUGUGAGUUUAUUUUCGAAGGCGAGAAAGGAAUGUUGAUGCCCAUAAUGUAGCUAAAUUUGCUUUUACUUUAGAUGAUGGGCGCCACCUGUGGCCGAGUUCAUCCCAUGACCCUUUUGUCAUACCUGUAAACCGUUCCCCUAAUCAAUAAAGGCUGGUUUACCACUCAAAAAAAAGCUGAUUGUUGCCCUUACGGAGGACCUCUCACUUCAGAAUAUUGUGGUGGCAUGCGAUGGCAAAGUAGUAGUUGAUGACAUACACGGAGGAGAGGGUGGAUCUUAUGUGACAGUCAUUAAGGAGAUUUCCAUGCGCAGAUCUUUUUUCAAUAUUCGUAAGUUUAUUUCUGAGGGUAGAGCAUCGAAUAGCGAUGCACACAAUCUUACUAAGCACUCGUUAUUACUUGAUCGGGGUCGUCACUUGUGGCUCAUUCAUGCCACGACCCUUCUUGUAUCCCUCUUUGUGUCCAAACAGAUCAAUUAAGUUUUGGCAUUUCUCAAAAAAAAAAAAAGAACUUGCCAUAUAAUUUUCCUCAGAUUUUGAGUCGAAUAAGCUAGCCAGCCAGCUUAGCAAAGUUCAAUUGCCCUUCUGUUUGAUUGGAUGAGACCCAUGAUGGCAUUAUCUCUCUGCUUGUUCAUGAUGUGACUUUGAUCACCAAUGAAUAAGAGGGGGUGUGAUUUAACAAAAGACACAAAAAAACUCCGUUCUUUUAGAGAAAACGGCAAAACUCAAGAAGGACCUUAUUGUUUGGGACAUUCAUAAGAGGUAAGCAGCAAAGGCAAAUUAAGAUUGUAGUAUUUGGUACCAUACAACGCGAGGACUGGAAAGAAAGACUUCAUUAUAGUAGUUUUGUUCACAAAAACUAUAUGGCCAACGUUCAGAUUUUAACCUUGCUACUCGAGCACUUCGAGAGUAACUCACUGGUGGAGCUAUUGCAAUGCCAAAUGUGUCAUGUGCUGCAUUUUACAAUUUGUACACUGAUUUUUUCACUUCUCGGUCUUGAAACAUCCGCUCACUGACUAUUUUCUUCGAGUGCGAGAGAGAAAACUUCCCACCCUCGCGUCGCCCCGCUUGGGCGACUCGGAGGCGACAACCCUAGGUCGUCGUCGGGCGCCCCUUCCCGAUGCUCCUCGCUGCCGUGGGGAGUCCUGGACCUGAGCGGCGGCUCCUCUGGUGAGGCUUCGUCGGAUCUGCGGCCUCCGGCGGUGCGGCCGACGGAUUCGGGGUCCCUGUCACUUGGGUGGUGGGAUCUUGGUGGAGGAGGUGAGCGGCUGGUUGCUGCUUUGGCGGCCAGCGACACAAGAUCCCUGGCGUUCCCCUCCCUUGAUUGGCGUGCGGGCACCUCUGGCCAGGUGGUGCCUUUUAUGGUCGCCGUUACCUGAAGAGGGGGUGGCUUGUGGGGUUGGGGCGGCCCUGGCGUAAUCCAUGGCCGGCUUGGCCGGCCGCGCCAACGGCGAUGCGUGCGGGCAUCGUGCCCCUUCCUGGAGGCGUUGGUAUGGACUGCCCCCUCCACUUCCCCUUCCUCUAGGUCUCCGGGUCGAAAGCCCUAACUUUGUUGGGCGGCGACGACGCUUGCAGUGUCGUUCCCUUCUUGAAGGCGUCGCCUUUGGAGCCUUGUAGUUGGGGGCGCUUGUGGUUGGUUGGUGGCACCGGCAGUGUGGCCCUCUUCGUCCUGGUAUGAUGCUCCCCCUCUUCCAGUGCUGGAUGUGUGCAGCGGCCUUGUUCUGCGCAAGAAGAGUCUCCGGUGACUCGUGGGGAUGCGUUGACCCUCUCUAUGUGACCAUCUCCGGCGGCGUCCACCACACCUGUCGACGGUGCGGCGCCUUCGAUCCAGGCGAGGAGGUUGUGGCCUCCUUCGAAGUUGGGUGUUGGAUGCGAUGUGUCGGGGUCCGUAGGUGCAUGGCGACGGCAUGCCAUGCUGAUGUCGGUCCCUCUCUCCUUUGUUCCUGCACGAUCUUGCUUCUGGUGCUAUAUUCUCGGUCGAGGACCUCGGCAUCUUCGGCUUCACCCUUCACUGCUUAUCUUCAGUUGCCGUGGUGUAUGAGGCUUAGUUUCAUGUUGUCCGUCGUUUUUGUAUCUUUCGCCAUGUAUUUUCUUCUUUUUGCUUGAGGGCGUGUGCUUGUAAUCCUGCACGAUUGAUGGCUUUGUUAAUUCAAAGUCGGGCUAGGCUCGAGCCUCAUCUCGGUCUCGGUUGAUGUCUUUUUUAAAAAAAAAACAUAUUUUCUUCGGUUAUGCUUCAGUAUUCUUUUGUUUUUUCUUUGUUUUCUUUCUGUUUCUUUCUCGGCUCAUCACUUGGUUUUCCCCUGUACGUUGGUGGGUUAUUUCCCCAUAUUUUCCUUUUUUUUCAUCAUACAUCAACUUAUCAGUUGAUUUUUUUUCUCCCACGAAGAGUUCUCCUGUUGUAUGUGGGUGGUUAGUCCUUACAACAAAUAUAGCUUGGCAAAGUUACCAAGUUAUAGGUUUCUUCACAAGUAAAAAACGCUGAUGUAUAACUACGUACGUGAAACAUAUUAUAUUAUUAUUAUUAUUAUUACUACUUCAAAUAACAAACAAAUGUAACACACACGUGAAGAAGUCAACUACAUGCUACAUCAAUUUAUUCGGUAACAAACAGAGGAUUAUUUUCUUCCAAAACGGAUGAUGGAGAGAGUUGCCGACGGCAGAGGCUCCCUACUUGAACCUGGCCUUGACGGCGUCGAUGUCUUCGUUAUCAACCCGGAAGGCCUUGGCCAGCACGUCGGUCGGCACCGGCGGUGAGGCAGCCAAGAGCGUGGUGGCGAUGGCUUGGGUGCCCUGAAGCUGGCUGUUGAAGGCGGCGAUGACGGAGGCGGGGCCAUGUCCCCUGUUCUGCUGGAAGUGCACGAGCCCGCGCGGGAAGACGAACACCUCACCGACGGUGACGAACCUAGUGAAGAGCUUGUUGGCGGUGGUGAUGAAGCCCACCUCGAGGGUUCCCUGGGUGACGAAGAUGAUCUCGGUGGCGCGUGGGUGGGUGUGCGGCGGGUUCUGCCCUCCGACCGCGUAGUCGAUGCGCGCCAUGGACACGCCGAGCGUGUUCACCCCGGGGAAUGACUGCACGUUCGCCGCCGUGACGACCGACCCCGCCGGGUUGUUGGUGUUGCCGGCCUUCUUGAGACCGGCGAAGAAGAAGUCGUCCGCCGUGAUGUUCGCCUUGCACGGGAAGCCGUUGAUCUUGAUCGCUGCCGCAAACCAUGCAUUUGGACCAACACGCAGCGUCAGCAAAAGUCAGCGCACGGGAUGCAAGAGCGAGGUUGACAAACUACGAUGAACACAUAAUUUUGCAGGAUGACUCACGGGAUGCCAGGUCGGCGACGCAGACGUCCUGGAGCAUGUCGGGGUCGCCGGCGAGGGAGGGAGCGGCGAGCGCGAGGAGGAUGGCGCAGGCCGCUAGGACGGAAAGCUGAAGCCUGGCCAUGGUGAAUUCGUCAAUGCUUGCUUGCUAUCAGCUUGGUGGUAUAGCUUGGGUCUGGAAAUAGCAGAGGUAGGAGGUGGUACUUGUAGGCAAGGUGGUUCGCGUGUGGAACUACGGAUAGUAUCGCCAUUAUUCAAGGAGGGGUGGCUGCGACGAGGCGACAUGGCCGGAUGGGAGGGGCAUCCAAUUCCAUUAAUUUGGAGCCAAUUCAAUGGGGCUAUACUACUACUACUUGUUUAUGCGCUCCUUGCAGGCUACCAUGUGCCUUCUACACAUGCAUUUCUGAUCAGAUCCACGCUUCAUCCAUUACUAACACUAGGCGUAGGUAAAAUUGAUAAAUUUGAUUCAAAAGCCAAAGAAUUCCAUAAACCGUACCUAAAUAUAAGUCUUUUAAGAUAUUUCACUAGGUAUCUACAUACGAAGCAAAAUGAAUGAAUCUAUACUCUAAAAUAUGUUUAUAUACAUACGUAUGUAGUUCACUAGUUGAACCUCUAUAAAGACUUAUAUUUAGGAAGGGAGGGAGUACGUUUGAAAAAAUUUCACCCAGCCGACCCUUUUGUGUGACGUCUUUAUCUUAAACGUCACACUACACUGUGUGACGUCCGACACUACGUUGUGUGACGUCUGAGACCUAGUGUGACGCCUAAGACAUAAACGUCACACUACACUGUAUGACGUCACACGGUGUAGUGUGGCACCUGACUGUCGGACGCCACAUAAAAGGAUCAGCUGAGUGAAAAAAUUUCAAACAUAGUUUAGUUUGUGAAAUCCUUUAGGUCCUAGGUUAAAUUUAUCAAUUUUGCCCUAGGCGUAUGAUGCGUAUCCUCUCGGAAACUACACCCCUGUUUCGUGGGUAUGGAUCGCCAGGAACAAUGCAGGAUAGCACAUGCGACGGGUGGCAUAUCGAGUAGUUGCACAUGCUAGUUCGUACCGUUGGAUCUCAUACUCCUUCCUGAUUGAUGGCGAGUUGAGUUUCUGCUUCUGGGCGGUUGACCAGUGGAUAUAUUACCCCUUCCUGAUUGAUGGCAAGCCAAGCUAUCUCGGCCAGUAACCAAUUCCACUUGCGUCAGAGAGGAGCCAUUCUGGUCAAGGUCGUCAAUAACUCCAUCCUGAUUUUGCUACAGGCAAGGAGGAGGAGGAGGAUAACUUUUCAUGACUACUUCCUCCGUUUGUAAAUACUGGUCGUAGACAUGGAUGUAUCUAUAUGUAUUUCAAUUUUAAAUACACUCAUUUGUAUUUAAUUUUCAUGGUAAGUAAUUCCGAACGAAGGGAGUAUUUUGCUGGCGAGGCUGAGCUGGAACAGCCCUCCUACAGGGUAGAUUUGAUGUAUAGAAGUACGAAUUGGCGCUGGAAAUCAGGGUGCCCAACACCAUGCCCCAUAUGAGACUUUUUGUUUCUUGUGGGAAUAUUUUUAUCCGGGCUAAACCGAGCACUCAGCCACUGUCCAUAUUCAAAUAUAGCGGACGAAGCAGCAAGGGCGAGGGGACACUUAUGCCAAAGAAUCAGAUGCGGUCCCUCGUGGUUAGUCGUCACAGAGUAAAUCCGUAGCUGUCCGGCCGUCUCUACCACCGACGGCUUGCGUAUUUUUUUUCUUCUAUGAAUAGAUAAUAGAGAAAGUACUACUACAAGGUAAGGUACAACACACUACAUGAUGUUUGCUUACCACCAAAAGGAUACUCCUAGAGGCCAAGUGUGAAACUCUAGAAGUUUUCAAUGUGGUGUAUGAUGAUUUUACCGUCGAAUUUGAAGUGAGGUCAAAAGUUGAUGGUUUUCGAUGGGUGCUUGUGGCAGUUUAUGGAGCAGCUCAACAGGAGCUCAAGAAACUGAAUUUCUUUCAGAUCUUGUGAGGAUCAGUGGAAACGAAGGGCUGCCAAUUUUAGUUAGAGGAGAUUUCAAUAUCAUUCGGAGAAGAGAAAAAUAAUGAUGAUUUUCAUGCUAGAUGGUCAUACAUGUUUAACAUGAUUAUUGAGAGUCUUGACUUACGGAAAAAUGAACUCACCGGUAGACAAUUUACAUGCGCGAAUUCACUACCCAUCACGACGUAUGAGAAGCAAGAUCGGUGAGUGUUGAGUGGGAACAGACGUUUCCUCUUGUGACGGUCCAGGCUCUGCAGAGAGCAGUUUCGGAUCACACUUCACUCCUCGUCGACUCAGGGUAGGCGACACAUGUGGGCAAUAAAAGUGUCUUCUCUAUUGAAUUAGGAUGGUUCGAGAGAGAGGUAUUUUUGGACCUAAUAGCUAAUGAAUGGGCUAAAGAGACUGGAGGGACAUCUAGCAUGGAUAGAUGGCAAAAUAAAGUCAGGCAUUUACGCUAGUCCUUGAGGGGCUCGGCCAAAAAUCAAAGUGGGAUUUACAGAGUAUAAAAAGAAAGACUUAUUCAUCUUAUCAAAGAGUUAGAUCUGAAAGCUGAAGCAUCAGUUCUUAAUAGCUAUGAUCGGAGUAUUAAGUACGAGGCUGGGGAGAAGCUUCGUGCUUUAUUCAGAGAGGAAGAGAUUAAAUGGACACUGAGAGCUAAGGUGUCUACGGCCAUCCAAGGGUAUGACAACACACAAUUCUUCCACAUGAUCGCUAAAGGAAAGCGAAGAAAGAAGAAAAUAAUUCAACUCAAACAAGAUGAUGGUACAAUUGUAGAGCAUGAAAACCUGAAAUUGUAUAUCUCUGAAUAUUAUAAAAAACUGUUCAGAGCUCCCGAAGCUAACUCUAUAUCCCUAGAUGAAAGUGUAACAGAGGACAUUCCUCAACUCAAUAUAAAGAGAAUGGGAUGCUUUCGUCUCUGUUUACCGAGAAAGAGGUGUUUGACGCAAUCAUCCAACUGAAAACAGAACAAGGCUCCAGGACCGGAUGGGUUUCCAGCGGAGUUUUAUAAGAUGUGUUGGCAUGUCAUCAAACAUGAUGUUAUGCCCAUGUUCCAUUAUUUAUUCAAUGGGCAAUUAAAAUUAUUCCACCUAAACUUUGGGGCAAUUACAUUGUUACCAAAGGAGGGGGUUGUAUGCAUUAAGCAGUUCAGGCCGACUUGUUUGCUUAAUGUGUGUUUCAAUUGUUUUUACCAAGGUGGUAACAAAUAUGUUGACGCAGAUAGCCCAUUCGGUUGUACAACAGUCUCAUACAAGUUUCAUGCUAGAUAGGCACAUCCUAGAAGGGGUUGUGGUACUACAUGAAAAACUUCAUCAAAUUCACACCAAGAAACUCGAUGGAGUCAUCUUUAAGGUGGAUUUUGAGAAAGCCUAUGACAAAGUCAAAUGGCCUUUUCUCCAACAAGCUUACGUAUGAAGGGAUUCAAUGAAGCAUGUAGGAAACAGGUUGAUUCAUUUGUUCAGAAAGGUAGUGUUGGGAUAAAGAUGAAUGAUGACAUGGGUCAUUACUUUCAAACUCAUAAAGGUUUAACCCAGGGAGAUUCGAUGUCCCCCAUCUUAUUCAACAUAGUGGCUGAUAUAUUAACAUUUCUCAUAGGACGAGCUAAAGAGAACGAUAUAAUAGGAGGACUAGUACCACAUAUUGUGGAUGGAGUGGUUUCCAUCUUACAAUAUGCGGACGGUACGAUUAUUUUCAUGGAGCAUGACUUCGCAAAAGCUAGAAACAUGAAGUUGGUUCACUGUCAGUUUGAACAAUUAUCGGGACUCAGGAUAAGUUUUCAAAAGAGCGAAUUGUUCUGUUUUGGCCGAGCCAAGGAAGAACAAGAUGCUUACAGAAAACUAUUCGAUUGUGAGAUGGACUCCAUGCCGUUUAGUUAUUCGGGUAUACCUAUUCAUCACCGUAAGCUUACCAACAAGGAAUGAAAGUGCAUAGAAGACCGGUUUGAAAAACGACUAAGCUGCUGGAAAGGAAAGCUUAUGUCUUAUGAAGGUCGGCUAGUGUUAAUAAAUUAUGCGUUGACAAGUUUGUCGAUGUUUCUAUUACCAUUCUUCGAAGUACUAGUAGGGGUAGCGAAAAGACUUGACUUCUAUAGAUCUAGAUUAUUUUUGGCAAAAUGAUGAAAGUAAGACGAAAUAUAGACUGGCUAAAUGACACAUGAUGUGUAGACGCAAAGAUCAGGGUGGAUUAGGAAUUGAAAAUUUACAAACUAAAAAUAGAUGUCUUUUCAGCAAAUGGGUGUACAGACUCUCUGUGGAGGCAAAAGGUACGUGAAUACAAAUUUUGCGUAAUAAGUACCUACAAACAAAGUCCCUGGCUCAAGUUACAGUGAAACAUUCGGACUCACAAUUCUGGAAAGGCUUAAUGAGGACAAAAGAAGCUUUUUUCAUAGAGUCAAGUUUCACAUUGAGAAUGGUAACAAAAGCAGGUUUUGGAAAGAUGCGUGGUUAGGGGAGAUGCCCCUGGCUACACAAUAUCCAUUUUUAUAUAACAUCGUGGAACGCAAAGAGGCCUAUGUGGCUACAAUUUUGCAGACUGUCCGUAUGAAUAUUCAAUAUAGGAGAUCUCUGGUAGGGGAACGAUAGAGUGCGUGGCUCCACUUGGUACAUAGAUUGAUGGAAGUUCAACUUCCGGACCAACCAGACACAAUUCAUUGGAAAUUAACUACAAGCAGUAGUUCCUUCGACAAAUCAAUGUAUCUAGACCUUAUUAAUAACGGGCCAAUACCUACUUCUCCAUACAUUUGUAAAAUAAAAAUACCGCUUAAGAUUAAGAUCUUUAUGUGGUUUGUUCACAGAGGAGUGAUACUUACAAAAGAUAAUUUGAUUAAGCGAAGAUGGGUGGGUAAUUCUAGAUGUUGUUUUUGUGAUCUGUCGUGGGUAUAAGUCUGACAGUAGAUGUGUAGGGUACGAAAGGAUGGGCAGAGCCUUAGCUACGGCGAGGUUGUAUGAGUUCAGGCCCCUCUACGGUGGAGGUAAUAGCCCUACGUCUCAGUGCUCUGGGAGCNNNNNNNNNNNNNNNNNNNNNNNNNNNNNNNNNNNNNNNNNNNNNNNNNNNNNNNNNNNNNNNNNNNNNNNNNNNNNNNNNNNNNNNNNNNNNNNNNNNNNNNNNNNNNNNNNNNNNNNNNNNNNNNNNNNNNNNNNNNNNNNNNNNNNNNNNNNNNNNNNNNNNNNNNNNNNNNNNNNNNNNNNNNNNNNNNNNNNNNNNNNNNNNNNNNNNNNNNNNNNNNNNNNNNCCCUCCACAACGGUUCGGUGCACAGGGGUGGAGUAGUGGCGAAUAAAUGCCUACGUUACAGGUAACGUAUGUCUUGAAUGCUAAUAAAGGCACAUGGAAACGUACAACCAUUUCCCUCUAGGGGGGUUACGAUGCACAGAGUGGAAUCCAGUCGGUUAAUUUGUUACACUCCGAAUGCUCAUCUCCGACUGGAUGGUGGAGGAUUUGUUACCGACUGGAUGAUGGGAAGUCCAUAAGACAGUCGGAACUGACUAAGGGUCUUAUCCCUUAUGAAGGGUAGUCCUUGGGUAGGACUUAUAGGGCAGGCCUAUGACCCUAUCCUAGGACUAUAACCCCAUCAUUAGUCCCCGAAUGGAUUGGGGUUGGAACGACGAAGCGAUGUUUGAAGUAUGGAUCCGACUGGUACGGAUGCGACUUUGGCGCUGCUUGCCUUGAUCCAUUUUGUCUUCUUUGUCCAACGAUCCGAGUCGAAGUAUUUGUGAAGCGAACUGUCGGGAACCGAGUGCUUCCGUGGUAUCUUCUGACGUGACCAGUCAACUCACAGCGGCGGAUUUUCCGGGAUCCUCAAAUUUCGGUUGCCGCGCGCUCAGUGGGGAUGACGACAUCGCGCUCGAGUAGUACCUGACGCCUCGAUUUCGCCGCGACCGGUCGGGGGAUAAGAUUUCGGGGCCACUUGCGAGUGACCCAGUCGGAACCUUAUUUAAACCUCAGCGGCGAGGGUUUUUUCGUUACACUCGCCGGAUAACUUGCCUUUGCCUGCCCCACUUCUCUCGCCACCUCCUGCGCAUCCCAAGCUCCUUCCUUCUUCUUCUCCCUCGCGGAUCAGCAGCCUUCGCCAUGACAAAGGGGCAGACUAGCAAGCUAGAGGUGAAGAAGAAGAAGGGGAAGACGGCAGCUCCUACCCAGCGGCGGCAGCGCACGCUACCGGCGGGGUGGAUCCAGGGGGAUUUCCUCCCCUCCACGGUGACGGAGGAGAACCUGUUGGAGUUGGUGGAGCAUGGGAUGAUUGCGCACAAGUCGUGGAGGUUGCCGGUGGAAGGCGAGACCGAGUCGGCGCCCCGGGAGGGGGAGCGCGUCUUGCUGCUGAGCCAUGUGUACAGAGGUUUCUCUCUGCCUCCUCACCCCUUCUUCAAAGGUAUCAUGAACCACUUCGGGGCGCAGCUCCACCAUUUUCCUCCCAAUGCCAUAGCUCAUCUCUCUGCCUUCGUUGUGCUGUGCGAGUGUUUCAUCGGCUGUCCUCCCCAUUGGGGGGCUUUUCAAACAUAUCUUCUCUGCUAGAUCCCAGACCAUCAAACGGCUUAGCCAGUCGGAUGACAAAACCCACCUUCUCCAGCUCUGCGGAGGCUUAGGCUUCCAAAAGAAAAGUAAAAGUAGCUAUCCUGCUCUGUAGUUGAGUGAACCUAUUAGGAACUGGCAGUCGACAUGGUUCUACUGCCAGGACGUUGCUUGCCCGAAUGCUACCACCGGACUCCCCCCUUUUAGCUUAGACCGACCGGCUCCUCCUAGGCAGCUCGCGCUCACGAAGGCGGAGAAAACCCAGAUCCAGCCUCUGUUCGAUGCGCUUGUAGAGGUCGUCCGAAGGGGAGUCACUGGCAUAGAUUUAAUGGAGGUUUUCCUGGGUCGGCGUAUCCAGCCUCUGCAAGCUUGAGACCACGCCAUGUGGCAUUACACAGGGCCUGAGGACUCCACUCGGACUAACGUCGAGUGCGUGACCGGGGAGAUGGUGGCGUCGUGGGUCCUCAACAUCACCGGCGCCUGCGAAAACCCUAGAGGAGCUCGGCGAGUGAAGGCCUUCCGGGCGGGCAACCCUCCUCCAAACGCAGUGAGUACAACUUGUCGAGCGUACACAACUGUCUUAGAUUUAUUGCUUCCUUGAAUCACUGUCUGACGUCUAAUGUCGUCGACUGUAUCUUGUGCAGGAGUGGACUAACUGGUUUUCUCCCGUCUCGAAUGGGAAUCCGGCCGAGGAGGAGGAAGGCAGCCAGGAGGGCAGCGUGGAGAGCGGCGAGUACGUCUCCGACAGUGGGGAGACGGAAGAGGAGUCCGCAGAAGAAGAAGAGGCAGAUGAGGAGCAGAACUCACCACCUCCACCGCCAGAGCCUCGGACUAAGCGUCGUCAUGAACCUGUGGUUCCUCCAGCUCCUCCAGCAUCCUCAAGUGUGCCGCCAGCUCCGCCAGCUGCUCCUGUGGUACCGAGUGCUUCGCCAGCUGUUCCCGUGGCUCCGAACGUUCGGAGCACAAAGAGGACCAGGGACUCUGCUGCUGAACCUGUGGGUCAGCCCUCUAAGGUAGCUAAACCGAGUGGAUCUAAGCCUCGGAAGGCUCUGCCGCGGAUGAGGGUCACAGUUCCCGUCACCUCAACGUAAGUGCAUGGUUCUUCUAUCUUCUUCCGGUAUUUGAUUGAACUCCUGCUUAUUGGUCGAAUGAAUUUCACUCGACAGAGUUGCCACCUCUGCCACCUCUCCGGCACGCCAGGGGGACGAUCCCAUGGACAUGGACAACAUUGUCACAUCCCAGCCAGGUGCGUCAUAGCGAUUCCGAGAGUUUACAUUAUUGCAUCACGAAUUCUGUCUUUGGUCUUGCCUUUUUCCCUGUGAUCUCACGUCGUUCGGUCGGGUUUCCCUCAGGGGUGAUUUAUGUGGAGGAGGGCGACCAGGGGAGGUCUGAGCAAGCUGCGGUGCCUGUCCUUGAGGCUAUUCCGCCGGUUGCUACUCUCGCCAUGGACGCGCCGCCGACUGAGGCGAUGCUGUCGACUGAAACGACGUUGGUUGCUGCUGAACCGACUAGAGCAGGUCUUGGGAUGCCCAAGGAGCCUCCUACGAUGCCGGGCCCGUCGACUGUCGAGUACAACGUCCAGCGCCUCCUAGAAGAUCAGGUGGGAGCUGCCAAGGGGGCCGUGGUGCAGGCGGAGCUGAUGGCUGGAGAGGCCAAGAAGGCGUACGACUCCAUCGCGUCCUUGUACAAGCGAAGCUUGGAACUGCGGGACGAUAUCCGAGUAAGUGGGCUAGUAAGUAUUUACUUUCCUCUUGUAACCCACUGGGUGUGCUUGGAUAGCGUAUGAUUUUUUGCAAUGGGUUCACUCGUAGUGAACCCAGUGGGUGUAGUCCCCGAGACUUCUGUCGGGUGCUUGCACCGGCAGUUGUCUUUAUGCAUGUUCUUUAACUUGAUCAGAUCAAAAAUUAAUCUGUUCGAAUGUUAACAGUUGGGGCACUCGGAGUGCACCUACUGGAUGAGUCCCCGAGAGUAAUUUUACUCAGGUCGGGUAGUAGUAGCCUCAUAGGCUUAUUUGUUGUCAUGUAGCUCAAUAGGGCGGACAUGUUUGAGUUUCAUGCCAGUGGGGUCACUCUUAGUGAACCCACUGGGUGUAGUCCCCGAGACCACUGUCGACUGCUUGCGUCGACAGGGGUCUGAAGAACUUAGAAUUUUUAUUGUUGUCCUUGUUGAAUUUGUCUGACCGUCUCUUGGCGCUGACUUGCAGAAAACUUGCGAGAUGGGGACAGCGUAUGAGACUCUGAGGCUGAAAAGGUUCAGUUUGCUGGUGAACUGGAUGCAGCAAUGGUUGCAAUGGCUGGUAUGAAGGAUGUUCUGGUGGAACGAGAAAAGUCCUUGGAGCAGGCCCGUGAGGCAAACAAGGCAUUGACUGCUGAAGUGGAGAAAAUGGGGAAACAAAGGACGGAACUGAUGGGGCAGAUGAAAAUGUUGAACAGGCGGUGCAUAGCACAGGAAAAUUACGUCAGUGACUGGGCCCGGAAGAUGAUAGCGCUUCUCGGUGGUAAGUUCUAUUUUUCCGAGUGCUUGUGGACUGUGCAUUUCAUUCUGCGCUGACUGUUUGCUCGUCCUGUCUUUGCAGAUUUUUGCAUGGACGCGGAGGUUGAAGCGGCUGACGUUGAGCGGUCGAUUCUUGAGAACAUUCCACUCGGCGAGGACGCCAAUCGAGAUCUGCUCCGAGCGCACAUUCGCCUGGGCAAAGUUGGACCUUUCAUCGGUCGACUGAGAGAAGUCGUCGGCCGAAUUGACAAGGAGCUUUGGCCUGAAGACGAGUCUCGGCACGAGAUGGAAGGCUUGAUGACUCGGCUGGAGGAGGUCCCGAACCGAGUGCAGGCGUGGAAAAAGUCUGCGGCUCGCUGUGGUGCGGACGUCGCUCUGUCUUUGGUCCGAGUGCAUUGCAAGGAGGCGCGCAAAGAGAAGCUGAAGGCGUUGUAGGUCGCCAACACGAAAAAGCUUCGAUUCGAAGACUUCAUGGAGACCUUCCUUGAGAGCGCCACCCGCAUCACCGACGGGAUCGACCUCGACACGUUCGUAGAGCCUGCCAGUCCUGACGACGUUUGAGAAAACUUUUACCUCGGUAUGCCGAGUGUUGGUUGUAAGAAACUUUGGCCACUGUUGUUGGCCGCCACAUUCUUGGUUCGGUGUGGAUAAGCUUGAUCUACACCGAGCCAACUAUCCUUAGGUGAACAUUGAAUUUGAAUCGAAUCUUUUUCUCUUCUUUUGCCAAAGAGUUGUUGAUACGAUUUUGGCUCGUGGUGUUUGUUUGGCGUUUCUUGGUGAAGCCAAUGGCAAACAUGCGGAGCAUGUAAUUGUCAGUUGUCUUGACAUCUGCAUGAGCCUCACUGAGGGUCUGCUGAGUGUCCGAGUGGAUCUGUAGGAUACACUCAAAGGCAAUAGAGUACUUAGGCGAUUCGGGAUCGCGGCUAAGUCUUCGAGUGCGACUGUGAGGUCGUACUCGGAGCGAGUUGUUACUCAUGUAAUUGUCAGUGGUCUUGACAUCUACAUGAGCCUCAAUGAGGUUCUGCUACUCAUGUAAUUGUCAGUUGUCUUGACAUCUGCAUGAGCCUCACUGAGGGUCUGCUACUCAUGUAAUUGUCAGUGGUCUUGAGAUCUACAUGAGCCUCAAUGAGGGUCUGCUACUCAUGUAAUUGUCAGUUGUCUUAACAUCUGCAUGAGCCUCAAUGAGGGUCUGCUACUCAUGUAAUUGUCAGUUGUCUUCACAUCUGCAUGAUCCUCAAUGAGGGUCUGCUAAGCCUCCGAGUGGAUCUGUGAGAUACACUCAAAGGAAGCUUUCUUUUUAAGCGAUUCUUAAUCGCAGUUAAGUCCUCGAGUGUGACGGUUAGUGCACGCGUGGAGAAAAUUUGUACUUAGGCGAUUCUUGAUCGCAACUAAGUCUCCGAGUGCGACGUGAAGUGCACACUCGGAGAAAGUUAAUACUUAGGCGAUUCUNNNNNNNNNNNNNNNNNNNNNNNNNNNNNNNNNNNNNNNNNNNNNNNNNNNNNNNNNNNNNNNNNNNNNNNNNNNNNNNNNNNNNNNNNNNNNNNNNNNNNNNNNNNNNNNNNNNNNNNNNNNNNNNNNNNNNNNNNNNNNNNNNNNNNNNNNNNNNNNNNNNNNNNNNNNAAGUGCACACUCGGAGAUAGUUUGUACUUAGGCGAUUCUUGAUCGCAGCUAAGUCCCCGAGUGCGACGUGAAGUGCACACUCGGAGAUAUUUAGUACUUAGCCGAUUCUUGAUCGCAGCUAAGUCCCCGAGUGCGACAUUUAGUGCACACUCGGAGAAAGUCAAUACUUAGGCGAUUCUNNNNNNNNNNNNNNNNNNNNNNNNNNNNNNNNNNNNNNNNNNNNNNNNNNNNNNNNNNNNNNNNNNNNNNNNNNNNNNNNNNNNNNNNNNNNNNNNNNNNNNNNNNNNNNNNNNNNNNNNNNNNNNNNNNNNNNNNNNNNNNNNNNNNNNNNNNNNNNNNNNNNNNNNNNNNNNNNNNNNNNNAGUGCACACUCGGAGAAAGGUAGUACUUAGGCGAUUCUUGAUCGCAGCUAAGUUUUUUUUUUGAGACCGGAGUCUGCGACCGCGGAAGAAUUUUGAAUCUGCAAAAACUCGAUCUGCUUUGUAUUAUUUCACCAAUACUUGUUCUUUACAUUGCUUCAGUCGACGGUCACGUGUAGAAGCGCUUCAGGAGAUCUCCGUUCCAUGCUUGCGGCUCGUCUGUUUCCCUGUCGAUGUUGUAGAGUCUGUAUGCUCCGUUGUUCAGCACCUUGGAGAUGAUGAAGGGUCCUUCCCAGGCGGGAGCCAACUUGUGAGGUCUUUGCUGAUCCACCCGGAGCACCAGGUCGCCUGCUUGGAAUGUACGACUCCUGACGUGUCGCGCGUGAAAGCGCCGCAGAUCUUGCUGAUAAAUGGUUGAGCGAGUGAGUGCCAUCUCGCGCUCCUCCUCUAGAAGGUCCACUCUGUCUUGCCUUGCUUGUUCUGCUUCAGCUUCGGAGAAGAGUUCGACUCGUGGAGCAUUGUGAAGCAAGUCACUCGGAAGGACCGCUUCUGCUCCGUAAACGAGGAAGAACGGGGAUCGCCCCAUAGAUCUAUUCGGGGUUGUGCGGAGACCCCAAAGCACUGAAGGUAGCUCGGCGACCCAUGCGCCAGCGGCAUGUCCCACCUCUCGCAGGAGCCGGGGCUUCAAACCUUGUAGAAUAAGUCCAUUCGCCCGCUCUGCUUGUCCGUUUGUUUGAGGAUGCGGCACAGAUGCAAAAUCCACUAGGAUACCUUGGCUUGCACAGAAACCUUUGAAUCUGUCCGAGUCAAAGUUUGUCCCGUUGUCCGUGAUUAUGCUGUGAGGUACUCCGAAUCUGGAGAUGAUGUCCCUGACAAACUUGAUGGCUGUUAGGGCGUCGAGCUUCUUGAUGGGCUUGCCUUCAAUCCAUUUUGUGAACUUGUCGACUACCACCAACAGAUGUGUGUAUCCCCCUUGGCCUGUCCUGAAUGGACCGACUGUAUCUAAUCCCCAUACUGCAAACGGCUAAACAGGAGGGAUUGUCUUCAACGCAGAUGUUGGCUUGUGGGACUUGUUGGAAUAGAAAUGAUAGCCUUCACAUCGGUCGACCAUAUCUUUAGCCAUUUCGUUCGCCUGCAGCCAGAAGAAGCCAGCUCUGAGUGCUUUGGCGACGAUUGCUCUUGAAGAGGCGUGAUGACCGCAGGUUCCCGAGUGAAUUUCUUCCAGGAUUAAUUGUCCUUCCUCAGGGAAGAUGCAUCGUUGAAGAACGCCUGAAACGCUUUCCCUGUACAACUGGCCAUCAAUGACAGUGAACGACUUUGACCUGCGGACGAUCUGCCUGGAUUGGACUUCGUCUUCUGGUAAUUCCUGCCUCCGGAUGUAUGCAAUGAUCGGCAUAGUCCAAUCGGGGAUAACAGCAAGAACCUCCAUGAUCAAAUCAACCACAGCUGGUACGUCGACUUCAGUCGGAUCUGUCAAGCUCUUUGGUUGUACUGGUUCCUCUGUGAAAGGAUCUUCUUUAACUGCGGGGAGGUGGAGGUGCUCGAGGCAGACGUCACUCGGGACUGGUCUCUGAGUGGACCCGAGUUUUGCCAACUCAUCAGCCGCUUGGUUCUUCAGUCGCGGAACAUGGUGGAGUUCUAGACCUUCAAACUUCUUCUCGAGCUUCCUCAAUGCAUUGCAGUAUGUGGUCAUGGUGGGGUUCCUGACGUCCCACUCUUUCAUCACUUGAUUAACCACCAAAUCCGAAUCGCCAUAGACCAUCAGGCGACGGAUGCCGAGUGCGAUGGCCAUGCGCAGUCCAUAAAGGAGAGCUUCAUACUCUGCCUCAUUGUUGGAGGAAUCAAAGUGUAUCUGCAGCACAUACUUGAGUUUGUCGCCCUUAGGUGAUAUGAUCACAACGCCAGCGCCGGAGCCGUUCAACAUCUUGGACCCAUCGAAGAACAUUGUCCAAUGAGCCGAGUAGAUGUGGGUCGGUUGCUGUUGUUCUACCCAUUCUGCUAUGAAGUCCGCCAGAGCUUGAGACUUUAUAGCUUUCUUGGCCUCGAACUUGAUGUCGCAGUACAACAUCUCCAUUUCCCACUUCGCCACUCGGCCUGAUGCGUCCCGAUUGUGGAGGAUUUCCAACAACGGAGCAUCAGAAACGACGGACACCGAGUGGUCUUGGAAAUAGUGAGCCACCUUCUUCGCAGUCAUGUAAAUCCCGUAGAAAAGUUUUUGAUAGUGGGGAUACCUCUGCUUGGAAGGAGUCAGGACUUCGGAGACGUAAUACACUGGCCGCUGAACUUUGUAUGCUUUUCCUUCUUCUUCUCGUUCGACUGUGAGAACAGUGCUGACGACUUGAUUUGUAGCCGCGAUGUACAAAAGAAGGGGCUCUUUACUGAGCGGAUCAGUAAGAACCGGCUGGGUGGAAAGUAGGACUUUGAGGUCGUCGAGUGCAACUUGGGCUUCAUCUGUCCACUCGAAAGUAUCUGAUUUCUUCAUGAGUCGGUACAGAGGAAGUGCUUUCUCGCCGAGUCGACUGAUAAACCUGCUCAAAGCCGCUAGGCAACCUGUGAGCCGUUGAACAUCGUGUAUUCUGACCGGCCGCUCCAUUCGGACGAUUGUCCCGAUCUUUUCGGGGUUGACAUCGAUCCCUCGUUCAGAAACGAAGAAACCGAGUAACUUUCCGCUAGGAACGUCGAAUGAACACUUGGCGGGGUUGAGCUUGAUAUCGUACCUACGAAGGUUGGCGAAUGUUUCUGCCAAGUCAGUCAGCAGGUCGGAACCUUUGCGUGACUUGACUACGAUAUCAUCCAUAUACGCCUCCACAUUCCGACCGAUCUGGUCGAGGAGGCAUUUUUGGAUCAUGCGCAUAAAGGUUGCUCCUGCAUUCUUCAAACCAAAUGGCAUAGUGAUGUAGCAGAAGCACCCGAAUGGGGUGAUGAAGGCGGUUUUUAAUUCAUCGGGGCCAUACAGACGGAUCUGAUGAUAGCCCGAGUAGGCAUCAAGAAAUGACAAAGCUCACAACCCGCAGUCGAAUCGACAAUUUGAUUGAUGCGGGGGAGCGGAAAAUGGUCUUUCGGGCAGACCUUAUUGAGAUGCUUGAAGUCGAUGCACAUUCGGAGCGACUUGUCCUUCUUGGGCACCAUGACAACAUUGGCGAGCCACUCGGAGUGGUGUACCUCGCGAAUGAAGUUGGCUACCAAAAGCUUGGCCACUUCUUCUCCGAUUGCCUUCCUCUUGUGCGCGGCGGACCGUCGCAGGCGUUCUCGAACAGGUCGAGCGGUGGGAUCCACAUGCAGUCGGUGCUCAGCCAACUCCCUGGGUACACCUGGCAUGUCAGAAGGCUUCCAUGCGAAGAUGUCCCAGUUCUCACGGAGGAAUUGGAUGAGCUCGGCUUCCUAUUUAGGAUCGAGGGUGAUGGAGAUGUUCGUCGGGGCAGCGGUGUCGUCUGUCGGGUGGAUGCUGACCUUCUUCGUCUCUUCCGCCGACUGGAAUGCGGACUCCGAAGCUGGCUUCUUCGAACGCAUCAAGUCAGCGGGGUCGACCGUUUUCUUGUACUCGUCAAGCUCGAGGAUAGCCAUCUGUUGAUCGGCGAUUCUUGAUCCCUGCUUCAGACACUCCUCGGCCCGCUGUCGAUUGCCUGUGAUAGUGAUCACACCUUUCAGGCCUGGCAUCUUUAGAUUCAGGUACACGUAACAUGGGUGGGCCAUGAAACGCGCAUACGCCGGGCGGCCCAGAAUUGCGUGGUAAGCGCUCUGGAAGUCCACCACCUCGAACGUCAGCUUUUCCUUGCGGAAGUUCUUGUCGGAGCCGAAAAUGACGUCCAACGCGAUCUGGCCGAGUGACUUGGCCUUUCGUCCAGGGACGACUCCGUGGAACUGCAUGCUGCUCUCGCUGAGUUUGGACAUCGGAAUGCCCAUCCCCUUGAGAGUGUCAGCGUACAUGAUGUUCAAACCACUGCCGCCGUCCAUGAGGACUUUGCGCAGUCGAACUCCUUCCACCACCGGGUCGACGACCAGAGCUUGCCUCCCUGGGAUGGGCACGUGUGUUGGAUGAUCUGACUGGUCAAAGGUGAUCGCAGUCUGAGACCAUUUGAGGAACUUGGGGUUGGUCGGCGUGGCCAUGUUCACCUCCCUGUUCACCAGCUUCAGUCGGCUCUUGCUCUCAACGUCAGCAAAAAUCAUCAGUGUUGCAUGGACUUGGGGGAACGGAUCCUCCUUAUCCUCCUCAUCCUGUUCAUUGCCUUUUUCACUCAGUUGCCCUUUGCCGAACCCCUGAAGCAGGAGGCGACAUUGCCGAGUGGUAUGCUUCGGAUAUAUGGCGUUGCCCUCUUCAUCCAUCUUCGUGUGGAUCGGACAUGGCUGGUCCAGGAUGGGGUUGUUGAACUGCUUCUUCUUGGGGGUGAACUGAGCCUUCCCUUUGCCCUUGAACUUGGCAUUGGUAAGAACUGCGACUUCUGCCUGCGGAGUGGGCGGAGCUUUCUGCUUCUGCUUCCGAGUGUUAUUCCCAUCUCCAUCGGCGACUGUUUUGUGCUUGCCGCUACAGAUGCGGUCCUCUUCUUCGCCAUUUGCAUAGCAUGCUGCUAUCUCCAUCAUCUUGCUCAUGGAGAUGUCGCCUGUUCGACCGAACUUCAGGUACAGAUCCUGGUACCGCACACCUGCCUUGAAGGCGCAGACUGCUUGGUGUUCUGUGACGUUCUCCACCGUAUGGUAGAGGGUCGUCCAACGCUGAAUGAAAUCGCGCAGGGGCUCAUUCUGCUUCUGGACACAGUGCUGGAGCUCCACGAGGCCAGCAGGGCGCUUACACGUCCCUUCGAAGGUCCUGACGAACACUCGGGCCAGAUCUCCCCAGCUGUAGAUGCUUGAGGGGGCCAAUUGGGUCAGCCACGCUCGCGCCGAGCCGUCGAGCAUCAGAGGGAGGUGCUUCAUGGCGACGUGGUCGUCCCCUCCUCCGAUCUGGACUGCCACUCGGUAGUCAUCCAGCCACGUUUCUGGCUUAGACUCUCCUGUGAACUUGCUGAUCCCCGUCGCCAAUCGGAAUUUGGGAGGGAUGUCAGCCGAACGGAUGGUCCUGCUUCCACUCGGACGGUCAAUAUCGUGACCAUCGCGGUGGGCUCGGCCCCUGUCGACCCUUCACUGGGCGAUAUGCCCUCUCGCGUCGGGCCUUGGAUCGUAAGUGUCGCCGACUGAACGCCGAUCAUCAUGAUGUCGGGGCCCGUAGGGCCCACCCCGCGGAGGGGUGCGUGAACGGCAACGAUCUUCGGGGUUCAUGGAACGGCUGCCUCCCCUGGGUCGCUGAUGAGAACCAGGGCUGUGAACUGACCGAUGCGUGUUCGCAUGGACAGAACUAUUGUGGAUCAUGUUGUGCGACUCGGAGACCGCCGAGUUUUGCUGCUGCGCCGUGUGCAACAGGGCGCGGAUUUGCUCGAUCCCCCUGCCAGCCUCUGAAUCAGUCGGCUGAAGGGAAUCGACUAUCUUGGCAGCGGCAGCCAAGUUGAGGAUGGGUGUGCGGAACAACUCCACGUUGCUCCGCCGAGUGUGCCGGCUGGCAGAACGGCGAGGUGGACGGUGAGCGCCGGAUGUUUCGCCGAUCUCGUGCUCGUUCCGGCUAGUUUGGCGGGGACUUUCGUGGGAGUUGGCCAUGUGUACUUCUGCUGCAGGCCCGCGACCCAAGUACUCGGAAGGAAACUCAGUCGGAACCGAGUCCCAGCGCUGGGACGGCGGGGCAACCACAACUGACUCUAGGACCGCCACUUGUGAAGAUGCGUUCUGGCGCGCCGGUGCGUGUUGCACCCAACGCUGGAGCCGCGGAUGGCGGGACCGCUUGUUGCGGCGCGUGACGGUGGUGUAGGUCGACACCGGAGCCGACUGCUGGAGAAGAAGAAUGCCGCGGGCGCCGGCACGGAAAUGCGAAGCUCCGCGACGGGGAAGCGGCUCGACGUCGAGAGGGGCGUCCCGAAGCCAUGCUGAAUCAUCGACGAUGAAGGAGAGAGCACCGAAGAGGAUCUCGUGACCCAUGCUCGAAUCUCCACCGAAUGACAUGACGAAAAGAUGUAGUCGCAAACUCGCCGGAAGUCGCUUAGACGCCUGCCCCACGGUGGGUGCCAACUGUCGUGGGUAUAAGUCUGACAGUAGAUGUGUAGGGUACGAAAGGAUGGGCAGAGCCUUAGCUACGGUGAGGUUGUAUGAGUUCAUGCCCCUCUACGGUGGAGGUAAUAGCCCUACGCCUCAGUGCUCUGGGAGCNNNNNNNNNNNNNNNNNNNNNNNNNNNNNNNNNNNNNNNNNNNNNNNNNNNNNNNNNNNNNNNNNNNNNNNNNNNNNNNNNNNNNNNNNNNNNNNNNNNNNNNNNNNNNNNNNNNNNNNNNNNNNNNNNNNNNNNNNNNNNNNNNNNNNNNNNNNNNNNNNNNNNNNNNNNNNNNNNNNNNNNNNNNNNNNNNNNNNNNNNNNNNNNNNNNNNNNNNNNNNNAGUGCGCUACCCUCCACGACGGUUCGGUGCACAGGGGUGGAGUAGUGGCGAAUAAAUGCCUACGUUACAGGUAAUGUAUGUAUUAAAUGCUAAUAAAGGCACAUGGAAACGUACGACCGUUUCCCUCCAGGGGGUAUGAUGCACAGAGUGGAAUCCAGUCGGUUAGUUUGUUACACUCCGAAUGCUCAUCUCCGACUGGAUGGUGGAGGAUUUGUUACCGACUGGAUGAUGGGAAGUCCAUAAGACGGUCGGAACUGACUAAGGGUCUUAUCCCUUAUGAAGGGUAGUCCUUGGAUAGGACUUAUAGGGCAGGCCUAUGACCCUACCCUAGGACUAUAACCCCAUCAUGAUCACAAUGAGACUAUUAAACACUUUUUUCUCCAGUUUCCAUUGGCUAGACUUCUACGCUUACUAUUCAUGUAGCCUUCAAUAUAAACCCUCCAAUAAGUAUGAACACAUUAUUUGGGACGUGGCUUAAUGGAGUGGACGUUAAUUUAUCUAGAUAAAUUCAAAUAGAAAUUUGUGCAAUGCUUUGGGCUAUAUGAAACUGCAGGAGUGACAUGAUAUUUAAGAGGAAGAACGUCGCCAAUUUCUUGCAGGUUAUCUACAGAGCUACCGCAUGGAUCCGUACAUGGUCGUUACUCACACAUGUGGAGUCCAGGGAGCUUUUGGUUACUAGGUGCAACUAGUGGGAGACGACAACAUGGAUUAUCUUCAACCGAUAUGGAUGACGGCAAACUAAUAGGGUAGGUGUUUAGCCAUCGUAGCCUGCUUUUAUCAUGCCACAUUGGCAUGUAUUUUCCUUUUAUUUUCAGCUCUUUGAGCUCCACUUUGGAUACUAUAGUUUCGGUGAACUUUUUUGGCUUAAUAAAAUGGCAGCAUGUAUCAUCAUGAUGCAGAGGCCCGGGAGCAUCCCCUUUAUUUAAAAAAAAACUACAUGAUACAAGAAGACAUGAACAUAGUACUCGGAGCAGACAGAAAAGGAAUACUCAGCCCAAACAAUUGACACGCAUGUGAGCGCGCGCACACACACUGCUAAACCCGUCUAGCCUCCCCUUCACCUAUACAGGGUAAGGAGAUGCGGGUUCACGAGACCCAGACCGCAUCAAGACUAACACGAGGCACCACAACCGAGCGGCCACGACUCAAUGCUCAAUUACAUAAACGUACAUCCGUCUAAACCGCCAAGAGAUCGGCGAGUAAGUAACAGGACCUGGCCAGGCCGGAGGCGGAAGCCCACGUAAACAUCGCCGAGGACAUGCAUAGGGCCCAAAAUGUCCAUGCCUUGAUAGGCGGCCCACCUUUACAUUUUCUCCAAAAUAAAUGCCCAAAUUUUGAAAUUACAUGAACAUUUAAUAAAGCAUUGGAAAUUUUAGAAGUUAUUCAAACCUUUUUGAAAAAAUACAAUAUAAUUUUUUGAAAGAUGAAAACACCUUUUGAAAUUAUAUGAACUUUUCAAAAAUUUGUGACAACUUUUCAAAUCACACAUAAUUUUUAAAUACGUAACUUAUUUUCUUACUUACUAAAAAAGAAAUAACGGCUUUCAUUUUUUUUGAACUUUCAAAAAGACCAUGAAAUUUAUAAAUAGUCAAUACGGUUAAAUAAUUUUCAAACAUUUUAGAAAUAUUCACACAUUUGAAAACUGUUCAAUUAUUUUGUAACAAAAUCAUUCACGCAAAAAAAGGGUUCAUAUCCGUAAAAUCUUCAUGAUCAAGGGAAAAAAUAAAUAAAAUUUUGCAUUAAAAUAAUGAAAAUGAGAAAAAAGUAAACAUUACUAGGGAAAAAGAAAAAUAAUAUAGUAUAAACGAAAUAAAUCCGUCUUACAUGGUACAAAACGACAGGAAAAACACGUCAUGUACAAAACCAUGGAAACCGAGAGAGAUCCAAAGAAAACAGUUUUAGCGGUGAGGUGCGAGAUGAGAGAAAGAACAGAGAAAAGCUUAAUGGGAUGGCUGCCCGAUUUCUUCAAUUUUGCUAGUCCCCAUUGCUACAAGUUCGCAUAAGUGUUCCUCUGUUUUGAAUGCAACAGAUUUUUUUUUCUUUUGAGAAAUGAAUGGACCGGAACAAGAAAUAAGUUUGGACCCUGCGCCAGGAUAUGCGAAUAUACCUCGCCUGACGCGAAGAUGGAAACCAGGCUCGCCCGUGCAGCGCCGUCACAUUGGGACAGGCGGGCCGCCAGGAGGCUAUAUAAGACUCACUGCUCGAUUUGUUCAACAAAACGUACACUUUUCUUAGUGGCUGGAGCUAAUUAAUGCCGUGCGGCCAUGAUCGAAUCCGGCAGUGUACAUUUUUUUUUAAAUAGUAAUACAUUCAGCAAAAUUUAAAAAACACCUUGCAUAAUUUUAAUAAAAAUACUAAGCAAACAUUUCUAAAAAGUUAAAUGUGCAUAAUUGUUUUUUCAUGUAUACAGAAAAUAUACAAUGUGUAUGAAAAAAGUUCAUCAUGUAUUUAAAAUAUAUGUUCAUUAAGUAUUUCAAUAAAAUUAAUGAAUCAUUAGGAAAUGAUAAAUGUGUGUGGGCAAAACUAUUUUCUUGUAUACGAAAAACAUAUAAAAAAUAUAGGUUUGUUAAAUUUUUUAUCACGUACUAAAUAUUUUUUCCCAGAAGAAUAUACUAUCUCCGUCCGAAAAUACUUGUUAUAAAAAUGGAUGUUUCUAGAUGUAGUUUAGUUGUAGAUACAUCAAUUUUUAUAUAUUUGUGCGACAAGUAAUUCCGAAUGGAGGGAGUACUCACUUUUUAUAAAACAUGUAUAAACAUAUGUCCGGAUGUAAAACUGUACAAUGGGUAUGCAAAUAAUAGACACAAAAAUAUACUCUAUUUAGAAAACAUAUGUUUGUAAAAAAUAAAUCAUGUAUCUGAAAAAUAUUCACCAUGUACACAAAAAAUAUUUCCUGUAUUUGAAUAAAAAUUAUAACAUGUGUAAGAAAUGUUCCUUUUCUAUAUGAAAAGAGCAAGAAAAACCCAUAGAUAACCGAGAAAGACAAACAAAACAAAACAAUGAAACCUGAAAAAAGAAAUGAAAGAAAAAACCCAGAGGAAACCAAGAAAGGAAAAGAAAUCAAAGUAUGACAAAAAGAAAAAGUGAAAAACAAGCGGAUAAAAUCCAGUGAAAUCCGAAAAAAGAAAUAACGAAAGCAAAUAAAUCAUAGAAAAAAAUCUAGUAAUACCAAGAAAGAAACAAAGAAGACUAUUGAAAAGAACAAAGUAAACCUAUAAAAAAGGAUAACCAUGAAGAAAACAAAGAAAACCAAAAGAAAAACGAAAAAAAAAUAGCAAAAAACAAAAAAAAUCUGGAAGGAAACCUGACUGCACUAUCAGCGGCCAACCCACCGAGUGGGGUGAGCCAGCGACCCCGGUUAAAAUGCGGAGAGCGAAAUAUUCAGGUGGCAUAUGCCUCGCUAUAAGUGCGAUAUAGGGCGUGGCAAGGGCACAAGGGCGACAAUCUACUAGACAAAAAGGAGAUGCCAACGCAGUACAUAUGUAUACGGAUACAGGGACAUGGUAUAUUGUGAGAUUUUAUUUUUUAUGAUAAUAUGUGUCUCAUUGAUAUUAUAAAAAUAAAAAUACAAGUUACGUAUACCAACAUGACAAAACUAAAAAAAUAACAGAACAUCUCUAAGUUUGACACCAACAUAUGUCGCGUACCUCUGACACUGUCAUAGCAGCCACCAAAGAAAAGAAUGGCGAAUCACCUCCUCAACCAAGCUCGACGCGAUUCCAUCGCUUACAUGCAACUUUGCGGACCUUGAAGGUGACUUAUCAAAAGUGAAGCCAUGAGGCUGGUUGUAACGGGGAGUGUCAUAUACUAGUAUCAUGCAUAUGAUAUUAGUGUAUGAUAGUACAUCCGUAAUGCAUAGUAGCAUGUCCUACUAUCAUAGGACAGUUUAUUUAUUGUCAUGCAUGAUACAUAGUAGUACAACAUUUAAUAUGAUAUGAUAUCAUAAUAUGAUGUUUAAUAUUUUUUUCUUCAUUUAAUUCUAUGUCAUCUCAUCAAAUAUGGCUAGUUUGAUACUACUACUUAUAAUACUUUCAUUAUGACUAGCCUUAUCGUUGAACGAAUCAGACCAGGAUAACACCUCGAACACGCCAUCAAACUUCACAUAUGACACCCCACCGAAAGAUAUAUCUUGCCUAGAAUCAUAUUUAUCAUGUACGUAGUACUCCCUUCAUCUGGAAUUACUUGUCGCAGAAAUGAAUCUGUCUAGACACAUAUUUACUUUUAGAUAUAUCAAUUUCUAUCCAUUUUUACGACAAGUAAUUUGGGACGGAGGGAGUAGAUACCAACCUUUUUAUAGAUCAGAUAUAUACCAACUAAACACCAACUAAACACGUGCACAUGCUAGAUCGGCCGGCCCUUUACGAGGUUUGUCUGUGUGUUUUUCCAGCCGGUUUGGGGAAGUUCUAGAACCUUCCUUAAACUGAACUUUCUCAACAUUUUCUGUGUUUUCCCUUUUUUCAGCUGUUUAUACCAAUUUUUUUUUUUUUUUGGAUUUUGAUUUUUUCAAUUCUCAAACAUUAAUAUUGUUUAUCUUUCUGUCCUCUUCUUUUAUUUUUUUUCCCAUUUUAAUUUUAGAAGAAAUUUGUAAUUCACAUACAUUUCUGUAUUCAUGAACUUUUUUGAAAUUCUUAAAAAAAUUCUAAAACUCACGAAUAUUAUUUCAAUUCAUGAACUUUGUUUGAAUCGACAAACAUUUUCUGAAAUUUGGGAACAAUGUUGUAAAUUUGUGUCCAAUUUUUGAAAUACAUGAAUAUUUUUUAACAUGUCCGGGAAUCAUCAACACGACGACCGCCUAUAUCAACUUUGUCGUCUUCAUCAACAUCUUCAUCAAUUUUUCUGUCUAUUCAACAGUUCUCUCUCCCAGAAUCCUCUGUAAUAUCCUACUUAAACAUGGUGUUGGAUAUUGUUAAUUAUUAUAUGAUGAUUUCUUGUGUCUUCUAUAGGUUUGAGUAGAUUAUUUUUGUCAUAUGGGUUAAUUGAUGAACUGUUGUGAUUGGUUUGAGUUUCAUGUUGUCCUUUGAUACCCAUCAUAUGAGCGCUCACGUUGAUGGCACUCUAGGGUUUGUUCUAUGUUGAUACGACUAUGCAUACGGUGGCUGAAGUGACCAGAACCUCGCCACACUAUUGAAAUUAAUGCAUAUGGAAUUGAAGGGGACCAAUAUAUCUUACUGUUAUGGUUGGGUUUACCUUAACGCGCGUGUUAGCAUUUGCAGAUGCUUACUAAUGGUUUCAAUCAGAAGUACAUAUGAUUAAACAUGAAAAAUAUAUUCCUAGAGGCCUCUCCCACAUAUAAAGCUGUGAUGAUAAUAAUCGGUCUAGUAACUUAGUCAAUUGUCCAGGACGAUGAUAAUAAAUUGUGUCUCGAUCUCUAUAGUGCUUUGGAUACUUUGGAAUUUUUGACACACGGAACAUGAGAAACAUAUCCAUUUCAUGUCCUUCUCAAUCUAUCUCGAUUGGCUGCUUCCAAAAAUCCUGACAACCUAUCCAUGAACCCAUUGCUCAAACUGUUCUUGCAAACAUCCAAGCUCGAUCCACAUCCGCAACAUAACAAAAGUACCACAUUAAUAACCUGCUAUUACAAAAUUAUACGUGCAUCAUAAUUAUAUUAUUAACACAUUAGCUAGCACAUCUAUUUUGUUUACUUUGCAUAUUAACUUUGUCUUGUGAAUUUUUUGUGAAUUUUGCCCAACCUUGUGAGUCAUCCAUUUCAAAUUAUUGACCGGCGGCAACACUCCCUCUCGAAAUGGUGCCCGACAAAACCCCUCCAUAUCGAUUCAGCAACAACUUCCCCCCUCUCAAAACAAUGACUAGUGACAACCUUGCACCUUAGGUUUGUGAUAAGCAGGAGCAAUCAUCCCACUAAACAGGGCAUCAAGUCAAUGGACAAAUCUCACACUGAACUCAUGGUUAGUGACAUGGUAACAAACAUUCCAGGUAGUUUCCAAAUAGCAACCCAGUUUCAUUUUAUAGUUGUCUGCAGUAAGGUUGCUCGUAAUGAGAGUAUCAUAGUUAGUAUAAUGCAUGUCAACUAGGCAAUUUUGAUGUGCUCACAUAAAAUUAAAUGAAGAAAGAUAAGAUUGAACAUUAUAUCAUGGUACCAUAUCAUAAUAAAUAUUGUACUACUAUGUGUCUUACAUGAUAUUAAGUAAAAUCAUCUAUGAUACCAGCAAUAUAAAUAUAAUAUUAUAUAUUAGUAUCAUAUGCAUAUGCAUGAUACUAAGAUAUUAUACUACUCCCUCCGUUUCAAAAUAUAAGUCUUUUAUGAGAUUGCAUUAGGGACUACAUACAAAUAUAUAUAGACAUACUUCAAAGUAUAGGUUCACUCAUUUUGCUUUGUAUGUAAUCUGAAAUCUGUAAAAAGACUUAUAUUUAAAAAACGAAUGGAGUAGUCACUAGCAACAGCCUAAACAAGUAUUACAGGCGGUUUCCAAACUACAUGCAAUUACUGAUCAUGGGGAGCAAUGUACUCCUCUAGUCGUCUUGUUGAUGGAAAAAAUAUUUACAAUCAAAUUAAUCAGUGUGAAUGUUGAUGGAAAUUUGUGUUGGUAAUUACAGCGAGAAAUUAAAGAAGCAGGGCAAUGUGCUCCUCCUGGCGUCGACGAUCAGCGUGACGAAAUCAGCAAGGGUAAUACGCCUUGAGGUGCGCUUGUAAGCAUGGCGAGUCCUUCCAAACCCUAGCGUGCAUCUUGAGCAGCUCCUUGGCCUUGGCCCUGGCCCGCUCGCCGGCAUCCACCUGUAGAACCAGCAGCAGCUUGGCGACCACCCCGACGGCCAGCAUCUCCUGCAGCACGGCCGGCGUCGGCGAGUGCCUAGCCACGGCGUGCAGAGCGCGCACCGCGCUCUCGGUGGUGGUCGGUGACACCCGCAUAGCCUUCUUGGCCACGACGGCCAGCCCUGCCGGGUGCGCCACAAGGUCCGACCGCCCCUCCGCACAGCCGCAGAGGUGGUCGAUGGCCACCACCGCCAGCUCGGUGGGGUGCCGGCCGCCUUCGUCGAGGAGCAGCUCCACCAGCACAGUCACCGCGCCGGCCUCGACGGCCUUGACACGGUUGCGGCCCCACGGACAUAGCCGGCACAGCACGUUCAGCGCCGCCUUCACCGCCUUGGCGGACACCCUGUCAGACACCACGCGUACCACCUCCUGCACCAGCUCGGUUCUCACCGUCAUCAGCCUCGCCGGCUCCAUGACCGACACCAUCGCCUUCAGCAGGAUGAUGCCGUAACAGCGGGACCGGUAGCUCGGUCGCCGCAGCAUGCACACCAGGGUGUCCAGGAAGUCUACGUUUUUCUCGAGGAUCCGGAGCAGGCUCUUCUUGGACGGCUUGAGCGAGCAGAUGACGCUGAGCGCGUCCUCCUCCGGCGAGCUCGUGGACGUCGGGGAAUCCAGCGAAAGUUCUAGCAAAUCUUGAGCCGACUUGGACGUGGUGGCAUGGUUCGUGACGACGGAGACGAGGAACUCGACGGCGCCGGGCGUGGCCUCGACGCAGCGCCUGUUGCGAUCGCUCUCGGCGACGAUGGCCUUGAUCUCGCGGAGCGCGGCCAGCUCCUGCUGCCGGCCGGCACCGUGACCCUCUUGGACGAUCUCGGCGACGCGGCUGGUGUCGAGGGGCGGGCGCGGGGUGGGGAAGCGCUCGACGGCGUGGAGGGAGCACCAGGCCUGGGUGAGGCGGCGGAGCGUGUGGUUGGGCGUGGCAUCCCGGUCGGCCUCCGCAAUCUUCUGCUGCGUGACGGGGCAGGUGGCGUGGCCGUCGGAGAUCCAGCGCUCGAUGCUGGUGCGGUCGUAGGUGAUGCCGGUGGCGAGCGUGACGGGGUCCCGCAUGAUCUCCAGCGAGAUCGGGCACAGGAAGUACGGCGGCACCUCCACCGUCGGCCCCUCCAUGGCCGUAGGUCGCGAAGGAUUGCUCGUGAAAUGGAUCUGGUGGAGAGCAGAGCGAAUGAAGAAGACGCUGACCGAGUUGGUGGAUGGAGUUGAACACAAAUCGAAUGGGAGGGGGAGUGGGUGCGCGCGCGUUUUAUAGGAAGUGGAUCACGCGAAGAAGUCCACGCGUGUUAGCAAGAGAUUAGAGGAGAUUAAUUGCGUGGGUUGGGUUGGGUCGGAUUGACUUGCGGGGUCGGUGUUGAGCUGGCUCCAUGUUUUGACUUUGUGAAUUCAUCUUGCUCGGUCCUUUCUGCUGUUCGACUCCGUUGCUCUUGAAAGAUUCCGUUUCUGUGGGUAUGAAACACCGUUGAAGUUUAGCCGCUGCGUAGAUUGGUUGAAGGGUAAUUUUCGCCACCUCCGUGGUUUUAGAGUAUCUACAACCAGACCCUUAUAUUCGUUUCGAACGUUGGACAGCCGAUCAAUCAGCGUACGGCCAGAGAAAAUCUACCCAAAUGGAAUGCACUAAGAGCAAGCUGCUGGCUAUAAGCCACUGCCAUGUCAUCUAUAGCCCAUCUUAUAGCUAACAUGUACAAUACUUCAUUGUAAAAGUGUAUUACUUCUUCAUUAUAUGGUCCACCUUUCAUACUCAUAAAAUGCCUAGGAGCACGUGCUAGAGCUGGCUCUUAGCUAAGAGGCCGCUUACCUUCUCUCCCCUCUUAGCUAAGAGGCCGUUUCUGUGGGUAUGAAACACCGUUGAAGUUUAGCCGCUGCGUAGAUUGGUUGAUGGGUAAUUUUCGCCACCUCCGUGCACUUAAACAUCUACAACCGGACCCCUUAUAUCUGUUUCAAACGUCCGGUCGACCGGUCGGUCAAUGUCCGAUCGAAAAAAAAGCAAUCCAAACGGGCGUUCUAAACGGGUCUCAAAUACACGAGCUGACCGACAUCCAUCAUAUCUAGCAUAAAUAUGGAGCGAAUAUGUGGAGCCCGUGCGUGCCCGGACAUGCUUGCCUGGCAGGCCUGGGCCACCAUUGACCCCACCGACAUGUCAGUUUGGCCCACCAUGGACACCAUGAAAUAUUCCAAUUCGGUAACCCUAGACAUCCGACAGUUCAGUCUCCAUCCACUCCAUUUCCAAUCCCCCCACUUCGAUCCAAUGGCUGGCCAUGGAAGCAACUCCGACAGAUCGAACAUCGAUGUCGAGGAGGUGGCCCUCUGCAUCGCAUUACUCCGGUCGCUGCAGGACAAAAGGGGCCCCGUCGGCAAUGCAUGUGCAUCCUCCGGGCACGUCGCACACCGACGGAGUGCCGGCGACAUCGCAUGCCCUUCCCGCAAGGCACAUAGCUCCGACCGCUCCUGCUCUGGCUGGUCCGCUCCCGUUCUGGUCGGUACGCUCUAGGUCAGGUACGCCACCCAUCUCCACCACCUCCUGCUCCAAAAGCGGUGCCCGACCACCGUGGAGUCCUCAUGCCCGCGCCGGGGACGUGGUGCACGAUGAUACCGGAGUUCGGGGUGCAUGCACCCGAGCGACAACGGACGAGGAAGAGGGGGGAGGCCUUGGUCGCGCAGCGUUCGACCUUGAGCGCACCGGUCGACCCCGAGGACGCACUCCUCGCGGGCACCUACGUCGCUCGCUGACUACAGCGGAGACGAAUGCAUGCCGCCUCCGCCGCAAGAAUGCUAACUCACCUCGACUAGCCAUCCAGUUAUCAGAACGCGAGGGAGCUAAAGAGGCGGCGGCGAAGGCAAAAGUGGUAUGUCACGCGAAGGAGCAAGACCGCCUACUCCAUAGGCUGUUCAGCAUGCGGGGCAGCUCCGACGAGGACGACAACGACACCUCCACCUCCGGCUCCGAUGUUAACGACGACAAUGCUCCACCGCACGGUGACGUCUAAACGUAGAAGAGGCAUAACCGCGUGGAUGACCGAAAAGGGAAGGGGAUAAAAAUGGAGGGAGUGCUACAAAAGAUGUCCCUGGGGCCUGCUGAUCAUUCGCCAGAAACUGUGGGAAUGAAUAUGAUACAACGCCGUAGUAUCAAUCGGUUUUCACUUUGUUUUUCGUCAACAGCUGGUUACUUUUUCUAACGAAAUGAAAUUUUCUCCUAGAUUGCGCUUUCAGUAGGCAUCGACUGCGUGUUGGAAAACUAUGCAACCAUUCCAUUAUUUGUAAUGGGCAAAACUAUUUUUUUCGUCCUUUUACCUUUUUUUAAAGUUGGUUUGUUGAACAUUAAAUAUACCUGUUGCACGUCCCGUAACAUGUGUAGUUAAAACUUUAAAUAAUUCAGUUGUACUACUAAUAUCUUUUGAUGUGUUAGUUUGAUUUUCAAAACUUUAGAUGACCAGUUGCACAUCAUAUACACACCGUUGCAUAUUUUCAAGAUGUGCAUUUGUGUAGUGUGCAAUGAUUUCUGUGUUAUGUGUAUGUUUUUCAUAAUUUUCACGGGUGCUAUUUUCCGCUUUUUAUUCUUGCUGAUUGAAACUUUGUUUUUUUUCUCCAUGUACUAAUAUAUUUUUCAUAUUACCAAUUAUAUUCACUGACGGAGCGUCGGGGGGACCAAGGAGGGACCUCCCCCGNNNNNNNNNNNNNNNNNNNNNNNNNNNNNNNNNNNNNNNNNNNNNNNNNNNNNNNNNNNNNNNNNNNNNNNNNNNNNNNNNNNNNNNNNNNNNNNNNNNNNNNNNNNNNNNNNNNNNNNNNNNNNNNNNNNNNNNNNNNNNNNNNNNNNNNNNNNNNNNNNNNNNNNCCUCUUACAAGAGGAAAAUUGCAAGGAUAUGCUCCUCUAAGCAUAAACUCUCUGGUAAUCUCCCGGCAUCCUUAAUUUCUCUAGCUAGCCCCUCCUUGGAUUUAGAUUACGCUUCCGCCACUUAGUAUAUUUGUGCAUAUUUGUUGAGCUUUAUUUUCACAUCUUCGUUUGGUCAAGCACAUAUUCAAAGUACCAAUCGGACUCUCUUUAAAAAACAGUUCUAGUGUGCACGCCGGUGUAAAAUCUCGAUGAAAAGAUCGAAUAUGUGAAAUUUAGAAGCUUUGCAGUUUAAUCGUGGCAGGUUUCUUUUAGGAUCUAAGCUAAUGUUUGUUAUAUGGAAUGCAAAGUGUUCCAGUUUAUAAAGAAAGAUCCAAAUUAAACUAAUGCUUAGAGUUUUUGUCAAAGUGUUCCAUUUGUCUGGCCCAGAAUCAAAUGGGUAACUUAACCGAAACCACUUGUCAUUGUAUUCCAUGGGCUUACCUAUGAAGCAUUGAUACAACAAUACAGAAUACGAUAAUUUUUAAAAACAUCAAUACGUCAAUACAGUAAGUAUAUACAAAUAAUAAUAAAAUAAUUGUAAUAAAAACAAACAUAAUAAAUUGUGUUAGAAUAGAUCAAAAUGUACUAGGCGAUGAAUAAAACUCCCUUUCACCCACAAAAAAGUGUAAUAGGCAGUGCAUUAGUAAGUUGUUCAUGGCUUAAUAAGAAGGUUAGCGUAUGUUUUAGGAUAAUUCUUCGGGUGCGCUUUGUCAGCGGCUCAUGUCCCUUUUCUUUGCGAGCGGACGAGCAUCGCGGAGUUAACACUGUUAGCAUAUGACUAAUUAUUAGCAAAGCAGUAACAUUAGCAAGCAACUACUAUCUCUACACAACCUACUGAAUCAAGUAAUCUACAACUACAAGGAGCCAACCUGCUCAAUCUACUACAAUGUCAACCUACUUCAUCACUAAUAAUUGAAGACGAAAAGAUGAAUGGAUAGAUCAAGUAAAGAGGUGGCGAGUGUGACCAGCAACGACGACAGAGUUCAGUCGAUGUGGGGCGUUAGGAGUUGAUAGGGCAGCGAACAGAGUGAAAUGAGUACUCAAGUUAGGGUUAGUAUUGGGCUUGUACUGGGCUGGCCGUAUCCCAGCCGUGGACGGUGAACAACAUGUAUCGGUGUUUUUAUCUUCUUUUUUUCAAAUUAAAAAAAGAUACUUCGGUGAUACCAGUAUUGAUGCCGUAUCACACGUAUCAGCGUCUGAAAUACAGGACAGCGAUACACAUGUCUUACAAGUAUCGGUGCUUCGUAGGGGCUUACUGGGAUGGAGUGUUAGUGGACAGCGGACGAAGAUGACGAUGCCACGGAGGUCGACCAGUCGGCAGUCGUGAGCUGUUCAUGGCGCAGCUGACAACGAAGUGCUGGAUCGAUGGCCAAAUUUAAUCAAGAAAACAUUUUUUUCCCUGCAUAUAAAAAGAGAAAAGGAAAGGUAGUACGUACUACUCUUCCCCGCCGCAGCCGCNNNNNNNNNNNNNNNNNNNNNNNNNNNNNNNNNNNNNNNNNNNNNNNNNNNNNNNNNNNNNNNNNNNNNNNNNNNNNNNNNNNNNNNNNNNNNNNNNNNNNNNNNNNNNNNNNNNNNNNNNNNNNNNNNNNNNNNNNNNNNNNNCAAUCGGAGCAUUCAAGGUUCAAGUGGAAGCUACCGCUGACCGACAGGGCCUUGCAUGCAUGCAUGCUGGCGCCACCAAUCAUCUCGCGUAUACGUGUCGGAGCAUACGAAGUGGCCUGAUCGAUGGCGUAUACGUGUGUCGUCUACGGCCAAAUUGAAUCAAGAAAACUUUUUUUCCUGCAUAUAAUAAUAAGAGAAAAGGAAAGGUACUACUAUUCCCCGCCGCAGCCGCNNNNNNNNNNNNNNNNNNNNNNNNNNNNNNNNNNNNNNNNNNNNNNNNNNNNNNNNNNNNNNNNNNNNNNNNNNNNNNNNNNNNNNNNNNNNNNNNNNNNNNNNNNNNNNNNNNNNNNNNNNNNNNNNNNNNNNNNCAAUCGGAGCAUUCAAGAUUACUCCCUCCGUACCUAAAUAUAACUUUUUAAAUAUUUCACUAGAUGUCUACAUACAAAGCAAAAUGAAUGAACCUAUGUUUUAAAAUAUGUUCAUAUACAUCCGUAUAUAGUUCAUUAGUUGAACCUCUAGAAAGACUUAUAUUUAGCAAGGGAGUAGAUUUCAAGCGUAAGCAACUGCUGACCGAUAGCCAGAACCAUGCAUGCAUGCAUGCAUGCAUGCUGGCGCCACCAAUCAUCUCGAGCACUCACCAUCAUCGCCAGCACUCACGGCAGCUUCCGGCCGCACGCGACCGGGGCCCGCAUGUCGGCGCGGUUUGACCGCCCCGUCGUUUUCUUCAACGCACGCGCGCGCGCUCGAUCGUAAACUAUUUUCCACGUGCUGUUUUUAAAUGCAAAUGAAUUCGGCGCAUGCGCACCAGCCACUACUACUUGUAUGCGCCAGCCUUUGUAUAUUUCGUCACGUGCCGUGCGUGCAUGCAUGCAUGCAUGUUCCCUUCUCCGGUUUCCGUGACGUUGAAAGGUUCUCCAAACCGAUCGCCAGCCGUGAUCGAAUCACAGAAAAGACCCAGCAUAUUUUGGUAGUACGUUAAUUUUGUUUUUGAGGAACCAGCAGGAGUUCUGCCUUUUUAUAUAAAAAAAGAAGAAUUGACCAGUUAAUUUUGAUAGUAUGUUAUUGCCAUUGUAUGUGACCAACUGAGUCGAGGGCCCGCGCUGCCUGCGUUAGAUCGAUGAUGACCUAACUACGUCGACCAGCUCUCCUACCAGAGGCGCUCAGUCGUAUUUAAGGCGGUAAUAUAAUGCUACCGGGAAUCUUCUAAAUUGCCAGGAAGUGCGGAAUAGAGGGGUGGUUUUCUGAGCGAUCCCAUCAGCUCUCCUACCACAGGCGCUUUGGUCGUAUUUAAGGUGAGGAACUGUUCUUUGUUGAUCAGGAGACGACCAACUCUUCUAGUGGCUCUACUGUUUCAAAGAGGAACCUUGGCUGGAAUCUCGCAUUUCUACACCUAGUGUGAUUCUACAACUUUUUGUCGUGUUGUUUCGCCUUUGUAUUUUUUUUAUUUCCCUGUAUAUUAAAAAAAUGGGACUAUCUAUUUGUCAUCCGACUAAAAAUCAAUUGGACAUCAUUCACAUUUUCCGACUGAAAAUCUGUUUUACCCGGUACAUUCCAUGUUGUUCUAUCUUCAUAAAAAAUGUCCUACUUUUUUUCGAAACCACCGUCCCAAUUGCUAAGGUUUCCGAGGAGCGCUCUACGCAAUUAUUGACCUCUUGGUCACGGCAUGAACACCUGCGACUACUUUUCCAACGACGACUUCUUCCCUAACAUCGACAACCUCUUGGGUGACAACAACAUCAAUGCCAAUGCCAAAGCUAAUGCCACUGCAUAACUCAGUUUGUGUUUAUGUCUUUUUUGUUCGAGAUCCUACUAGAGUUUCUUGUUCUUGUAUCUGUUCUAGAUAUGUUAUCUUCUAAUUCACAUCUUCAUAUGCUACUCGCCUUCUCUCUGUUAGAUUGCAUGACUUGUUUCGUAUCUGCUAUAUUAGUCAUGUUUUAUCUACUAUUUCUAUUAAUAAAAUCAUAUGAUAAAUUGCUUAUUUUUUUAUCAAUUCAAAAACCUUAUAAUAGGCAAUUUAACCAGAGUAGUUUUGCUGCUUUCAUGAUGCCUCUUAGGUUUAAGGGUGUUUACUAUAAGAGGUGAUGUGUGAGAGCAGUUUUAUGGUUUCAAACCAUGAGCUGCUAUGAUGCCAAAGCCACUUUGGAACAUCCUAUGUUUGCUCUGGUACUUCCGAGAACAAUAUUUUCAUGGCUCAGUUGUGACUUACUAUUUACUGUAAAUCCUCUUUCAAAGAACUGCUUGGUCUAGCUACUACGUACUACCAAUCAACUGGUUUUACCUGGUACAUUCCAUGUUGUUCUAUCUUCACAGAGAAUGUGCUGCUUUUUUUUCGGAACCACCAUCCCAAUUGCUAAUUGUACUUACAAGUACUAAUAUGUUUUCACCUAGUAACAAAACAUUGCCGUCACGUUCAUUUUUUUUCGACGGUCUCGGUGGUUCUGCUAGUUUACAACUGGUGCUUCCAAGCCUAGUUUCUAUAUGCAUUAAAAGUCACUAGCAAAAUGGCCCGUGCGUUGCCACGGAAGAUAAAAACAUAAUCUCCAAUGAUGGUGACCACAUUAUGUUCAUAUAUCAUCGCUUGAUUUUAAAAAUUUAUGCACAAAUGCGAGAAAAUAUUUCUUCUUUUAAAUUUAUUCACAAGUUGAAGCAAUCUUUACAUUGUCAAAAAAUAUAUAUCAUGGUUGUCAAAAAUCUUGGUAACUCAAAGAUUUAUUCUGAAUUUCAAUAUUUUUUAAAAAAAACAUACAAUAAUAAUUUGAUCCAUCCAACAAUUAAUUCUUCAAAAUUCACACAGGUAUAUUGUCACAAAGACAUAGAAGUAUUAAUGUUUCACUACAUACAUUAGAUCUUUUGUGGAGAAUUUUAAAAAUAUGGAAAUAAUUUUAAAAUCGAGAACAUUUUUUACAAUUUACAAACAUUUACUAAAAAUCGUGAAUAUUUUUUAUAUUCCGAACGGGUUUAAAUAUUUUCUUUUGAAUUGGCGACCAGUUCAAGAAAAGACGAUCAUAAUUUUUUAUGUUGGAGGAUUUUAUUUUAAAUUCACAAACAUUUUUUGAAAUGCAUGAAGUUUUUCUGAAUAAACAAACAUUUUUAUAAAUCAGUAAUAUAUUUACUAAAUUAAUGGACAUUGUUUUGGAAUUUGCAAAAAAAAUAUAAUAAUCCGGCGCUUUUUUGAAUCCACAAACAUUUUAUGUUUUCGUCAGCAUUUAAUUCAAAAUUCCUCUUUUUUAAGAUGCAAAAGUUUUUGUAAUUCUAAAUUAUUUCAACUAGAAAUAAACAAAAAUGGAACGGAAAAUUUUAAAUAAAAAAAAGAAACUAUCGAAACAGGCAUUAGCUAUUUUUAAAAUUUUAGGACAUUCUUUAAAUGCAUUACCAUAUUUUGAAUUAGAAAGUAUUUUGUUAAAUGCCUUUAAUAAUUUUUAAUACAUGGAAUUGUAUUUGAAAUCAUGGACUUUUCUUAUUGUACAAACAUUUUAUUGUAUAUGCGAUAAUUUUUUACAAAACUCCGAGCAGUUUUUGAAGUCACAAACAUUUUAUUUUUUAAAAUAUGUUGAUUUAUAAUUUUCAGUUUAUUAAAUUUUUAAAGAUUAUUUGAAGUUCUAAAUUAUUGAAAAUAAAAAAUAAAAUGGAACUGAAAAUAAAUAAAUAAACGGAACUAAAAGCAGGCGUCUGUGCAAGGGCCGGCCCAUACGGUGUGCUGGAUAUUCUCCCAGCGUGCAGAGCGUAAUAUAGGAGGUUUUUACAUGGGCCGGCCCAGUUCAAGAUUUUUUUGCUUUCUGAAACAUUUUCUAUUACUUACCAGUGGCAUGGUGGGUAAUAAAUGCAAAUUUUAAGGGUAAUCUCCAUGACGGACGACGAGAAACCGAAUUUGCUUUAUUAUUAGGGAGAGAUAUUUUGGACUCUCUGUCUCUAUCAAUAGCCUUUCAUAUCCUUCUAUGGCUGCAUCCAUCACAUCCAUAUAAUUUAUCAUUGUUCAUCCCUGUAAGCCACUUCUAAUUUACUUCACUUCACUCCACCCACCUAUCACAUAGAGGAAGAGAUAUCCAAGGUAAGAAAAUAAGAGAGGAGUGCUGGAUGAUUCCAUGUCCAGUGUUCGAUUUUUGUAAAGCCAAGAGCUCCCCUUUCUCGAAUUAUGGAGAGAAGCUUUGAUGCAAGAUCAUUCAAGGAGUACUUAUCAAGUGACUUUUAUUUUCUUGUUACUCUUGGAUAGUAAGCACAUAACCUAGAUGGUUAGGAGUCACUUAAAAUAUAAUCCUUUCAAGUUCUAGGUGUGAAGGAUCCAAAAGCUUGUGUUGUUUUGUCUUUGUACAUUUCUGUUCAUUGUGCAUUGGAACAUGCAAGAACUAGAAAACAUGUCGGGAGAUCGACUUGGGAGGCGACACUCGAGGCGAUUCCGACGAUGGCACGGAAUUGAUUAGAGCAAACAAACGUGGUUACCAUGCAAACUCCUCCUGUUCCGGAGUGAGAUCAACGAGUGACACAUUGUAAAUCAUCUUAACACCGCGGGGUUGUAAGGAGGGGAGAUGUGGAUUACAUGUUUGUGCUCCAAAGUAGACCAUUUCUUGCCAGUGUUGCUGGACCUUUGCCGGACGCCUUUAGCAACUGAGAUGUUUUUCACCAUUUUCGUUGUAUUUCUUAGUUUCAUUUUCUUGUUAUUAUUGUCUUUUGUUCAAAACCACAAGGCUCUGUCUAGCCAUGAAUUGGUCUUUACAUUCCCUCAGGUAGAUCUUUGGCAAGUGUGAUUUUUUGGUCUUUUAUGUUUUGAUUUUAAUGUGAUUAUGUUUACAACGGAGUUGUGGCUUUGAGAGGUAUUCAGAAAGCUGAUUAAGCGCCCAAUGACAACAAGAUACGUGUUCCAGCAGGACAAGAUACUACGCCCAAAAGAAACUCCAAAUUUAUCCACAAGAAUCAAACUUCCAAGGUGAUUUUUUUUUGUUCUAGUUUGGAUAUGGUGAUAUACAUCCAUUUCCAAUCACUUCACAACAAAUUAGUUGUACAUGUAUUUAUUUUAGCCUUUUCAUCUGCUAUGUAUAAGAUAGGGGGUACAAGUACAAUCCGUUAAUUUCGACAUUAUUCUUCUUUCUGAAAAAUGGAUGUUGUUAUAGUGAUCCCAUUUCACACGCGCUAUCUCUGAUUGCUAAAGUUCUUGGCCUUUUCUGAUACAUAACAAAAAGUGCAGAAAUAAACUUUGCUCCUAGGUAUUGUUACAUACAUGGGCGGAGCUGUAUGGAGCUACCCUGUUGCAUGGGCAACAGGUCAAGUAGCUUCUUACAUGUAGUUUAGUACUUGGAUUAAGCAUGUGUAUAAGUGCAUCAGGCUAAACUAGCAAGGGUGCAACAGGGUAAAUGCAGAUGCAGCUCCGCCCCUGGUUACAUAACCCUUGGCAACCUUGUUCUUUUUUCUAUCUUAUUUCAAAACUCAAUGCCAAACAAGAUAAGACCACGCUUGGAGGUUAGUGUUGUCUCCGUUAGGCUAACCAACACCUCAUCAUCGCAGCCUUCCUCGUUGUAGAACUCACCCAGCUCCACCUCCACCCAACCGUCGUCCCUCCUCCGAGGGAUUGCCAUGUCAUCUCCAAGAGUAAUUUCCCAUUCUAGUCUAUAUGCAGAUGAUUCCAAGACAUGUAUACCCUCCUCCACACAACUUUGCAGGCAAACUUGCGAGAUUGAUAUCUGUCCUUCUCCUACGCUAAAUGAAGCCUCCUUGAAGGGAUAAUCCAACCCACAAAAUGAAGUGGGGUGUAGUUUAAACACCAUGUAAGCGGCAUACGUUACGUUUCCGGAGAGCAUCUUGCUGUGUAUCUUGCCAUGGAUUUCUAGCUUGCCACACUUCCUAAUCGUCACGACAUGUGGGAAUCUAUCACGAAAUAUAGACAGAAUUAAGAUUUUUUUUGAAACGGAGGUAAAAGCUUUGCCUUAUCUCAUUAAUAAAGAAGAAGAGCAUUGCCCGGUUGAAUAACGAAAAACCGGGUGAAAAACCAUUGCAACAUGUCCACACAUGACACACGGGGUGACCUGGCAACCCGUAAAUGAACGCACAUACGUCACCGAGGAGAGAACACCGUUGAGGCUGCAACCCGGUGUCAUCGUCAUCACACCUACACAAGCGCGACUCCAACUUUACCAUCGACGACCAUCAAUAUAGCCCUCACCGUAAGCAAACGCUGAGGCCCACGCUGACCACUACCAAACAGUCAACCACACGCGCCAACUACCAAGCAGCUCCGACUGUGCCGACGAGCAUUCUAGUAGAAAAGCACUGAGACUGAGCCGAGCCAGCGCCAGAACCGACCACCCGCCUCGCGUCAUCAUCGUCGCAAGGCCCCUCCUGAGCAGCUUCGACUCCAGGAAGGCAAAGUGAGGUGCAGCAACCCCUCGAACAUGCGGAUGAGACCGACUACCAAAACUCAGCAACAAACCAACUACACCCAAAACCGCCAUCGUCACCGCACAAGAAGUUGCGCCAACCACAUCACCAGUCGGGCACCUGCCGACCACGAUGUCGUAUGUGUCCAGCUCUUGGAAAGCAUGAAGGAGGCCAAUGACCCUCAAGGCAACGCCCCCAAGGGGGUAGAGCGAGGUGAGAGGAUGAAGCCGUCACCCGACUCACAUCGGAGUCUUAGGCUUUCGCCCGAUGACCAUGGUCCGAAGGUGCUGGGCAAGGAGAGGCUCCACAAUGACCCCCAAGGAGGAAAAACGAUGUCCGCGGACGCCGUGACGUCUAGGAUUUUGCCCAGAGCCACCUCGGCGAGCACCCCCAUGCAACGAGUGGCGCAACACCAUCGCUCUGUAAGCCCGCUGUCCCACGCAGCUCCUACGCGACAACGGUGCCAUCCUCACGCAAGAGCCACCAACCUCAACGCCUGCAAACUCCGGCGAGCCGGAGCCGGCCAAGUCGGCCAAAUCCGACGCCCACCACCGCCACAGAAAUGCCUAGACCACACCGGGAGCCCGAUGCGAGGCCGUCGCCCAACCUUCAGCCGCCCGACGCGACCACCUCGAGCCAGACCACACACGCGCCAGAUACGCGCCACCAUCCGCGCCAGCUCGCAAAUGGCCGCGCCGCGCGCCAAGACCACCUCGCGCCGCCUGGUGCAGCAGAGCACCGGCGCCGCCCCUCGGUGCCACCCGAAUCCACCGCCGGCCCGACACGUCACACCAAGCUGCGCGCCUCCACAAGGUCGGUUGCCCUGCACCGCCCGAAUGCCUCAUGGGGAGAGAUGAGUCCCGCCGCCGCCGACGCACGCAUGGGCUUUGCCCGGCGGCGUCCCCGAGCAGCGGUGAGGAAGGGGAGAGGCAAGUUGUGGGGUGGCGGUGGCGGGGAGCUAGGGUUGCGCCCGGGCCGCUCGAGGGAGCGGCACGGGGCGGGGGUUUAUUCCUAUGGAACGAUCUUGUGGACUGUAGUUUCGUCUGGCCUGACAGAAUUAAGAUUCGUGCCAUGCGUGGAAAAAUACUACUCCCAAUAAUAUAAUUGGGAGAAUUCGUUAUCAUGGAAAUGUAAGGCUUUAUUAACCUUUUGCUAGUGUUGAGAGCUUCGUAAUCAAAACCGCUAGGACUCAAGUACUAUAGGUAGCGCCGGUACUUGGCGAUCUGUAGUAUCUCCGCGGAAAGCACGAAGCACUUGGCGCCGGUAGCCUUGUCGAGCCUCAUGUGCUGCACCACACAUGUGUGUUUGUAGGUAUGUGCAGCAAAACAAAACGAAUAAACCGCGAACAUUUUAAUUAGUGCAUGCAUGGAUCCAUAUGAAAACAUCUCUCGUGCCGGUCGAGGAAUUAGAAGAAAAAAAAACCUAGCUAGCGAGCUUUUAUAUGUUUUACGAUGAAAUUCAGAUGAAGUUUGAUGGUGGUAAUACGACAUACCAUGAGCUUGCGCGGGAGGAAGGCGGGCAGGCAGGAGAGGCGCUGGAAGAGCGCCUUCUUAGACACCGCCCAGCGCCUCUCUUAGACACCGUCGUCGGGGCAAUCAUCUUCUUGGCGAAGCGCGGAAGCUCACGUGGCACGAAGCAGAACCAUACGGUGUCGGCGGCGGCGCGGAAAGGCCGGGAGACGGCUGCGGCAUGGCAGGCGGCCACCGGCGAUGUGAGGGAGAUCACCCGCACAAGUAGCUUGUCCGGCAGGCACCGAUCUGAGAUGACGCAGUAGUAGAAGAUGGUCCAUUUGUCCCGGUUCCACAGGCCCAUUAGCCCCUGUUCUGGACCGGGACUAAAGGGUCGGGACUAAAGCCCAAAACCUUUAGUCCCGGUUCGCUUACCAACUGAGACAGAAGCAGAUCACGUGGACGAUGUUCAAUCUGCAUAAUAUAUAUAGUGAGGAUAAUUAUAUAUACAUGCAAUGAAUGAGCUGAGCUAGAGAAUUAACUAUAUAAGUAAUACUUACAGACAGUAGGAAGUCAUGAGUUGUUUGUCAAUGGUUAGUUGAUUGUAUAACUGAAAUAACUCCUCAAAUUGGAUAGGAAUCACGAGAAGUCCAAUGAACUCGCGCUGUGGUUUCACUGCCACAUACAUAGCGUCUUUCCCAGACUCCCUGCAGGUUUUCAUGUACCACUCAUGCAAUUUGUGUAUCAUCGUUGUUAGAGGAAGAUGACUAGGUUUUACGAGAGGCUUCCCAUGCACGUAUUUAUAUUGUUCUUUUGUUACCUCAGCCGUUUCAAAAAUUACAUCAUCCCCCAAGUAAUCAUCAGGAUUGGUACCGGGCACCAUCCCCGGAUGAUUAGCGAUGACGAUAUCGCUAGACACCUUGAGCGGGGGGCACGAUUGCUUCUCCUAUUGGCUGAACUGGGGAAUUGUUUUCCCACUUCUUCGUUCUGCUAUGUACCUUGCAUCACCGGAAGUAGUUCCUGACCGCCGCGCUUGUGCAUAUGUAUUUUUAAGAAUGCGGUCAUAGUUGGAAUCCCGGCAGAGGCGGUGGUGGUCGCUUCAGUUGAUUGAUAAUGGGCUCCACUUUCCCCGGAUCUAGCUUCUCCAUCUGAGGUGGAGUUAUUUUGCAAAAUGGGCCCUCAAUACGGCACGACAUAUGUCCUCUCAUAUGGUAACUUUUCCAGAGGCUUGAGAGAUGGAUCGUAUCUGAAUUGCCUCCCGCCUCUGCUUGUACUUCUAGCCGCCGGAGAGAAGGAGGCGUCUCUCUUCCGCUUGAGAGAAGGAGGCGGACUGCUCUGACGCGCCGGAGGAGCCGGAGCAGCGGCGUUUGUCUUCCGACGUUGCCGACGAGGUGAAGGAGGAGGCGGACUGCUCUAACGCGCCGGAGUAGGCGAAGGAGGAGGCCGGAGUUGGCCGUAGCAGCAACAGUGACAUCGGUAGCAUCCUCUGCCGCCUUUUUCUCGGCUUCGGCCUUCUCGCGGGCGAGACGGUCGGCUUCGGUUGGUGAAGACAUGGCGAUGACGAAGGCGACAUAGAUGUAGAUGAAGCAGACGGACGGAGGCGAGCAGUCACGUGAUCGCUCCCUAAAAACCUAAUUGCCCCUCUUCCGUACCGGAUCAGUAGAGGCGUGGUUUCGGACGCCUGCUCUCCCGUCGACCGUGUACACUAUGAACGACCCGGAGUCGCCGGCGGCAGUAGCAGCAAAAGGAAUGAGCGCAUGAGGCAUAGGCGAUCUGAUCUCGUGAAUGCUAGGGUUGGCGCUAGCCGUGCUUAUAUAGGUGCGACCGGGUGGAGAGACGUGGGCUGGACCCACGUCCGAGUCGGUAAUAGCCCACAAAAAUAAGUGCGUACGUAUGAGUUCAGCUCGGCUCAUUCCCGCAACCCGUGGCGCGUCGUGACGAGGCGUCGCAUGGUGAGGCGGGCGACGGAGGAGGAGUGCGCGAGGGCCUCUUCUCUUCUCAUGCUCCAAUAGGAUGUAGAAGAGAGACCCUUAUAAAGGGGUCUAAUUCCCUCUCCACUAGGCCCUUGUCAUGCCACCAGUUACAUAGGCCCUUGGAGAUUUCUGAAAUUUUCUCAUGGGUCUUAGGCCCAUCACAGAUUUCAACAAUCCCCAUCAGAUCUCAAGGGCACAUUGUAUUCUUUCGUUCCAAUCACCGUUUUGAUAUACCAUCAUUUCAGUGAAGACCUGUUAAGGUUGAGCUUCACCUAGAGCAAGCAGCUACACUCCUUUACAACUGAACAAUGGACUAUGCCUUGAAUUGAUAGUUUGGCGUAAAGAAGUUUCACCACAAGUCUUACUAGUACUAGGCUGCCGAAGGCUGACCCCUCGGGUGGAGCAUAUUAGUCACACUCCUGACCUAUUCAUGAGUUUACUGGAGAUCACCCCAAUCUCAUAGAGUGUGACCAGUAGUUGGUUUCAUACAGGUGUGUUCCUCCAAAGAUCGCUCUGCAGGAUAUCAUUUUGCUUGCACAUAAGCUUUAGAACACAUUAAGACGUUAGUCAUCCUACUAUACAGUAUCGGAGAGUAUUGCAUCUUCAACGGAGUGGGUUAGUAAAGUUACUCUCCUCGGUUCACCACUUGCUUGUUUUCCCAGGUCCUACUUCACGGGAUCUUCGAUCACAUAGGUUGGGUUACUGCCAUGGCAACUCAUAUGGAUCUCAUACCCAUCUCCCUUGAUGCACUAUCUAUCACAACAUGUAAUAGCCCUUUAGUAAAGGGAUCUGCCAGAUUCUUAGCCGUUUGGAUGUAAUCCAACGCUAUCACUCCGGAGUUUCUUAAACGUGCGACAGACCUCAAUGUCAUUGUUAUAUGUUUGUUGGACUUCAUGUUGUCCUUUGAACUAUUCACUUUGACAAUAACUGUCUAAUUAUCACAGUUCAUAAGGAUAGCCGGAACCGGCUUCUCAACCACACGAAAGUCCAUCAACAGAUCUUGAAGAAAUUCUGCUUCGAUACCAGAUGUGUCUAAUGCUGUUAAUUCUGCUUCCAUUGUCGAUUUUGGUAAGAUCGUUUGCUUGCAACGCUUCCACGAAACAGCACCACCUCCAAGAGUAAACAUAUACCCAGUAGUGGCCUUCAUCUCAUCAGCAUCAGAGAUCCAAUUCGCAUCACUAUACCCUUCAAGUGUCGACGGGCAUCCUGUAUAGUGAAGUCCGUGGUUGAUAGUACCUUUUAGAUAGCGCAUAAUUCAUUCAACAACAUGCCAAUGAACAUCACCCGGAUUGGCAACAAACCGGCUCAGUUUGCUCAUAGCAAACGCGAUGUCAGACCUCGUUGCGCUAGCUAGAUAUAUAAGUGAACCAAAAAUUUGAGAGAAUCUCAAUUAAUCUAUAUACAUGCGUGUGAACUUUCGAAUCAACGCACUAGGAUCAUAUGGUGUUGGAGAAAUUUUGCAGUCUGAAUAUCCAAAAUGACUCAAAAUCUUCUCAACAUAGUGGGAUUGCGGAAGUGUAGUCCCACCCUCAUCAUCUCUGCACAGCUUGAUGUUCAAGAUAACAUCAUCCAUUCCAAGGUCCUUCAUCACAAAGUUCUAAGACAGAAAAGAUUAACCUCCUCAAUCACUUUGAGGUUGCUUCCAAAUAUCAGUAGGUCAUCAACAUACAAGCACAAUAUAACUCCUUCCCCUCACCAUGACGUUAGUAUACACAUUUAUCAGCUUAAUUAACAACGAAACCAACAUAUGUCAAAGUUGUAUUAAACUUCUCAUGCCAUUGCUUAGGUGCUUGUCUCAUGCCAUAUAAAUAUUUCAACAACUUACACACUUUUCCUUCCUCUGCACAAUCGCACAUCAAGAGAGUUCUACAAAGAUUGGAUGAAAAUCACAAGUUUCUUCUCAUCCUCUUCCUCUGCACAAUCUGGCACUCCUAUCAUUGCCGCCUGCAAGAAAAAAAUGAUGGCAAGGCUCAGAAAGCAAACCAAAGAAACUAACAUGAUAGAGCAUCAAAUACUAAUGUAUAGGUUAGGCUGUGGACAACGAGCCACAUAUAAUAAUAAAAGGGCAGCACAUAAUAACCCAUUAUAGGUUCGCGCACAUGUACCACAAAACAUUUUCUUAUAUUAUUUAUCUCAAGACUUUCAUGUAGAUGUUAGACAUGCUUGAAAAGAAACCUAGCUUAAAGAGAAAAAUAAAUCUACAAUCUUAGGAUAAUCAUGACAAUCUUGGUAUAACAAGAAUCUGCCCACGAGCAACAGAUCAGGCUACAUAUAGAUAAAAGAAUUAACGAUUGUAAUUUUAGCUCAUAACCAGUUCUAAAAAUUCUAGUUAAGCACUUGCUGCUAACAAUGGAUGAAUUGUGAAUAAUCUAUAGUAAGUUUGCCCAAUUAAUUUCUUCUGGAGAUACGUUUAGUUGAAAGUAGAUAAGUCCUUUUGGAGCAUUACAUUGUUUCUUUAGUUUACUUAGCUUUUGUUUUUUAGAGACCACAAAGUGCAGCAUCGAUCAAACCAGGGUCUAGUUCCAGCCUUUCAAUACAAAAUGCUACUCGACAAUGUAAAGAUGCAAGUGCACAUGAAAAGAUAUCAUUUAUUAACAUGAAACUACCAAAAGGAGUUGAUGUCAUAUUUGAUAUGACACUGAAAUUCAUUACUAUGCUAGAAAUAUAUAUAUGUAAGGUCCACUAGGCAUGAUAUAUUUGGCUUUUAGAAUCAACAGCUUCACAAAGUCAGUGUUGUGCCACAAAAUACAGGUCGACCCAACUGCUAAGCAACCAACCACUCUACUGCUGAAACCACUGUCUGCCGGCAGACGCUUCUACCGGACACCUACUGAUCCAACUAUCACAUACUAAAUUUUCACCUUGCCCCGAUACCAACCCAGCAACCCGAGCAGUCACCUAGAUAAUGAAACCCAUGCGUACAUAUUGAUUUUAGUAGCAACAUGAGGAGGAAGGGGGUGCUUACAAUGAUAACUUGAAGAUGUUGGUUUGGUUGGGUGAGAGCAAGAAACCCGUGGCAGUCCCGCUCGUGGUUCUUCCGUCGAGGGCAAGCAAGCUCAAGGCGACGGUAGCAGUAGUCGGGACUCCAUCUCGCCACCCCAUGUCCAAAGGCGCCGUGCUGCAAGAUGAGGUAGACAAAGCCGGUGACGGGACGUCUUCCUCUCCGACGACGCAAGCAACGACGAUCGCUCGUCUCAGAUGCACGGAGGAAGGAGGGGGAUCACCUGGUGGCAGUGAAGGAUAUGAGUGGCGAUACAACGAUGGAAGAGGAUAGCGGUGGUGGGAGUCGAUUGGAUCUGAGAGACAACAAGGAGAGUGGCACAUGUACUCGGUGUAGCGGGGGCACGCAGGGAUGGAUGCCAAAAAUGAAUCGGCAGGGUGUGAUCUCCUCUAGCACGAGCUCUGGAGGAUAGCGUUGAGAGGAGGCGCUGGUGUUAUAUCCACCGUCGCCAUGGUCGUCCACGCCCACACCAUGGCCUCCUGCACUAAACGGGAGAAGAGAGUGUGGCAGCCAAAUCCGCCGACGCCAAUCUCGGGGCCUGCCGCAGCGAAUAGGGCAUAUGGGAUCGUGGCUGGGAGGUUGAUGGGAGAGGUGGAGAAGGGAGUGCAGGGGCCUGCUGCGUCGAACGGGAGCACAAGGGAUCUGGUGAGGGAAGGAAGGCUGGCGGCGGGAGAGGUGGGAGGAGAGUCGAGGGGGACAAGUCUGGACUCUGGAGAUAGGGUUAGGUUUCUGGGGAAGGGACUUUAUAUCCUAUUCCCUUUUUUUAGUGAAUUAUAUCCUAUUCACUUAAUGGGUCUACUCAAGUCCGUAUAGAUAUUGGAUUUAGGAAAUAUGGACCCAUAUUAUUGUCUUUAAUUGUAUUUUUUGAUUACCUAAAAAGAGGUGGUUUAAUCGUAUAUCCACAUCAUUGUACUUAUCGAUGGGAUGUGGUUUCGUUGUAUUUUUCAGGCACACAUACUGUAAGUUUAGGUGUAUUUUGUGAUGAACAUGCGGUGCAAAAGAGCACUUGUGCAGCCAAUCGGCAAGGCGUGUCACCCUUGUAUCACUGUAGGGACAUACAUUUAACGAGGCAAACAUAUUUGACUUUGAAAAUAAGAAAAGAAGAUAUGUAUCUCAAAAGGGCUCCCACCUCUCUACUUCUAUACAAAUUGCAUGUGGGUUGUCAUUGGAAAAAAAAAAAUUCAACAUACUAUGUUGAAAACUUUUUAUAUCUCCAUACUUCUUACCUGAACUUUUACAAUAAUUGUGUUAGAAUGAGGCAUGAGAUCAUGUUUAAGUUUUUAUUGUCUCAAACACCAAGUUAAGGUACCCUAUACCACCUUUCAUUUUUUAAUCUAAAUAGGGUCUACAAAUAAUGAGAUUAGCAUGUGCCCAUAUAUUUCAUUUUGGUAAUUAUAUUGUAUUUUCCAAAAUAUUUAGGAUAUGAAAAUGAAUAAUUAUAAUUUAUUGAUAUUUAUCUAAUAUCAUUUACUUCAUCCAUAUACGUAUAAAACAAAUUUUCGCUGUGUAUACAUGACACAUAGGCAAAAUUGAUGAGGUGUCGUCCAGUCACCUCCACGCAUAUGUUUACGAUCUUAUAUUUGGUCAUGGUAGCAUUGAAAUAUGAUCAUAAAUAAUACUACACAUCUUAAUGACCAUUUUUUGCAAUAGUAUCAUGACCUAAUGGACGCAAAAGGUCGUAACGUUGUGAGCUUUGGACCCUCUUAGACUUGCCAUACUAAUUUUAGAAUUUUGGUCAUGGAUCAAUGAUCAAUUAAACCACCGUCAUUAUUUUUGUCAUAAUUGAGCGUUUUUCCUGUAGUGAUAGCCGUGAGCCAUAAGGUGGUUUUUGUCUGCCAACGCUUGAAAUAAGUAUCGGUAAACUUAUCCGGUUUUACUGUAGCAGCAAAACCACUACUCGAAAAAUUUCUACACACAUUAGGUUAUUGGAUUGUUGAGUAAAUAGGAAAUUUUUUGAAUAGAUUAAUCCACGAAAUAAUCACUAACAUGGCACUGCCUAGAUUCAUGACAUACUAAUUACGGAGCAGACUAGCAAAUACUAAUGCAUAUAGUAGAAACAUCUACGCAUAUAGCUAGUACUACUAGAACUAAAAUAAACAGGAGCGGGAUAAACGAGUUAUAUCCUUCGAUCAGCCAGUUGGUCAUAGCAGCAGCAGUGACAGCGGCAACAUCCUCUGCCUUCUUCUUCUCGGCUUCGGCCUUCUCGCGAACGAGACGGUCGGCUUCGGUUGGCGAAGACAUGGCGAUGACGAGGGCGACACAAACGUAGAUGAAGCAGACAGACGGAGGCGAGCAGUCGCGUGAUCGCUCCCCAAAAAACAAAUCGCCCCUCUCCCGUACAUGAUCCGGAGAGGCGGGGUUUCGGAGGCUUGCUCUCCCGUCGAUCGUGUACGGGAUGAAUGAGACGGAGUCGCCGGUGGUAGGGUUGGCGGCACCGUAAAAAUAAACGCGUAGGUAUGAGCUCAGCUCGGCUCAUUUCCACAACCAGUGGCGAGGCGGACGACGGAGGAUGAGUAUGCGAGGGCCUCUUCUCUUCUCAUGCUCCAAUAUCAUGUAGAAGACAGACACUUAUAAAGGGGUUCAACUUCCUCUCCACUAGCAAGGUGAGACUAAGCUUUUUACCAUCCUUUGUCAUGUCAUCGUCUACAUGGACCGUUGGAGAUUUCUGAAAUUGCCUCAUGGGCCUUAGGCCCAUCACAGAUUUGAACACAUAUUGUUUUCUCCUUCUAUCUUUUUUGGUCAUUAUAUGCAAUAGAACAUGUGAGAGAUAGGACAAACAUGCAAGACGACUUGGGAGGCGACAAUGAAGAUGCCUUUUGGGGCUUGGGUGGUGUACUGAAUUUUUUAUUUUAAAGCUAGACACAGAAGUUGUUUAUAAUGCAUCCUUUAUCACAUCAAACGCGGAUACAACCUCCUCCUGUCGCAGAGUGAAAUCAACGAGGUGCCCACUAUAAAUCAUAUUAGUACAUUUGUGCCCUAAAAUAAACCAUUUUUUGUAAUGUUACAGGAACCUCUUUUAAAAACAAUAUAUGAACAUUCUUUGAAGACCACGAGAAUACUUUUUUUAAUUCACUGAACAAUAUAUGAACAUUCUUUGAAGACCACGAGAAUGUUUUUUUUUGAAAAUCACUGAGAAUUGAAGAGAGCGCUAAACGAUUCAUAUUUGGCCGAGCCACUAUAGGCUGUCCUCCCGCCGCGCUAAAGUCGAGAUAAAGACACGCUCUUUCAUAUUGUCUUUCACUACGAGAAAAUAUUGACAUAGAUUUUCAGAUAUAUCAUAUAUCUGUCUCAACAAGCACACAUAGCACUACCUCGUUCCUCAUGGGCAGGCCCAUUAAGGCCUUGUUCGAUUAAUCCUCCUCCGAAGGGGAUUGAAGAGGAUUGAAGUAAAAUUUAACUUGUUAGGGAUUUAAUCUACUCAAUCCCUGUCAAAUCCCUUUCAUUUCCCUGUCAACCGAACAAGGCCUAAGCUGUUUAUUUUAAGUUUCCUUGUUAGCUCCCACAUGGAUUGGACUAGUCAUUGGUAUCAUUUCAUUUCUCUUCUGGUGAUUGUUCGUUCCUAUGUGAACAGAACAACAUGUUUUUUAUUUUAAUUUUGAUUUUCCAUUUUAGUUUUCCUUUCAUAUAUAUAUAUUCCCUCCAUCCCAAAAUAACUGCCUUAACUUUAUACUAACUUUAAUAUAAAGUUAUAUUAAGCUUAAGACAUUUAUUUUGAGACGGAAGGAGUAAUUGGUUUUAUUCUAUAUUUUUCAAAAAGAGUGAUAAACCCAAAAUGAUAUUAAAAAGUUCACAUUAUUUUUAGACAGAGCAUUAACACUUUUAUAACUACAUGUAUAAUUUUUUCACGAGUGAACAUCUUUUUAUAUUUUUUUUCAUCAUGGGUUAAAAAGCAAUUCACCGUCCAUUUAUUAUUGGUCAUCAUGCAUAUAUAGAAUCAUCAUGUAGAUUUUACUUGUCGCUCAGCACUCACUAGGCGUCAGUGCUAUAUCUCACCUAUUGCAAGAUAGAACACGGUCCUCAAAUACUUCCUUCUUUCCUGACGUGUUUCUUCUUUUGUGCGCUAGAUUUUUUCUUGUUUUGGUAUAUAAAUUUUGCUUCUGUCCUAGCUCGCCCACGUGAAAUAUUCUAAUCCUAUUUUCGGUAUUUUCUGUUUUGUGAUUGGCAUCGAUUACAUAUUUAUAUGUUAAUCAUUUAUCCUGCUACAUGUUAAAACUAGCAAAAUGCACAUUGACCUUUUUUGAAUAUAUUUUUUCUUCAAAAAUGCAGUGAUAAUUUUUUAACAUGCAAUAUAUUUUAAAUGGCGUGGACAUAUUUUUUAGUAUCGCCAUUUCUCUGGAAUUGGCCCAUUUUUUUACAUUUCAUAAAUAAUUCGUUGAAUGCAUAGAUUUCUAUGUCAUGAUACUUAUUUUUUAAGGCAUAGAUUUCAAGAUAAUUUGUUGAAAGGUAUGAAAAUUCUUUACAUAUUACAUGAUAAAUGCUGUAAAUUUUCAAUGAUAUAAUUUCAGUUAUGAACAUAUGUUGUAAACUUUUGAACUUUGUUUAGAGACAUGAACAUUUUUUUAGCGACAUGAUCAUUUUUUGAAAUAAUGAAUACACAUAUUUAAACAUUUUUAAUGUGUAGUGAACAAGUUUUUACUGCUAAAUAAUUUUCUUUUUAUAAAGAGGUAAUAAAUAAUGAUCGUUUAAAACAAAAGUAAAAACAACAUAGAAAGGUAACAAGGUUGAAAUAUACAUGUAAGAGAAUAAAACAUAGAAUGUAACAACUAAUGGGCCGGCCUAUUAAACAACUUCGAAGCGACGCGUCAUUCAGCGAAAUCACUAAUUGAGGGGUACACCUUUUAAAGGCUAGUUCCAUCUUUCCAUAUUGCCACAAGUGACCCGUCACAUGUGUGUCACUUGUUGCAACCUAUGAGUUUCUAUUUUUUUGUAGAUCCUUUUAUUGAAAAUGUUUUAUAUCCAAAUCCAUGCAUCCAAAUCUCAAACCGUUUUCACGUUGGAUUCCUCACGUCGAGAUCUUCAAAAUUAUAUCCGUGUAGAUAGGUUUUCACAAACUUUUUUCAUGAAAAAUGCGAACAAAAUAACCAAACCGAAAGCACAUUUUUUUCCUUUUUCGAAAGAGGCAUGAUCGUACCCCUCGUGGAAGUAAAAAGAAGAAAAAAAAAAUUCUCCCCGUUUUCGAGCGGCAUGGUCAUGCCCCUCACGGAAGGAAAAAAGAAAGAAAGCGCAUUUUAUCCAUUUCCAAAAGGCACGCGGAAGAUUAAAACACAAAACAUAUUUUUUCCGUUUCUAAGAGGCAAGGUCAUGCCUCUCGUAGAUGCAAAUCCGUGCGUCUCGCAGAAGCAAAUACGUGCCCUCAUGGAAGAAAAAAUAAACAUGUAUUUUUUCGCUUCUAAGAAUUACGGGGUGCCUCUCACGGAAGCAAAAUCAUGCCAAUCGAGGAAGUAAAAAAUAUAUUUUUUGCUCAAUGAAAUCAAUUUUUCUUUCCAAAUGUUAAGAAAGAUCGACGAAAAACCAAAGAGCCAAAAUAACCAUGACAAAACCAAAUAAAAAGCCAAAAAUGCAUGCAAAAAAUGAAAUAAAAAUAAAAAAUUCGGAAGAAGCGUCUAAAGCAUGACACAUGGCAGGUGGUAAGAGAUUGCCAAAUGGCACGCUCUCAGCAUGACCCUUGAGAGGCUUCCGAAGGGGUGCUCCUCCACUAGUGGCACACUCUCAGCGUCAUUCAGUAUUGUAGUGAGCGGAUGUAUGCUUCGGGUGCACCGAGUGUAACAUCCGAGUCGCUAAAGGGGGUGAGCAAGAUGGGCCGGUCCAUGCAGGCGAGACCACAACCUGUUUUUCUGUUUUCUGUUUCUGUUUUCUAAACAUACGAUUUAUGUGUAUUUUAGGUCUUUGAAUCAUAUAGGGUCAUGGUAUUCACCAUACAGCAUGUAGAAUAUUUAUUCUUCACCCCUUCUGUUUUAACAUCACAACAUCAUAUUUUUAUGUUUGGUAAUAUUUUGUGUUAUGUCAGAAGUCAAACGCGAACGUAAGAAAAUAUAUAUCGGCUAUGACAAAUAUUUUAUGUUAAGUAAAAUAAUGAAAUUAAUUUAGUACACAACAUACAUAAAAAUGUAUAUUUUUUGUAGCCUUUAGGCUUACCUUAUUUUCUCGUGCCAAAUUUACCAUAUUGAAACAAUAUGGACAUAACAAUUUAUGUACCAAACAUAAUUUUAUAGCGAAACGAUCUUAAGAAUAACUCGAGUGCAAAAUGACAUACUCUGCACCCUGGGUGUUGAGUGGGAGAGGAUUUGGGGCAUGCAGGUGCGGGGCACCGAGUCUCUCGCGCGUGCUUUUUUUGGCUUUUUGAUUUCCAGACUUUCAUUUCUUUUGAAUAAAAAUUCUAAAUUAAGUUAUUUUUUCAUAUUCGUGUUUUUGCUCACGAGGGCUUCCGAAUAAGAUCCAUUUUUGAUGAUUUUUUUUGUGAAGUUCCAACUCUUGAAGCUUACUAUGAGAGCCACCGAUUAUAAAUCACGAUUUCAGUGCCGACGACCGACAAAAAAUUGCUUACACUUUCAGCUCUGAAACUUGAUACACACGAUCGAGAAAAUCAGAAUUUUUAGAUGCAAAAUCGUAAGUUUGAACAAUUAAAACAUAAAAUUUACUCUGCCGUCGUGCGGGGUGUAACUACUUCAUGAAUUGCGAGACAAUCUAGCGGCGAGGCAAGGCUUGACAGGUGCGCGCUCCUGAGAUUUUCUAGGCAAAGAUAGCAUUUUUAUGUAUAUUUAUGUAAAAGUACUUUAUAGUUGAGAUUAUCAUGACAAGUAAAAAUGACUUAUUCUGCAUCGUGGAUGAUAUCUUAGAACCACUUAGUCGACUUAACAUGCUAAAUGUGAAAAGAUGACGAUAGAGGUGAGACUGUGACAAGUUGGUGCUAAUCUAUUAGUAUAACAGGUCUUAUAUGGCACAAUCAAGAUCCUGACAACCCCGCACUCAUUAACCUAUCUUGUUUUGGCAUAAUAACCGCAACGAAAGCUCCAACAAAAGCAAGGAUUGAAAGGCGUCAAUCCAAUCGUGUGACCUUCAAAUACUUGGUGUAUCUUAAUGCAUUGCACCAGCGACGUCGUUUUUCUAGCUGGACCAAAGCUCUUUUAUGCAUGAAUGAUUGCUCACCCCACGUACUUUACGUCGUUGCAUGCACCACCCCUGAGGAAACUGAAGCAGCCACGUGGCAUACCUGGUGGGCAAUCUCUUCUUUUUGGCAUACUUGGUGGGCAAUCAAAGCUUUAUGAUUGAUAGUAAAAAAGAUGAACGUACGCCUGUAUGUAUAUACGUCAUGUACGUGGUGGCUCCUAAGCCUCAAAUGUCGCAAAGAGAAAAGUCACACGUGUUUAUCAUGUACACACAAAGCUCUUUUUAUAUUUUUUUUGGCAAAAUGAUGUACACACAAAGCUCUUUUUUUUUUUAUCUUUGGCAACAUCAUGUACACACAAAGCUCUCUUUUAUGCUUGGCAAAAUCAUGUAGACGGAGGUCAGGCUAUGUGUGCCUAACUAGUUACCAUUGAGUGUACAUUGGACCAGGCAUAGAUAGUAAUGGAAGUAAUGGUAUACACGUCAUCCAUUUGGAUACGAGCUAAGACGGGAGAAACCCUUUUGAUCCAAUCCGACGACAGCAUGCAGCUAGUGCGGGAAACGAUAGCAAUUUAAAAAGUAAGCGAGUACACCGAUCAUGCACAAAGCACCCUCCGAUGGAAAUGAGACGGGAUCCAACUUGCGGGGAGGCGAAUGGGACAGCUCGAUCGUAGGAUAUGAUAGGAUAUGAUAUUGUUUCUCUAAUAAGAAUUCGCGUAAUUGGGUUGCUAAACCCCCCUGGCUCUGUCGUUUGUAAUCUCGUGUCGACGAUGUAACCUUUUGCUUGACCAUCAAUAAAGCUUGAUUGACGUGGUGGCCUUCACUAAAAGAAAAGCAUGAUCUACCUUCACCUUAUUUUACAUCUGAUGGAUGUGUGCCCUUGGAUGCCCACCCAACGGCUAGAGGUUAAAGACUGAGGAUUUUUAUUGCCAUUGAAGAAAAUGAAAAAUGAGUCUCCAUGUGCCAGCAGCAAGUCCUAAAAGAAUGACGCAGAUUUAGCUUGCUAGGUAAGUUUCAGAAAAUGACAAAUAUAUAUUUAGUCCAGCAAAAAUAGAAUGCGACAAACCAUGAAGAUUUGAUACAAAAAUAAAUCAUAAUUAAGCUUCAUGAUGAUUAAAAAUACCGCGAGGUGAGGCUAAUUUAGAUGGUUAGGCCCCAUGUGGUGGAACCAAUCCAUCCAGAUUCAAAUCCUACAAUUAACACUUGCGCUCGCAUAUUUUCUGAAUUGACUUCGGACUUUGCGGUGCUAUACAUUCAGUGGUAUGGCGUGCCGUUAACUACACGGUGCCUAUGAAGACUUCAUCAAUAUCAAGAUCUACCGGUUCCUUCUCUCGAAAGUGCUCCCAGGAUAGAGUUUGUGAGCGUUUGCAUCUGUACCGUGUUUCUCAGAAAAUUAAUAAAAUUUAAUGGAUCUCAAGGUCUCCAUUGAUAUGAGCUUCGCCAUGUACAACCAAAGAAGCGCAGCACCUCCCCUCCCGUGGUUGUGGAAGGGGAGCACCAGGUUAGCCGAAUCGAGAAGCAACGGUGGCACCAACGAGGAAGCGAGUGAACAAAUCGGGCAAAUUGCCUGACAUAGUGGCUGGAUCUGAGCUCGCCUGGUGGAGCUCCCAACUGUAGUCACGAACCGUGUUUUGGUUCAGUGAUGUCUCAAAAACACCGGAGUAAACCUGAAAAAAUUAGGGUGUUAACUAAACCAGAGACGGGAAACCAAUCUAUGGUGGAAUAGUUAGAAGGAUAGAUGUAUCCCUAACCCAUUAGAGUUCAAUAUCUAGCCUUGAUACUGGUGCUUGCAUUUUUCUUCAUUUAUUUCAAGCCAUUUGACGAUGCUUGUUCAGUGAUAGAAGACGUUUUCGUCGACUACGAAGACGUCAUUAACGACUUUCUAUCUUAAAAUGAUGUAUCUGCUCAGUAUCUUGAAGAUGCACAUAGAGAUAGGAUACACAUGCAUACAUUAAUUUAGGUAAAUGUAUGUACGUAUGUAUAAGCGUAUGUACUGUGUUAAGAAAUAAGCUAAACCACAGACAUUUGCAAUCACAGAGAAAUCAAGAAAUAAAAGGUAAUUUGUGUCACAGGUUUGCUAAUUGAGGGGAAAAUAAUAAUUUUUCCUAAAUGAGGUAAAAAUAUGUCAGAAACAUGAAACAAGGAGAUUAAAAAAAUGAAUUCACUCAUUUUAUAUAUAUAUAAAAUUUCGACUGAUGAAUUCAUUAAACAUCUUUGCGAACAUUGAUGGGCUGGAUCGUGGUCUAUAAACACACAGAAUAAGUGUGCCGCCAAUCCUAGGACCCAGGCCGAAUCAUACGGAAUCAUCAUCAUCGUACUAGUUUGUUUUACAUACAUACAGUAGGUACAGGCACCUGCAGACCGUGGUGCGAAUAUUAUUUUUCUUGGAAAAGAAAAACGUCUUAUACGAAUAUUAAAGCUUGCACGACUCAUGCAUGAGCCAUGCAUGCCUGCAUGCGUGCGUGCGUGCGUGCGUGAAUCUAGACCACCUCGACAGAACGGGCAAAGCCCGCCCCCGGGGCCGCCGCCUCAGUAGCGCAUCUCCUGGGGACGUCGCCGGCCAUCUCGGUGACCGGGCGCACCUCGGCGCAUGAGCUCUUGUCGGCCUUGCCGACGUUGAUCACGACGACGUGGUCCUCUGCGGGCACCUUCCAUGCCUCUUUCCCCUCCUUGGCAUCGGUUGCCACCACCGGCGUCGCGUUCAUGUAGAACAUGUAGAGGACCAUCUGGAUCAUCCCGAAGGUGAAGCCAAGGAUGUUUGGGAGCUGGAAACACAAAUUUAAUCAUCGAUCACUGCUCAUGCUUGAGAAUUGUAUGCGUAUCCAUCUGCCAUUAGAAGGAUCGUUUGUGUAGUUACCGCGACGUAUUUGUCCUUGAUGAGCAGGCCGUAGAGGAACCAGACGAUGGCGCUGAGGGUGAGCGUGAGGGAGAGGGAGAAGGGCAUGUACUCCACACUCUUGGUCUUGAUCACACGACCCUUUGGGAAGGACAGAACACAUACAAGAGGUUGAGGAAUGAGCAACAAUAUAUACAGCAAAGUUUAUCGGUCGAGGGCUCACGAUGAUGCUGAGAGGCGCGACGAAGACGCACACGGAGAAGCCGACGCAGAUCCAGCCGAGUGAGACGACGCGUGUCUCGCCGUGGAAGGCGAAGAGGGUGAGGACGAAAAUGAGCCCGAAGCCGGCGAUGUUGAGGAGGAGGACGAUCUUGGCUGUGAAAAUCUUGGCCUUCCUGGGGGCGUAGACGAGGUACAUGAUGAUGUAGACGGUCUCGAUGACGCAGCCGGCAGCGUUGAUGGUGAUGAGGAGGCCCUCGCCGGUCUUGACCAGCGCGUAGAAGAUCCACAGCAUCGCGCUGAAUAGGGCCACGACAUAGGGCACCGACUGGAACCCCUCCGUGGAUUUGCUCUUGAAGAUCCGGUAGAAUGUUGGUCUAAUAUUUUAUUUUUGUGUGUACAUUAAUUAGUUAUACGAGAGAACUUAUUAAUUAACAGGAUCAAAUGAAAUACUUCCUCCGUCCUAAAAUUCUUGUCUUAGAUUUCUCUAGAUCUAAAUGUAUCUAGUCACGUUUUAGUACUUUGAUACGUUUAUUUCUAGAUAAACCUAUAACAAGAAUUUUGGGACGGAGGAAGUAAAAAACAACUUAGACAGUAGCUUACAUCGGGGCCAGGAGGCUCGAGAAAGAGAUGACGUUGCCUGCAAGGCACAAAGUUAGCAAAGUUAGCGAUGGGUUGUGAUAAUUGUACGACACAUUUACAUCUAUCUUUUAUGCGCUUUGUCCUUUUCAUAAAAAACACAGGCAAUUUGCUUUGUUGUUGUUUCUUUUUGGGAUUUUGGUGCACCAAGCUAGAUGGCACUAGAGCUAGUAUACUAGACUACAUCAGUUAAUCAAUCAGUGGCAAAGAUAAGAUAUAUAGAUAGAUGCUACAAAAGGAUAUAUGAUCUUAAACGACACAAAGUAGUCUACUAGUACUGCACUAGCAAAUAGCAGCUGUAAUAAGAAACUAUCAUAAUACAAGAGGUAAUUCUUGGAGAUCAUUUGUUCGUGGUAAGAAUAAUAUACCUAGCAGGCCGAAGGUGAAUGCCCAAGGGUGCUCCAUGGAUAGGCCACCCAUUGUUACAAAGAUAUAUAACAGUGAGAUGGAUGCGAAGAACUUGGUAUAACAGUGGGGCGAGAGAUUGUUUUUGCUGUCUCUCUCUCUCUCUCUCUCUAACCCUAGACUCCUGGCGGAGAGAAGGGAGAGGUCUGGAGAGGAGAGCUC
rnacentral:lncRNA from 1 species